AUAUUUACUCUAUAUAUAUAUAAUACAGAAUUAAUCUACUAAAUUAUUAAUAGUACCAAAAAUUUGGCACUAUUAUAUAUAUAUAUAUAUAUAUAUAUACAUAUAUAGAGAGAGAGAGAUUGGUAUGCUUCUGAAAGUAUGAAGCCUUUCGUGCUUUCAAGUCAUUUUCGAUAUUGGGAUUUUUUUUUUUUUUUUUGAGAGAUAGGUAGCACGCUACCCGCUUCGUUUAUUUCAUUUAGAAAUAAACCUAGCUGAAAAUGUGAAUCAACUAGGAUUCAAACUUAGGACCUCGGGUACCAACCACUAAGUCCUUUGCCACUUGCUCUAGGGAUGAUCGGUGAUGUUGGGAUUUUCGAAUCGACGAUCGGCUCUAUUAGACUUGAUCUAGAAUAUUUGAAGUAUCAAGAAAAUAAAUUUUGUGAUUUUUCAAUAUCAUUUGUCUAGUGAUCAAAUGGUCUCAAAAUCAACGGUUAAAAACAAAAAUCUUACAAAAUGUAAUGAUAUGACAUUAAAAUUUUAAAUCAAAGAUAUUGAUCUUAUUUUAUAUAGUAUAAAAAAUUUUCUAUUAAAAUUUUACGUGAUUUGAAUAUUUUUAUACCGUUAAACUUGCAAACGGGUCACCACGGCCAUUAAAAUUAUUAAUUUUAAGUCCCUUCGAUCACUAGGCAAAGGAUAUCAAAAAAUCACAAAAUUUAUUUUCUAAGUACUUCAAAUAUUUUAGAUCAAGUCAAACUGAGCCGAUCGCCGAUUCGAAAGUACCAACAUCGAAAACAACUUGAGUGCACGGAAGGCUCCGUGCCCCCGGAAGCAUACCAGACUUACUANNNNNNNNNNNNNNNNNNNNNNNUAUAUAUAUAUAUAUAUAUAUAUAUAUAUAUAUAUAUAUAUAUAUAUAUAUAUAUAUAUAUAUAUAUAUAUAUAUAUAUAUAUAAGUGACGUUGGUAUGCUUCUGAAUGCACAGAGUCUUUUGUGUUUUCAAGUCGUUUUCGAUGUUGGGACUUUCGAUCAACGAUUGGCUCCAUUAUAUAUAUAUGAGUGAGGUUCGUAUGCUUUUGGAAGUAUGGAGCCCUCCAUGUUUCUAAAUCGUUUUCGAUCUUGGGACUUUCAAAUCGACAAUUAGUUUCAUUAAACUUGAUCUAGAGUAUUUAAAGUACUUAGAAAAUAAAUUUCACAAUUUUUUAAUAUCAUUUGUUUAGUGAUUGAAAAAAAUCAACGACUGAAAAUAAAAAUGUUACACAAUAUGAUGAUAUGAUAUUAAAAUUUUAGAUUAAAGAUAUUGAUCUUAUUUUAUAUAGUACAAAGAAUUUUUCAUCAUAAUUUUAUUUGAUUUUGAUAUUUCUAUACCGUUAAACUUGCAAACGGCUCAUGGCAAUUAUUAAAAUUAUUGAUUUUGAGCCCUUUCGAUCCCUAGGCAAAUGAUAUUGAAAAAUCAUGAAACCGACUUGGAAGUAUAUAUGGAGGGCUCCGCGCUUGCAAAAGCAUACCAGCCUCACUUUAUAUAUAUNUCCUGAGCCGUUUUUUAUGAUGGAAUUUCUGAAUCGACGAUCAGCUCUGUUAGACUUGAUCUAGCGUAUUUGAAGUUUCUAGAAAUAAUUUUUACGAUUUUUCGAUAUCAUUUACCUAGCAAUCGAAAGAAUUAAAAAUCAAUAAUUUUUAACAGCUGAAAAUAAAAAUUCUAUAAAAAGUAGUGAUAUAGCACUAAAUUUUUCGAUCAGAAAUAUUGAUCUUGUUGUAGAUAGUAUAAAGAAUUUUGUAUCAAAAUUUCAUCUGAUUUGAAUACUUCUGUACCGUUAAGCUUGAAAACAGCAGAUAUCAACCAUUAAAAAUUAUGGAUUUUGAAUCCUUUCGAUCACUAGGUAAAUGAUAUCAAAAAAUCGCAAAAAUUAUUUUCUAGAAAUGUCAAAUACCCUAGAUCAAGUCUAACAGAGCCGAUCGUCGAUUCGAAAAUUCCAUCAUCGAAAACGGCUCAGAAGCACGGAGGCCUCCGUGCUCCUGAGAGCACAGCAGCCCUGCUAUAUAUAUAUAUAUAUAUAUAUAGUCUAACUAGAAUACUAUUGAUAUAUAUAGAGAGAGAGAGAGUUUUGAGCCAGAAUUAAUACUAUUAAUAAGUAGCAAAAAGUUGCUAAUAGUGAGUUUUUUGCCCUUGGAUCCUUGCAUGCACAUAGUAUAAUUAAUAGUUCAAUUUUCCUACUUAGUAGAAACGAAAUUGAAAUGUAACACAGUAAUACUAUACCUAAGAAAUUGAUUCUCACGAGGCCUCCUUUAUAAAAACAAGGAGGAAAAAAGUUUUUCCUUCACAUACUUGUGCAUAGUUUAGUGGUUGGUAUUAAUUGCUUGCUUUUUAUAAUAGCUUGUAAGUUUAAGUUACGCAUCUUGUGUUGAUAAUGACACAAAAAAUAAGAAGAAAAAGUUUCUUAUUAGAAAAAAAGCAGGAAAAAGUUUCUCUCAUUAAGAAUAUUUUUGUUAAUUCUUUUCUAUACGAUUUAUUUUCUAGGUAUAUGGUUUCAAAGCAAAACCUAAGCCCCAUCAAAACAUAUAUAGAGGUUCUAGGUUUAGUUUCUCAGUCUACAGAUUAAUGGGUUAGAUCUCUAAAUUCCUUUACCUUUUUAGUAAUUUCUCAUAUCAAAGCAUGCAUGUGGUAUGAUUUAUCUAAUUGUGUAGAUCAACUUCAACGGUGCCGAUUAUCAAUUUGAAGUUCCGAUCAUUCAAAUCGACUUGAUAGGACAAGAGUCCCAAUCCUAUUAAUAGAAUAGUAGCCGGACCCUAUAUAUAUAUAUAUAUAUAUAUAUAUAUAUAUAUAUUGAGAGAGAGAGAGUAAGAAUACUAUGCUCUUUAUAAAAACGAUCAUCUUCGUACUCAUAAAUCAUUUUCAAUGAUGAAGUUUUUGAAUCGACGAUACAAAGAGCCUCAAAUUGACAUUUUUAAUGGCUGGGUAUGGAGCGUUUCUGAGUUAACAGUGUAGAAGAAUUGAAAUUAAUUAAAUUUUUAAUAAAAAGUUUUAUUCACUAUAUAAAUCAAGAUCAAUUAAUGACUCUGAUCUUGAAUUUAAAAAUCCUAUUUCUUAUUUUUAUGAGGUUGUUUCAUUUUGACCGUUCAUUUAUAUCCAAUUAAUAGACUUUAUUAUAAAUUUAAAAAUGACAAAAUUCGAUUUCUAUAUGCCUAAAUACUCUAGAUUAUAUUUAACGAUUCAGAAAUUCUAUCAUUGAAAAUAAUUUAUGAGUAGGUUACUAUACUCAAUAGAGUAUAUAUAGUAGCUCUCUCUCUCUCUCUAUAUAUAUAUAUAAGAUUAUCUCCACUAUGCAUGUGGACAAAAAUGUUCAAACUAGAUCAGGAUCAUUUUUUUUAUUAGAUAUAUUGUCCAUUUUGUGUAACACCAUGUAUAAUUGGACUGCACAAAUUAACCAACAUAUGGAUAAGAAAUCAUUUGGUUUGGUGUGCAUUAAUUUAAUGUAUCAUAAGUAAGGAGUAUAAUUAACAGCUUAAUAUAAGAUCAAUUUUAUGAAAUUUAGGCCCAAGGGUAUGUAUAUGUGCAAAACAUUAUUGAUCACUAUACAUAUGUAUUGAAUAUAUAAUAUAAGGGAUGUGAUUGACAAAAGGGUGAAUUGUUCAUGCAGCUUUUUUUUUGUUUUUUUGUUGCUUUUUUUAAUAUUUUAAACUUAAUUUGGGUAGCCAUGUAAACUGCAAAAGUGCGACACUGCAAGUUCAAGCAGCUUUGUUGCAUAUGUUCUAUAAAGUUUUUACAAAAGAGUUCUAAAUAUUAUUGAGUGUAAUUAAUUGUCUAGUUACAUUUUAACUAAUCAGGACUUAAUUAAUUAGCCCAAUAAUUAUCAUCUCCUCUCCUGUAAGAGGUAAAAGGUUGAAAUAAAUAUAAAUGUCAAUUCUAUGAGUUUGUGUAGGAAGAGAGCUAGAAUACUUACGUAUAUCGAUCUCCUCUUUCUUUUUUUUUUGAGAGCCAGAAAUAGUAUAUGGAUUUAUGUAUGUAUCAAUAAAUAAAUAAAUAUAUGAGUCUAGUUACUAUAUUCUUAUGAGUAUGAUUGGCUUUGUACUCAUAAGUUGUUUUUAAUAAUAGAGCUUCUGAAUCAACGACCCAAACCGUUAAACAUGAUUUAGAGCAUUUAAAAUGUCUAGAAAUCAAAUUUCGUAAUUUUUCGACAUCAUUCACCUAACGAUCAAAAGAUCAUAAAAUUGAUAGUUUUUAACGACCGGUAUGAAACACUUGCCAAUUUAACAGUGUGCAAGAAUUGGAACUGGUUGAAUUUUUGAUAAAAAAUUCUAUUCACUAUGUAUAUAAAAAUCAAUAACUCUAAUCUUGAAUUGAAGAAGAAUCCGAUCAUCUAUUUUUAGAAGGUCCUUCAAUUUUGACCGCGCGUUUAUUUUCUAAAAGUUUCAAAUAAUCUAGAAUUAUAUUUAACCGAAUGAAUCUUCAAUUUGAAAGCUCCAUCAUCAAAAAUAACUUAUGAGUACGAAAGAAUCUAUACUCAUCACUCUCUCUCUCUCUCUCUCUCCAAAUGCUAACUCAUGCAUGUUACACUGCACCACUUCUCCUCAACAAGAAAGAGGCCACGAGCGCACUAGCUACAUAUAGAGAGGAUAAUUGUUAGUACAUGCACACUUCAAACAAAAUAAUAAUAAUAAUAAUAAUAAUAAUAAUAAUUUAAUUUAAAAAAUUCCUCUUGCACUUUAGCCCCGGUCUCAAUUACCGCCCUGCAUUAAAAAUUACAUCAAUUACCAGCCUAUAGUUUGUCGCCAUCUCAAAUAGAUCCAAAAAGAUUUAAAAAUUUUUGGCAAAUUUGGGUGUGAAAUUUUACUAAAACAAGUUGGCAUAUUACGUACGUUGUUCCCUAUCUCAACAUAUAUUUAAUUUGCAACUCAAAAAUAUAUAAAAGAUUUAGACAAAUGAGAUAUCAUAUUUUGCUAAUAUUAUCAAAAUUGAUAGUUUAUUGAGCAAUUUGUUCGAAUUUAUGAUUCUAUUGCAUUACUUAUAUGUAAUUCUAUCUUAAAAAUUAUUUUUACAACGCUCCAUAGCUAAAUUCAAUAAUUAUCCCAAAUAACUGGAUUUAUUUGAGAUAAUGACAAAGUGUAGGAGGGUAAUUACUAUAAUUUUUUAUACAAGAAGGUAAUUGCAACAAGCGCCAAAAUGUAAGAAAACUUAUUAUAAAUUAGGGGGCAUUUGGUUCGGCGUAAAAUGAACUAAAAAAUAUUUUCGGAAUAAAAAAUAUAUUUCCGCUUGUUUGGUUCAACGUAAAAAUAUUUUUUUAUAAGAGUAUUUUUACGGAUUUAAAAAAAAAUUGAAUUUUUCAUUUCUGCUGUUUUUUUGACAGAAAACAAAAUCAAGCUGUGCAAAACUUUUUUCAUUCAUUUUUUUCUAUCAAACCAAAUAAAUGUGAAUCUUUUUUCUUAACUAAACAAAUAUUGAUAAAAAGCUAUUUUUUUUUUUCCUAUAAAGCAUACACUGCAAAACAUAAUUUUUUUUUCACGAAAAAUUUGUUUUUACGAAAAUUUAUUUUUCACGAUUUUAUGUUGAACCUAACGACCGUUAACCCAAAAAAAAAGAAAAAAGAAAAUGUUAUACAUAUACAUAUGGCCCGGGAAAAUAUUUGAAAAUAAAGGGCAAAUUAAGGAAGACAUUGACACAAUACAUGUUGCUUUAUUGCUUUUGAUCAUCAAUGUGGCAGAAAAGCAGCAAUACAUUGUACUAGUAAAUCAUAUGUCUCAUCAAUAAAAAUCCUGAGCCCCAUCCGUAUUAAAUAUGGUACUAAAAAUGAGUGCUUUAUAUAUUAAUGCAACUAUUUUUCGUAACGCAGCUAGGGCCAUAUGUUUAAAAUAUUAUAUAUAUUAAAGAAGGUAAGAGAAUGAGUGCAUGUUGUGAAUGUACGUACGUACUCGAUUGCAUGGUGGAGAUAUGAGGUGAUCAUGCACAUUAACUGAUAUGUACUAAACUAUUUGAAAAUGAUCUUAACAAAUAUCAUAACAUUCUUUUGGCUUCUUAUAAAAUCAAUUCUCAGUUUUCAUUUUCUUAUAUAUAUGUAUAUAUAGGGUCCGGCUACUAUACUAUUAUGAGUACGAUCGCCCUCGUACUCAUAAGUUGUUUUCGAUGAUAGAGCUUCCGAAUCGACGAUCCAUACCGUUAAACGUUAUUUAUAGCAUUUAAAACUUCUAGAAAUCAAAUUUUAUAAUUUUUCGACAUCAUUUACCUUACGAUCAAGAAGUCACAAAUUUGACAAUUUUUCAACCAGGCCGUUAAUAGGAUACUUGCUAGUUAACGGUGUAAAAGAAUCAGAAUGUUGUUGAAGUUUUUGAUAGAAAAUCUAUUCACAGCUACAUAGAUAAAGAUCAGAUAACUCCGAUCUUGAAUGAAAGAUCCAAUCAUACUUUUUUAGACGUCGUGUUGAUUGAACCGUUCAAUUUUAUGCCCACUUGGACAGACUUAUAUGAUUUCGAAACUAUUUACGAAAUUUAUUUUUCUAGAAGUUUUCAAAUCUCUAGAUCAAAUUUAACGGAGUGGAUCAUCGGAUUUGGAAGCUCACAUUGAAAACAACUUAUGUAGUUAUCGAGGGCUCCAAUACUCAUAAUAGUAUAGUAGCCAUGGCCUAUCAAUAUAUAAUAUAUAUAUAAUAUAAUAUAUAAUAUAUAAAGACGCGUAUAGGGAUUCUCGACAAUGAAGACGGAAAUAGCAAGGGAUAAAAUAAUACCAUACGAAUGGUUAUGAAUUAAUUUGUUAAAAUAUCUCAAGUAAAAAGUAGAUGGUUAUGACAAUCUAUAUCUAUACUCACUAAUAAAUAGCGUAUAGGAAAUUCCGACAAUAAACAGACGGAAUCCAAAGGGAGAUAAAUAAAUAUCCCUACACAAUGGUUAUGAUUUAAUUUUUAAAAUAUCUCAAAUAAAAACCAAACGUUUAGAUCAAUCUAUUAAAUUUUCUAGCUAUAUUAAAAAAGAAAUAAAAUUAAUAUUCCCUACGAAUGGGUUAUAUUAAUUUAUUAACAAAUAUUUCAAAAAAAACGACACGAUUAUAAUGAUAACUCAUUAAAUCUCUACUGUAUAUAAAAAUCUAUUCCCUAACAAAUGAUCUAUAAUCAACAUGUGUUAUUAAAAAUAUCUCAAAUAAAAUAGUGUUAAAUUAAUCUAUAAAAAAUAGCAUUUCUAUCUAUUUAUAAAUUCACAUCCUAUGAACAAUUAAUAAUCAAGUUUGUUAGAAAAAUAUCUCAAAUAAAAACAAACGGGUUAUGAUUUAAUUUGUAAAAAUACAUUCCUAUUCAUUAUUUAUAUUUAAAUAAUUUGAGUUUAAAUUAUGAAUUAAAUUUAAUUUUUGAUAUCAAAUUUGAAUUAACAAUUAAUUUUUUUAUUACGGUGGAUCAAUAUUAAAUUUUAAAUUUUAAAGUAAAUGUGAAUUAAAUUUUAAUGCUUUUAGUUUAAAAAAUAUAUUUAAAUUUGAUUCAUAAAAAAUCAAAAAGUAUAUAAAAAUGUUCGAUAUAUAUAAAAAAAGAACACGGUAGGAUAUUGUAAAUAUUUUCUAAUAAAAUAUAACAUAUUAAUUUAUAAAUAUAAUUUUUAUUGUAAAAUUUUAAAUAUAUAUAAUGUACAAAUUUAUAUUGAUUUAAAAUAAAUUAUAAUAAUUGUUACGUGUAUUUACACGUACAUUCGACUAGUAUAUAUAUAUAUAUAUAGAGAGAGAGAGAGAGAGAGAGAGAGAGAGAAGGGCUACAGUCCUUCGUACUCAUAAGUCUUUUUUUUAUAAUAGAGAUUCCGAAUCAACGAUCCACUCCAUCAAAUAUGAUCAGAAGUAUUUAAAACUUCUAAAAGAUAAAUUUCGUAAUUUUUCGAAGUCACAAUAAAGUCCAUCAAGUAGGCAUAAAAUGCAUGUAUGGUCAAAAUCGAACGAUGUCCUAAAAAUAGAUAAUCGAAUUCUUCAAUUUAAAAUCGGAGUUAUUGAUCUUUAUCUAAAUAGUGAAUAGAAUUUUUUCUCAAAAAUUUAACCGAUUCCGAUUCUUUUUCUUUUACACUGUUAAACUAGCAAAUAUUUCCUACCGGCCGUUAAAAAUAGUCAAUUUUAAAAUUUUUUCACGAUAAGAUAAAUGAUGUCAAAAAAUUAUAAAAUUUGAUUUCUAAAUAUUUUAAAUAUUCUAGAUAAUGUUUAACGGUAUAGUUUGUCGAUUCGAAAACUCUAUCAUCGAAAACGACUUAUGAGUACGAAGACGAUUGUACUUAUAUAGAAGUACAGUAGCUGGACUCUCUCUCUCUCUCUCUCUCUCUCUCUCUCUCUAUAUAUAUAUAUAUAUAUAUACACACCUAUAAUAAUCUAUGUCGAGGGAUCUAACCAAAGAAGAUCGAGUGUGAGCCUUAAUCUUUUAAACUUAAUCUUAAAAAUAUGUAAAUAUGUAAAUCAUCAAUGUAUGAGCGAAAUUUGGGACCGAAUAGGAACGAAAAUGAGGUUUUAGACCCUGGACCAAAAUAGUGCGUAACUGGACAUAGCCUGACCCAAUCCUAUAGAAACCCUACUAUAUAGGGGGCCCCACAUACUUUUUUAAAUUCUUUGCAAAUCAAUUUCGAUUUAUCCAUUUACAAAGAAGUGCUUAUGUGGAUGCUUCUGUUUUCAUCUUCAUUUACUUUCACUGAAGAAUUUUCCAAACAAAUAAACUCAGCUCUGAUCAAUAAAAGCAAGAACUCUAAUCUUACAACUUUUGAGUAGAGAAAAAAAAAAAAACUUAAUAUGUUGAUCCAAAUAGUAUUUUAUGAAACAACAUUACAUCUAUAUUAAACCAAGAACAAAAAGGCACUCCACUAUAGUGCAAUCAAAAAAUUUCUAUAUAAGCAUUUAACUUUUCCCAGGCAAUUAUUGUCACACAAAGCUAAACCAACAUCACUUUAUCUGUUCUUUAGAGAGAGAGAGAGAGAGAGAGAGAGAGAGAGAGAGAGGGAGAGAGAGAGUGUGUGUGUUUUUGCCAGAUGGUUGAUUUGGUUUUUGGUGUUAGUGCUGAUUCCAUGGCAGCAAGACCAAAGUGAAUGAGCAUAGUUUGGCAGGCCCUCUUUUCAAAAAAAAUAUAUAUAAAUAUAAAUAUAUAUUAUAAGAGUGAAAAAAAAGGAGAAGGGUUAUUAAAAUAAGGUGAGGCCCACAACCCUUCAUGUCAGGAGAAAAGAGAGGCAAAGAUGCCAGGGAAAAUGUGAAAUAGAGAGCAUGGGCAAGCUUGCCUUUUUUGGCCCCCCCUCAAAACCCUUUCUUCACUGACCCAGCAUACACCACUAUAGCCUGCAUCUUACUUCCCAAAAUCAUGCACUCUUUAUGGGACUGCCCCUCUCUCUCUCUCUCUCUCUCUCUCUCUCUCUCUCUCUUCUUCCUUUGCUCUGAGCCUCACCUUUUCUUUUUUUUUUCCUUUUUUUCUUUUCCAUUCAUUCAUCUCUCUCUCUCUCUCUCUCUCUCUCAUAGAGGAAUGAUUAAAAAAUUAUUAACUAUUAUUAGCUUAAAGGGUUAAUUUCAUACAGCUCUGUGUAAAUAUAUCGAAUAGCAAAUAUAUCUCUGUAAGUUCAAUUUUUUAUAUUUAUUCCUGUAAAAAUCCAGUCAUAUUCAUAUUUGUCCCUUUAAUUUCCUAUCGUUAGAGUAACGUUUAUUUUUUAAUAAAAGAUAAGUAAAAUGAUAUUUUUAUCAUUAUUAUAAAUAUGUCUCUCUAAAAGUCUUAGCUGUUAGAAUUAUAUAGAAAUAUCCUCCUAAAAAUUUCAUCCCCAGCGAUCAUCUUUUUUCUUUCUACCAUCAUAAAUAAUAUAAGAGAGGUAAAAAAUUCAUUUUCCAUCGCUCACUAAUUAAGAUUAAGUAUUUUACGUAUGGUUAACUAUAUUUUUCUAACGAAUUUUAACAGUAGAAGUAUAUUUAAAAAUAUUAGGACCUUUAUAGAAAUAAACAUAAAAAGUUAAACUUGGUAGGAAUAUAUCUGCUAUUGCAAUUAACAUAGCUUAAACUUGUAAACCAAAAAAAAAGUCUUGGAUAUCAUCCUAGCUUGUUGAUUGCUAUUUAAUUGAGAAAAACACCAUCCCCCUACUCAUAUCAAAGUCCAAGUUUUAUAUAUCUAUCAAAAUCGUCCGAGUCCGAGUCCGAGGACGACCGAAUACUAUUAAAAAUAGAUGUUAUUGAUUCUCCACUGGCUUAAACUUUUGAAAAAGUAGGAUUAUUUGACUCUCACUAAUCUCUCACAAAGAACCUGCUUGAUCUAGCUAAAGUGUACAUAAAUAUUUAGAACUACUUAAAGAGAUACUGAUAACUGUUUUUGAUAUGCGAGAACAGAAGCUUUAAUUUAAAACUUUUACCUUUCGCUUUUGAUAGAGCUCUAGUUUGCUUAAUUAGCCGAAAAUAAGUUGUAGUACACCCAUAAGAUGUUACUAUUAGGAACCUUGAGACCUAGCCCUAAUCAAUCACUCUCAAUGUUUGUAGAUACAUGAUGCAUUAUAUAUGCACCCCCUCUAAUCAUGUGUAACAGUACUAGGCUUUUUCCUGUUUUCUUGUUCAAGCUACACACUGUAGUAGGGGACCAUUUAAGCUUUCAUUGCUCAAAAAUAGUUUGGGCUAGAACCAGAUGUAACAGCUGAUCUUCCAGUGGGCCUUCAGAUAUCAGAGAUAAAAUUUCAUAGAGAAAAUUUUUAAUAUUUUUUUAUGCCUUUUGAAACCCCUCAAAAGGGGGAAAAAAAGGAAGAAAGAGACUCUUUUCAGCACAAGACCAUGAACUGAUCCAAACUGGUAAUUUGCAUUCAAGUAAGAAAAUUAAGCUUAAGGGGAAAUGUUAUAAUCUUUUAUAAAGUGGUUCUCUCCCUCUCUCAUGGAAAAGUGUUUGGAUAAUUAACCAUAUAUUAGCACAACCUGGGUUUUAUAAAUUAGCAAUCACAACCAACUAUACAAGCUCUAUUCUACUAUGAGCCUGUUUGGCCUUACUGGAGCUGAAAGUGCUAAUCUUACAAGCGCGAGAUUUAGAAGAACUUCUUUAGUCGGCACCGAUUUAGCUAAUUUAAUUUGUGUCUCGCAAACCCUUCCAAAAUGAACAAAAAUGGUGUUCUUUGUGGUAAAGUCGCCUUAAAAUUAUAGAAGCAGGACCAAACAAACUCUUCAAUAUAGAAGCACAGCAAAUAAGCACUCAUUUUUAAGUUCGCAAAGAGCUAUUCUUCAACUAAAGACCUAUUUGGCCCUGCUUUAAUCUGUCUCUUUGUUUCAAUAGGCUUAUAACGGAAAAGACGUAUUUGGUCCUUGUAAAGUUUCCACAAAACACCUAUUUGAGUGGAACUCUAUGCAAAUGUACCAGUAACAACUUUCACUAGAAUGGAGCGAAAAUUAAAGUUUUAAAUUACUGCUUCUACUUUCAAAACUCUGGCGCACACAUAUUUGACUCUUGAAAAACUUAAAGAACACUAAUAGUACUAACUUGAUUAGAGAGGGAUAAAGCUAGAGACAUGGACAUAAAUAAUUAAGCAUUGUGGCUCACACACAAAUGAGAUGAGAUAUCCUUCCAAAAGAGCAUCACUUUUGAUUAACUGACAAGGUUCUAAAAUCACAUGAUCUAAAGCAAAACCCCCCACCCUCCCCUCCCCUCCCCUCCCCUCAUGUGACUGUNCUACUUCACUUACCAGGAAUUUCAACAGUUAGUACCGUCCCCAUGGCCAAAUCAAAACCCCUUUGCUUUCCCCCAAGCCUUAGCUGGUCAACCCCCUUGUGCCCAAAUCCCUCAAGGAUUAGACCCUCUUAUUAUCCUAAUCUAUCUAGCACAUUACUUUAAUCCCCCCACUUGAGCCCAAAUCCCAUCACUUGGAUUCUUAAUCCUACUUUACUGCAUUUUUUUAGUGGAACUUUGGGAAUAGCCAAAGUGUGCUUUGGAAAAUUUAUUUAAAAAGGGUGUUUGGAAUCAUCCACAGAUGAUUAAGAAUAUGGUACCAUUUGAGUGAAUAGAAUAAGGGGUUAGUGGGGGGUGGGAUUAUUUUUGUCCCAUAAUUUGUUGUCAUCUAGAUCAAGGGUUAAUACAAAAAUUAAAGUGCACCCCCAUGCCCUAGACCCUUAAAAAGAGGUCUUGGGCUUCUGAUCCUAAAGGUGUUUGAGAAGAAGACAAAGGGGUUGAGAGGGGAAUAUAUGCUUUUUAAGUAAUCUUAGGGCCAUGAAUUCCAACACAACCAAGGGUGGGGGGGCCAUGGCUGUUUUGCCUUUCAUUCAUACAUCAAAUUAAAAGCAUUGAUGUUAGGUUGUGGUGCCACACUCUCUCUCUCUCUCUUUCUCUCUCUAGUCCUCUUUGUAAUCCACACCAGAUACAUUCCAAAUCAAUCACAUAGUAAUAUCUUAAAUUAAUUAAGUUAAAUCAUCAGCUAUGUGGCAGAGUUUUAUUGGACUGUGACUAAUCAAAUUUAAUAUCUUCUCCUGAAGAUAUAUUUGAUAUGGGCAUCUUUUCACAAUUUCAUUUAAUGAAGCGAUAUUAGCUUAUGAACAUCAAAUCAUGGACUAUAUAAUAAUUCUAUUUUAAACAAUAAAACAUAAUCUUUACUUAUAUAUUUCUUCUGAAAGAUAAUAAGAUUAGAUUGGUCUUUACUUGUUCUACGAGAAUGAAAUAACUAUUAUAGAAAAGGGAUAAUAUCUAAUGUCCCUAAAAACUUCUAAAAUAUUUAAUAUACUUUUACUUUUUUUUGUUUCAAAUUACUCCUUGUAUAUUUCUCUAUUAUUAAAAAAUACCUCGGCUGUUAGUACCCAUUAAGUUAUCUCGGAUUAAACCUGGUUAAAUUUCUACCAGAGUUAAAAUGUGAGAUACCAGGUAGUCCUAUAUAUAAGAUAUAAUAGGGCUAAGCUCUUAACCUGACUUAAGUAUUUUGAGUGGUUGCUAGGCCCAAAAAGUUAAGAGAGUUAAGCGUGCUAGGAUGAAAGUAGUCCUAGGAUGGGUGACACCGUGAGAAGUUAGGGCGUCCCAGUUGAUAUUAGAACUAAUUACCAGCCGAAAGUGUGAUAUAAGUCUCGGCUGAGCCAAGAUCGGAAUGACAAGGCUAGCGAGACGAGUCUCACAUCGCCUGUUACUUGUGAGUCUGAGCUUGACGAGAACAUCAGGACUUAAAGGGAGGGAGAUUGCAAGACCCCAGAUAGUCCUAUAUAUAAGAUAUAAUAGGGCUAAGCUCUUAACCCGAUUUAAGCAUUUUGGAUAAUAACUAAGCCUAAAAGAUUAAGAAAGUUAAAGGUGCUAGAACCGGAGCAAUCCUAGGAUAGGCAAUCCCCUUGAAAGUUGGGGCGUCACAUAAAAAAAAAAAAAAUCAAAUUAUCUCUCUUACCCUUAACUUAAGGACAAAUAAGAAAAAUUGAUGAUGGUAGAAAUAUAUAUUUGAAAAGAAUAAAAAAUCAAAAUAUCUUUUUAUCCCUAACUUAAGGAUAAAUAAGAAAGGUUGGUAACGAUAGAAGGAUGUAUUUGAAACGACAAAAUAAUAAUUUUACAGAAAUAACGGUUGUUAUUAAUAAUUCACUAAUAAAAUUUAACUCUAGAAGUAUAUUUGAAAUAACUCAAAAUUUUUUUUUUUUUUUAGAGAUAGGUAGCACGCUACCCGCUUCGUUUAUUUCAUUUAUAAAUAAACUUAGCUAGAAAUGUAAAUCAACUAGAAUUCAAACUUGGGUCUCGGGUACCAACCACCAAGCCCUUUGCCACUUGCUCUAGGGAUGGUUGGUAAAUAACUUGAAACGUUAAAAAGAUAUUUUAAUAUUAGUUUUCUAAAAGAGUUAAAUCAGAAAAUGUGAAACUUUUUAAAAAUAUAUAAGCAAUUCCCCCUAAAAAAAAUAAAAUGGAUAACUCCCUCCUCCCUCCCUCUCUCUCAUACACAGACAUAUUGAAUAGAGCCUAACAGGCAUGUCACAUUCUCAUGUUCCAACUUUAUUAGGGCUUAUGGGGCCCAUGUCACAUCCCCACGCAUAUGACAAGGGUGUCAUGUCCAUGCAAGUACAUGUCAUGCAUCAAUCUUAAGUUUGAAGCCCCAUCCAUGAUGAAGCCUCAAACACCUGCUGGACCAAGAGCACUUAUGUAUGAAAUCCAAAUAAAAACACUUACAAGCACAAACCAGGAUCCAGUUGAUUGUACAUUCCAUUCACUAGGUUAAUUAACCAUUUACCAAAGAUUAAAUUUAAAUCGAAUUAAUGUAAGUUGGCUUAAUUUGGUGCAAAUUAUCCUCUUCAAGAAGAAUGGAUUCAAGAAACUUCUUUUCUUUUCUUUUCUUUUUUAUGGUUUUUUUGGAGAAAACCCUACUACACCAAAGUACCGCGGAUCGAACCCGAGAUCAUCAAGCAUUGAGAAAGAAGAUUACAAACAUUUGAACCAAGAAUACAUUGUACUUAAACCUGGAGACAAAUUAAGUACAGUUACCAUGCUUAAGCUCUUGGCUUUUUGGCACAAUCCAAGUUCACCACAUGAUUUGCUUCAAUGUAUGCUUAGUUUUAGUGUUUGGCAUAUUACAGAGACUAAUACAAAUCCAACCAAAAUUAUUUCCUAGUUCUUUUUGGCAUUUUUUUGGGGUAAAAAUUUGGAAUGAGCCCCUUAACUACAGGCCCUCUAAAAAUACACCCCUUUUUUAUUCUUUCUUUCUUUAAGGCAAUCACUUUACUUCUACUUGUUUGGUUUGAGUUAAUUAGUUAUUUAAAUUAAGGUAUUUUGCUUAAUUAUUGCUAUUUCAUUUGCUAAAAGAAGAUUCCAUCCAUCAAAUAUAAUAAUCACUAUUGGACUUAGAAAAACCGCUAAUUCGUUUGACUAAAAUCACAAAAAAUAAAAAUAUAUAUAUAUAAGUUGGAGUGUAACUUUAUUUAAAAGAAGAAAGAAGGGAAGUUGAGGGGCCUAUUCCAAAAUGGUAUAGUUGAGGGUGCCUUUAAAUUUUUACCAUGUUUUUCAUUGACAUGUUAUUGCAUCAAUGAUUGAUUUUUGUUUAACAAUAAACAAAUUCGUCUAAGAGAGAUUUCACAAACAAAACAAAACAAAAGGAACAAAAAAGCAAAAAAGUGCAACACUAUAUAUGUUUUCACAUCAACUUAAGUGGAAAAAGUUAAAAAGCAUAAAUCAGAACACUGCAAUAAGCUCCUUAAUUUGUAUUGAAUUUGUUUGAAAAGCAAAAAAAUAAUGCAUCUGCUUUUGAAUGCUAGCUGAAGUGUUAAACAAUUAAUGGAUGAUGUGACUAACAUCUUAGAUAAAUAAAAGGGACCCGAAAAUUAAAGCUACUAAUUCUGCAGCUGUUUUGGUCACAUCUAUUGCAUAUAAUCUUAUUAAUCUUUAAAACACAAAGAAAUUUAUUUGUUCAAUGCUAACAGUAAGCAAAAGAAUACAAAUUGAAAGAGAAAGAAUAGGUUUCUUAACAAUAGGUUUGUCUGUAUUUUAAAUCUUGCAAAAUUAUAUACACGACAUACAAUCAAAACAAGCUGCGUAAUUAGUAACUUCAUUUAAGAAGAGGGGUCUGUUGAACUGUUUAAUAAAGUUUAGAAAGUCUAAUUGCCACAGAGAAAGUUCAAGAACCUGUUUGCAAGAGAGGUAAAGUUCAGGAGGGCUGACAAAAAGUUCCAACUUGUAACAGAUGAAUCCAAAUGACUCCUGCAUCCUUUAUGAUCAAUACUACUAAAAGUUGCAGCAUCCCUUUGGUGGAAAAAAGCUGCUCUCUGUUGAAAGGAGAAGUCCCACAACUUUAGGUAGUAGAUUGAAUGGAGAGACAAACAACUUCAUUUUAUUUUGGAUAUGAAUGUAGAUGUUUACCUUACCCGAUUACAACAGAAAGAUGUCGAGGGGACCAUGCACGGCGCACCGACCACUUCGCACGGCUUCUCUAUCGAAUCUUAGACAGAUUUCUUUCAUUUUACUUGCAAUUAUACGUAAAAUUUUGUCAAGAAAGGAAAAAAGUGAGAUUCUAAUAUUCUAAAUGUUAGUUUGAUCGAGAAGAGCAUGAAACUGGUACCUCUAAUCAUAGUUAGGUAAACAUUCACUGUUUAGAUAUUAACAAAUUUGUAAAACAAAUUUUAAGAGUAAGAGCAAAUUAUAACCAAAAUGAGGAGGAACUUGAACUAGAACAGAUACCGAUAAAGGCACUUACCUUUGUUCUUCUAUUUCAGGUAGGAAGUUAUUAAAAUAAAGUAGAACAAAUUACAGGUUACAAGAUGCUGCAUGCUGAAUGUUCUACUGCAUCAGUAUUUAUGUUCACCAAAGUAACUUGAUUGAGGCAAAAGUUCAUCAGAAAUAGUUCUGUAACUCACUAAUUAUAUGAAUAGUUAAAUGCCAUUGCUGUACCCAAUCAUAAACACGGAUAACAACAUAAAAGAUACUAUAUGCAUCUUUUUUUUGGUUACUAAUGAAUUAAGCUUGUCCUUAAAAGUAUACAUUACUCCACAGAAACAUUGAUGUGUUUCUUUCUAAAUUUGAGGAACAAAUUUUCUAGAGAGAGUGAAAGUGUGACAUAACAAUAGCAUCACCAGAGUGUCAUGUUCUAGUAAUGUAGUAGCUCACCAAUGGGGCUUCUCCAAGUCAAUCAACAAAAUAAGGGUCUCCUCAGCUUUCUUUCACAGGUUACCUUUCCAAGUAUCACUCAAUUGAAUGCUCAAAAGUGUGAGAGAGAGAAAAAGUAGGAGGGGCUCAUGAAAACAGAACCAUAUCCUGUGCAACCAAGAAAGGCUGUUUUAGAGAGAGAGAAAGUGCGGGCAAAAAAAGCUGUGGUAAAGGAGAGAAGAAGAGCAUGCUUUGAAAUAAUGUUCAAUGUUUCAAUGAUGGCCACUCAAUUUUGACUGCUUUGGAUCAGUUUUGAAGAGAGGGAGCACAUGAUGGAUUCUUCUUCAUAUAAUUGGAACACUUUUACACAGCUACUAAAUAAAAAUAAAGUGACAUAACCUUAGAUGCAAAUCCAUUACGGUCCCAGGUUUCGAUACCAGUUGCGCGAAAAGACAAAAAAUAUAUACAGAGCCACACAUUUUUAACAAACAUAAAAAUCCAACAGCUACAGUAAACUUUUAAGUCAUAACGUAAAACCCAAAUAAAGAGUUCUUAAAAUCAAAAUAUAAACAAUUUAAUGUGAUCCGCAGCGUAUAAAAGACUAGCAAGCAAAAUUUUAUAUAACCUUCGGACAUUUAUUUCUUAUGCAUCAGAAAAUAGAUUUUUUUCUUUUUUUCAAGAGAAAUGGAUAGAGGACUUUUGAACUACUUUGUGUAAGUAAAAAUUUUUUUUAAAAAAAAUAUUUUCUUUUGUCUGCCAGCAUUUUAGAUACUGCUGAUCACAACCAAUAUAUUUACAUGGGGAAUUGGAUUAUAUACCGUCAUUGAAUCAUUUACACAAAAAUUCAAUACUUUCCACAAUCAACAAGAAGUUAGAUAUAAGCCAUAAAAUGACAAUCAAAACCUUUCAUUAUGAUAAAAACUACAUGAUCUUUCUCCCAAAAGAAUCAUUUAAUUUGGAUUUCUUAUACUUUAUGCAUCAGCUUUAACCCCCAACACCCAACACCAACCCCCCUCAAAACACAAAAAGACAAAAAAAAAAGAAAAAAGAAAAAAAAAACUGCACGUAUUUAAGAGUCCAAUACAAUGCUUUGCAACAAUUUAUCCUCUUGAAGAAACAUUGUUGAUAAUAUAAUUCUGUAUAGAAUAAAUUGCAACAAUUAAGGUCAAUUUUCUAUUUGAUCAAUCAAUAUUUUAUUUUCAUUUAUACUUUUAUCAUCUAGAUAAUAAUCAACACCACCAAACUCAUCUUUUAGUGUACACUAUGGCUUUGAACAAUAAUAUCUUAUCGAUAUAUUCACCUCUUAACAUGUAAUGAAAUCUAAAUAUUAUACACACCGACAAGAACAUUUUCAGGUAAGAUUACGAUUACUAAACACACCAUCAGAAUCAUUAGACUCAUCUGAAAAGCAUUAUAUUAAGCUAAAGCUGAAUUGUAUGCAUUCAAUGUACAAAAUAUCCCCUACAAAAAGUUGUAUACAAAAAGAACAACUAAUCUAACGAAUACUUCUUACUUUCUCACAUUAUACGCGAUCAGCCUGGCUGCAUCAUUAUAUACGACAUGGGUUAAAUGUUGUCACAAUUUUGCCACAAACUACCUCGACCAACCUAUUCCUGCACCCCGCUAGCCAAUCAUACAAAAAGAUCAAAAGGACUGAUCCAAAUCGACUGUGGCUCGUUAGUCACAAUGCUCAGAUGUUUUUUGGGUACAUUUAAGGGGUAGGUAAAGUGGAAACUCACUAGUAGAAGUGACCAAGCUGCUCCUCUUUCUUGGUAGUUCAAAAGCCCUCAAAAAAGUCCUUUUCCACGUCUCGGAUGUCAGAAUCAAAAGCAGUAUCAAAAUCAUCCACCUCUGCAGGGGUCUGAGCCUCAUUUUUCUCAUCAUUAGAACUCAUAGGCCUAUUUUCUCUAUCUUCCCAUUCAUUGGCCUCCUCUUGUUCUGUCUUCUUAGUGAACUCCUCAAACCAAUCCUUGAUUUAAUAAUAUAGAAAACAAAUUAGAAAUUCCAUACAAAAUAUGUGGAAAGUGAAUUUUGAACAUGAGUGAACAGCAUUGUCAGAGCGGAACCUCAACAUUUUCCGAUAUCCCGUCUUGCGAUUCCGUCUCCUGAUUAGCGGUUGUAUCUCUUUGGGGGUUCUCCUCGGGUUGAAUUUGCAGCUUUUGAAUUAACUCUUCAUAAUGCGAAUGAUCUGCACAAAACCGAAAAAACAGCAUAAUUACUAAUCGUUUUGUGAGUGGUAAAGGCUUGGACAAAAUAGAACUGAAGUAUAGGGAGGUUCAAAAUAAUAGCGAGCAAAGACAAAAGAGCAUAAAAUUGACCAAAAAUGAUAACAUUAUAAUUAAAAGGAAAAAGGACAACAUAAUGAGAGAUGAUUUUAAGGCAUAUAUUUUAUAAAGCUACAAUAUACAUUUCUUGAAAAGUGGCAAAUAUAAACUAGUGAGCAGGUUACCAACCAAGAAAAAGGUGGAACUGCUGAAAGUACUAAGGAACUUCUCUAGGUAACUGCUGCAUUGAUGGAAUUUCCAUCAUCUUUUCUUUUAUCUAAAUUUUAUUGUAUGAAAAUGCAACUGUUAUUUCUAAAUUUUAAUAGUUUUACAUAAUGCAUAUACAAUCUUCCAAAUUCAGAUAUUUAAACAUAUAUUCCUAGAAAAGGCUCAAUACAUGUGUACCCUUGAAAUUGGCUAUUAUCACCACAAAGACCAAAAACACAUACAUGCCUGUGCAUAUUUCACUAUACAUAUAUACCCAAAAACGAAAGUUGGCAAGCAUAAAGGAAAAACAAUAACAUCAAGAAUAUUAAGGUUUUCACCUUUAGAGCGAUAAAUUAAAGCAUCACGGACUUCUAAAGGAUGUUUCCGCUCCUCGUUUUUAUAUUUAGCUUUCAAUUCGUGACGUGUACGACCAGGGAAUAGCUGUAGUAUCAUUUCAAAGUCUGUUCCAAACUGCUGAAUAGCCUGAAGUGACAAGACAACAUUAGGAAGAAAUUUCAACAUUAAGCUAAGAAGAAAGCUCUCCAUUAAUAUCAUGAUUUUCACUUGAGCAUGGGCAUUGUGGAAUAUUAAUAUAUUUACAUAUUACCCCCUUAGCUCUAAAUAUUCAUCUCUUUGCCUCCUUCAUUAGAGUUUCUGGGCCAAUUAUAUCACUUUGCUUAUGUGUCAUUUCAGUGAAAACGUGGUUUUAAUAGUUGAAGGGAGCAAUAUGAAAAGCACAACAUAGUCAUGUGUUUUUUGCAAUUUAGCUUAAACAGUACUGAUAGAAUUAUAAGAUAGAAAGGCCUAACAAAUAGAAACUUCCAAAGAAAUAUACGAACGGUAAAAGAAUAUACGCGAGAACAAUAGUUCCAAUUAAAAUCAUAACUUUCAUUUGUUGCGUACUUGGUUACUAAUAGGAAAAUGUAAUAUAUCGCUAUUGUUUAUUGCAUACUUUGUAAAACAUUUCUGUUUCCAAUUUUGACCAUCUUUUUGACUUCGCUCUAUUCAUAUAAGAGUGGUAAUUCAAUUUUGUGGAACUUGGCUGAGCGCCGCCAUUUUCCUCGUUAUCAUGAUUUUCUUCUUCACCGCCGAAAAAAUCAAAGUCAUCUGGAUUUUUUCUUCUGUAAACACUGCAGCACAUUAAAAUAUGACUGAUCAAAUGUCAGUAAUAAUUGACAACAAAAGUACAACAAAUCCUUCACAAAUCAAAACAUACUACAAGGGAUAAGGUUGUGUUGCUAAAAUUUAAAAACAACUUCUAUCCGAUUGACGUGUUCGGAAAAAAAACUCGCAAUAUUCUUAAAAGCUUGUUGUUUGCAAACUACUACUAAAAAUGUUUUCAUGCGGUACCCUAGGUUUGUGCUUUGAUUAGAAAGCUAUAUUUCCAAAAGUUCAUGUGACAAAAAAGAAAAUGACAAUUCCCUCAAAUUAAGGUAAAGAAAUUACAGCAAAGAAUCACCAAAUAAUUUCUUCCAAUAAAAUGAAUACUUGAGCUUAUUAUAACAUGUAGAAUAUAAAGCUUCUGCACUACAAAUGUAUUAGAAUCAUAGAGUAAGGCCUUCACUAUUUGUUUCUUGUUAAGGUCAAUCCAUUUAUCGCAUGUUUGGUUCAAAUAGGAAUAGAAAUCGGAAUAGGAAUAGGAAUGGGAAUGGACCGGAAUUGAAAACGAAUAAUAAAAACUCCAAUUUGUUUGGUUCAUAAAAGGAAUCGGAAUUGAAUUCAUGUUCAAAUUAAAAUUCAAAAAGAUUAAACUUUCAUUAAAAUUUAAAUUUACUAUUCGAAUUAGCAAUAAAAAUUUGAAUCCAAAUUUGAACCCACAAUUUGAAGUUAAAAUUUGAAUUUACAAUUCAAAUUCCAGUUCACAACUUGAAUUUAAAUUUAGAACUAAAUUCAACUAUCAAACUAAUAUUAGAAAGUAAACAACUUGAGCUUAGAAAUUAAAAAUUGAAUUUUGAAUCCAUAAUUCAAACUCAAAUAUAAAAUUAUAGUUUAAAAUUAAAUAUAGAUUAAUAUUUGAAGUUAAAUAAUUGUUUGUGAAAAAAAAAAGAAUUUCUCAAUCCCUUUCGGAAUUAAAGUUGAUUCCCUCUAAAUAGGGUUUAUCCCUCUUUAACCAAAAAAAAAAAAAAAAAAGAUUCCCACUUCCAUAGGGGGAGUCAUUUUGGGGGGAAAUGUGCUAGCAUACAAUUCACAAUUGCACUAUUUUAGCAAGGAAAAAGUCACUCUAAGGGACAUUUCAAUUAUGCAGACCUAGGAAGUUCAAUGGCGCAUACAGAGGGAACCACUGCUAUCGUAAGGAACAAAAGUCAUUCUGCUUAAAAAACUUAGUUUACUUCCAUACCUUUGACCAGCUGCUGCUUGUUUACUCUGUAAACAGGUCAACAUAAAAGAGCAUAGUGAGAUAUGAAACACACUUUUAACUACCACCUAAUUGGCCUCCAAAAAAAGAAAAAAGAAAAAGAAAAGAAAGCACACCCAAUUUUUCUCAUUAUUCUCUGCUAGCAAUAUGAGAUUCCUUAUGCUAAUCUGCCUUCGAUCAAUCUCGUUCUGAGGCGUUUCAAGCAAAACCUUGUCCACUAUAAAAUGAAGCCCAAGUAAAUAUCAAGAUAAAUCCCACUAUCUAUUUUAGCAACAAAAGAUUUCACUUGCACCCAGCGCACUACAUCAACCGUGCAAUGCCCCAUGUGAUGCUAUCAAUUCCAUUUCUUCAAUCCACACUACCCAAUGAGUUGCAGCCUUUUCUUGAUUAAAAAUUUAUCCUCUUUAAAAAAGAAUUGGAUGGCUGCAUUAAAAGUGUGAGAUAGAUUUGGCAUUUGGGAAGUGCACGGAUGAUGUGGUGCUUGAGUACAGGCAAUAAUUCUUGAGUUUUAGCAUAUAUUCCCAUGCAGAUGUGAAUAGAGCUAAUACUCCUGCAAAAUUAGUAUCUGCCUGUGAAACCUUCAGAAUCUUGUUUGCUUGUGCAUAUGCCCUUGCUGAGGGUAGCUGUGCAAAAAUGCUUUUCCAUAUACCCAUGGUCAGGGUGUGAAUGCAGGUAAACAAGGUACCUAGCAGCAUCCAAGCAAAUACCACCUUUACAAGGGCAUUACACAACUUCAUAUAUCUGCAAGGACAUACAUGCAAUGAUAAAAAUUUCUUUCAUGUGUAUGAUGUAGUAGCUUCUCUUAGUGAAUGAAAAGGUCUCACAACUACCUCUCCGUCUCUUUCGACGUAGAGCAUGGGAAAACUUCUUUGGCGAUUCUUCUACAAAUGAGUUGGAUUUCUUGGAGGUUCUCUUGCGCCUCUGAUUUGAUGUCUCACUUUCAUCCUUUUGCUUCCUCGACUUUCUUGGGACCCUCUUCCUCUUUUCUGCAUCUUUGCCAUUAUAAUCAUCAUCUUCAUCAUUAUCAUCACUAAGAACUUCAUCCAUUUCAGAAAGAUUACAUGUCCUGAUAUCCGAAUCAACAUCUGCUUUCUCUUUGGACUUCUUUCUCAAAUUCCUAGAUGAUUUGGUAGCUCCAACUUCUUCAGCAGUUUCUGGAUUUGGUUCUUCAACAUUUUGGUUACCAGUAUCAUCAAAAUCGUUAAAAAACUGAUCUUUGCUGAUAUCAUUCUGCCAAAAUCAGAACCCAAGGUAACUUAGUAAUAAAAUUAUAAAAAGGUGUGAGAUAUUUACCUAUAUAACCUUUAUAUAUUUCAAUAAAAAAAACUCACAGGUCUGAAAAUUCAUCAAUGCACUUACCAAUACUUGAUUUCUAAUAUAAAUUCUGGUCGUUACAACAUCCUCUUUAGAGGAACCUUCUCUAAUAUAAAAAAAACUUCCCCAAAUGAAUGGGAUGGCUUUCCAACUUCAAAAUUAGGUAAUUUGGUAAAGAAACUUCUUUCUCAAAAGGUACAAAAAAAUUUAGAUUUUACAGAGAUAUACGGUGAUAGAUGAUUUUACAGGGAUGCGUACAUGAAAGCACCAAUAAACAUAUCUAUGAUAAUAAAACAAUAAAAGAGAUUGCAUGAGCUAAGAAGUUACUUCUUUGGUUGGCUUCAUAACAAAGUCAGCAAACCAAUCAUCAGGCAUAGGUGAUGAAUCCAGGCCAUCUUCCAAAUUUUCACAGGCCAUUGUAUCUUGGGAGGGAAUAUCUGUUUCAAUAGGGUUGGAUUGCUCAGUAUAGUUUUCUGUAGGAGCUGCAGAAUCAUUAGCAUCAGGAAGAACAAAAGACACCGAUUUCCUUUUUCCUUCUUUUUGCUGUCGCUUAGGUUGGACCUUCUCACCAUUGUUAACUGCUGAAAAAUUAUGUACACAUUAUAUCAAAAAAUUUGCAUAUUAAGAGAAGAUCAAUUACAAUGUGAUCUAUCCACCAGCAUCUCCUUACAUAAGUAAUCAAAAAUUCCUAUUUAACAAGAAGUAAUCAUUCAAUACCAAGUUGUCCUUGUACUCACCGCCAGUAGCAUUGGGCUGUGAGGAGAAAUCAUCAAGUGAUUCCAUGUUAGCAAGCAUAUUAGCUCCCUGGAAUAAAUAACUAGAAAUAUGUAAGUAGAGAAGUUGAAGAAUUCAGGUUAAAGAGCUUAAAUCAAAUUACCAGUUCAUCAAUUCCUUGACCAGGAAGAGCAUGUGAAUUAUGAUCGUUCUCUCUGUCCUGAGAUCCAUCAAUAGAAUCUUUUAAAUUGUUUACUAGUUCUUCUGAUUCCACAAGAGGUUGCUCAUUCGUGUUAGUUUUUGUUGGAGAGCUACUGCUGAGAUUUACUGCAGGAACGGACUCUACACACCAAGAAGAGCUUAGUGAUAUGAGCCACUUUUACUCCUAGGAAAGUAUAGUUCAGCAGAAAAGAAAAGUGACAUGUCCUGUGCAAAAAUAUGCAAAUUGCACAAAAUGAUCUGGCACAUUUGAGGAAAAAAGAAAGAAAUGGAGAGAAAAAACUACAGAGGAUGAUAGACAGUCCCCUAAAAAAAUGAUAAGAAAAAUUAAAGCAAGUUAUCUAAAUGAAAUUGGUGUUACUGUGGAAUAGUCCUCAAAUGUACUCAAACUUCAAUAAAAAAUGUAUAGAAUCCACAAAGCUGUCAACCUAUACAAUCUUCCAUUUGCAGGGCAGACUGUAUACCAUUUCCAGAAGAAUUAACAUCAUUGAUCCGAAAACAUGUCUCCAUCAAAUUUACACCUAAAAUAAUUAGAAUUUUUUCAGCUCUUCACAAACUCAACUGGUAUGAUCUGAAAUAUGGUUCUGUUUACUCCAACUCCUAUGUGAAAAAUUCAGAAAAACAACAGACUAAUCUUGACCCAGAAUAGCCAGAAAACUACCACGUACCAGAGGUUCCGGCAACCUGAGAAAGAGCUCUUGCCCCAGACUCCAAGCUGAAUGUUUCCAACACUUCCUGAUAAAUGACAUUCACAAAAAGGUUUUAGGAGGAAAGAGGAAGAGAAUAUUAAAUGUAUUCAAUAGGGUGUUUUUCAUAUAUAUCAAAUAUGGGAAUUUGCAUAUUGCAUGCCCCUGAAAAUUGUUCGCACCUACCAACUUUGCAGGGGUAUAUGCACAUCCCAUAAUUACAGGGGUAUGCAUAUGAAAUAUGCUAUCCAAAAUAUUUAAAUCAUCUUACCUGAGCUUCUGAUUUAUCAUGGUGCAUCUGCAUAUCAACAUCACCCUCGUAAACUUGUCGAACAUCAUGAGACGCCUCAGUGUGGACAAGUGAUUCUUCAUUUUUGUUUGGGGCUCCUUGGUCUAUGUAAAAUUCAGAGGGAAUGGCUUCCAUUUCAGAUCAGCAGAGAAGGAAAGAAGUUAUAAACAAGAAAUAUAUUCCCGCAGAAUCAUGUAAUUAUUAUGUGCAUCCUCACAAAAUCUGAUUAAAGUUCUUUCAUCUAUGCCCCUGUACUUAAUAAAAUACAAGAAAAACUUUUAUAAUAUUCCUCAAUGAUUAGCCAACUCACGAAUAAGGCAAUUUAGUAAGAAACUGCAAUUUCAAGGAACAGACAUUAAAAAUUGUGAAUUGUGGCGUUGAACAUGUAAUUGCAUAAUUCUGCAGGGGUAUAUCCGUUAAGGAAGAAAAAAAAAAAAGAUGCUGAUGCUAGAAGCAAUAGUAUAAGGGUGACAAGGUCCCACCUGCUGAGGAAGGACUUACGGGAUCAACAUUAGAGUCCAGCCCAACAGGCAUACCUGCAUCCUGAAAAUAAGUAAAUAACAAUGAAUCACUGUAAGAUAACAUACGAACCUCCUAAAUACAAAUAAAUGCUUCGUUUUUACCUCUCCCGAGCUUCCUUUAUGUGGCUCCAAAACCUGUUCCUUCUGCUUAACAUUGGAAUCAUGCGACUGAGGCUUUUGGGUGCUAGAAGAAGUACUGGCGGAAGCAGCAGUUUCAGAGGGUUUGGUUGCCGCUUUGGCGGUUUUAGCACGCACCUUCGGACGGAAUUUACCCACAUUUUUCUCUGCUAACAGAGAAAGCAAUGAGCUUUACCUUUCAAAGGACAGGGUAAAGUCUAAUAAAUCUUCAACUAAAUUCUUAUUACCAGUGUUUUCUUUUGGUUCGAGAAAAAUAUCGUCGAGAAAAUCCAAUUCAGCAACCAUGCUCUCUGCAUAAAGGGAAAGCACAGAGAAAAUGAAUAAUCUCGGCACUACAAACCCAGGAAAUAUUCAUACGUUCAAUAUAUAGCAUGAUUAACAGUAGCUCAUGUAUCAGAGUACUCCUGCUUUGGUCUCUUUCGAGAAAUCCAUUGCUAGAUAAUGCAGCAGUUAAUAAGAAUUGGCUUUAACAGCAAUUAAGAGAAAAAGAACGGAACUUUCCAAGUCGAUAAAAUGCAAGAAUAAUUCCAAAAAAAAAAAAAUUGUUUUAGGGUGACAACCUAGUUUGUUAAAACAUGCAAUACCAGCAGAUUAAAGUUCUAAAAUUUUCAAUAGGAAAAAUGCUAUGCCUCCAGAAUCGCACGCAUACAUGGAUUCGAAUACCCUCCUACUGCCUAAAUCAAUGUGGACGCAAGCUAUUCAUUCUUAUCGGCGUGAAUCACACAACAGCCCCUUGAAUCUCGCGAAUUCCACCAUUUUACGUGCACAUUCUAACUAAUAUAUAACUAUGUCGCAACCUAAGAAUCUUAACCUAUUUAUGUAAUCCGACUUGUUGAACACAACAAGUAUUUGUCUCUGAACACACCAAAAAGUGAAAACCUACAUACAUGUGAGCAGAGCACUGCAAUUACAACAUCACGCAUAGCAAACAUAAAUCCCUUUUCCCAAUCGUAGCUUCCGUAAACAGUACCAAAACAGUACUCUUCGUGUUCGAACUUUGAACCCCACAACAGAGAGAGAGAGAGAGAGAGAGAGAGAGAUACCGGAGGAGGGUGAUCGGAGGCCGAUUGCGGCGGCGCAGCCACUCGACACCGCGGCGGCGGCGGAGGAGAGAGCGAGGGAUGCGGGGAAGGAGAGAGAGAGGGAUGCGAGAGAGAGAGAGAGAGAGAGGGAAUAGGGCAAAGGCGAGGGUUUGAGAGAGAGAGAGAGAGAGAGAGGGGAGAGGGGGAGAGUCGAAGUAGGAUUUGAUUUAAUGAAUGGUUUAAUUGUGAUUUGUGGUAAUCUAAUUACAAAUUAGUUUUAAUUUAGUGGUUAGUGUAAUUUUGUGGAACGUCACAUGUCGCUGGUUCAAACCUUCAAGGUAACACAUAUCAAUUAAUAUAUAUAUAUUUACAGUUACAUAAUAAAUUAACAUAGCCCUAAAUUUUAAUUUUUUAAAAUUGUUAAAUUAUUUUUUGUUUAAAAUUAAAAUUUUAAUUUUUUAAAUUAAUUAAUAUAUAUACAUAAUAAAUUAGCAUAGCCCUAAUUUUUAAUUUUUUAAAAUUGUUAAAUUAUUUUUUGUUUAAGAUUAAAAUUUUAAUUUUUUAAAAUUGUUAAAUUAUUUUUUGUUUAAAAUUACUGAAUUUGAUGAAAUAAAUUGAUAAAUUUAAUGAGAUCUUUAAUUUUAUUAAAAUUUUCGCUAAAAUUACUUAAUUUUGAAAACUCACUUUGGGUGAGUGUUCGGGCUGGGCUUCGAGUUGGGCUAGAGCCUUUUUUUUCGUUAUAUUUAACUAUUUCGGAUUUUAAUUUGGAGUGAGUGGGCUGGGCCGCGAGGCCCAUGAGUUUGAGAAAAAAAGAAUUAAAAAAAAAAAAGAAAAUUCAAUAUCUCAUAUCCCUUACUAUAGCGCAAUUACAAAUCGUCAUCCAAACUUUACAAAGUUAAAUAAAUUUAAAAUGAGCAUUCGAAGGAAAGAGGAGCAUUCGAAUCAGGUGGUUAAUUGACACAUUUACAAAGUUUGUGUAAUUUAUGCCAAAUUACAAAGUUAGUUAUCGAGACAAAUUACGAAGUUUACGCAGUUUACUUCAAAAAAAAAUUAUAAAUAUGGUCGACCCUGACACGAUCAUGAAGUUUAUACAGUUUACUUCAAAAAAAAUUAAUUUUGAGGCCUGAUCAGACACAAUGAAUCUUGUCGACCCUAACACGGUCAGCUAUAAUUAGGGCUAGACAAGUCGGGUUUAGUUAAUCAAGACAAAGUUUAUUUCAAAACCUUUUUGAGGCCUGAUCUGGCACAAUGAAUUUGGUCGACCCUGACACGAUCAGCUAUAAUUAGGGCCAGACAAGUCAGGCUUAGUCAAUUGAGACAAGUAUGAAGUUUAUGCAGUUUACUUCAGAAACCUUUUAAGGCAUGAUCUGACACAAUGAAUAUGUUCGACUCUAACACGAUCGGUUAUGAUUACGGUAGAACAAGUCGUGCUUAGUUUGCUCAAGGUCUAUAAAAAGGUGCUAUUUGAGUGCCAUGCAACCUCACUACUUUGAAGUGCUCAUCUUUACUAUAAUUAAUCAUAAUCACUUUGAAUCCACCAUCAUCUUUGCAACAUCUUCUCUAAUCAACUAUUAAUUAUAUAGGCUUCACUUGGUUGCUUUUUGCAAAAGCAUGUACUUCCAUUGCUUUCUAAAGUCAAAUGACAUUAUAAGGUGAUGCAUGCAAGGAGAUAAGCUUUUUAUGCUCUCUUUGAUUUAAUUAUAAUGAAGAUAAAGUGCACCACUAAUAUAAGCUAAGAGCCACCUAUGCCCCCCCCCCCAACAAAGGUUCUCUACCAUGCAAUUAAUUAACUUUGUUGUUGCUUAAGCUAUUUUGAUUUUUUUUUUUUUUUUACACUGGUCCUGUUUUGCAAUUUUUUUUUAAAAAAAAAGGGGGAAAAUCUUAAGUUUCUAUCUAUGACAUUCUAAGACUUGGGAGUGGUUCCACAUCGGAUAGCUACGGUUAGUUGUCGAGGUAUAUAAGACUGAAUAGGCUAAACUUAAUAAGUGUACUUAAAAGUGUUUUAAACAUGUGGAUUUGGUCUAUAACAAGUUAUUGGGUGUAAGAUACGCAGUUCAUCAAGUAUCAGGCUUUGUGACGGGUUGCUCUUUGCAAAUCGGAUCGUAACUUCACUAUGGCGAGAAGCAAAUAAAUUUAUAAGCCUCAAAAGAGAAAUACUGAUAGGAUCGUUCUGCUAAUUCUGCGAGAUUGAGAAGUUGUUGGGAUGAAUCUAAUAUAGUGAUAUUUUUUUUUUAUCCCUUUAGCUGACGUAUUAAUAAAUUUUAAUUAGAGCUUCUACUUUUAAAUUUGAAUUUUGAAAGCUCAUUAAUCUUGUUCAAGUUACUGAAGAAAGUGUUAUACAUAUGAAAAUCCUCAAACUUAAUUUUAUUUGUUUUAUUAAAUUUUUUUUAAAAAAAAAAACUAUAUUGAAACUUCUACUUCUUGAACUUAAAAUUCGGUUUUAGCGUCAUUUCGCAGAGAAAAAUCUACAGUUUUUUCUUUUUGCGAAAUACUUUCUUACUGGUAAUCAUAGUAAAAAAUAAAAUAAAAAUAACGCAAAAUUAGAAAUAGAAAAAAGGAGUUAAAGAGACAAUUAGGACUUGCUUGGUAUUGAUGCUCCUCUAAAAUUAGCCGGCAAAACGAACAAAAAAAACAUCAUAAUCGAUUUAUUACGAUAUUCGGAACAUGAUAUUUUAUUCAAAAAUAAAUACGAUUUUUUUUUAUCGGAACACAAUCUUCCUACAAUAUCAAAUAUAACCCUAAUUCUCCACAAAAUUUGAGUGAUGUACCACCUAUUAUUGAAUACAUGUACCAGAAAAUAAAUUUGCCGGAUUUAAUUUGUGACCGUGCAUUUGAUAUUAUUUCGCACAAAAUAGUAUAGUUUUGGUUAAAUUAGUACUCUAUUUUUAAGUUUAGUAUCAUUGAAUUAUUGUACUCUGAUUUUAAUUGCAGCAUCAUUGAAUUUUUGAUGGUUACCUCUUUUUUGUUGUACCAAAGUCGGCGGUUGUUGAACCAAAUUCGGCGUUUGGUACGAAAACCAAACAUUCAAAGACCUGCAACAAGAUUUCACGGAUCCGCUUUUUGCAGGGCAUUUAUGUGAUAUUUGAUAAAUUAAAUAUUUUGAAAUUAAAGGUUUUUUUUUUCAAUCAGAGAAUCGCGAAAGUUAUUAGGAUUAACUUAUCUAAAGUAUGAUAUAUUAAGUUUGAUUAACUAUUUAAUCUUUAACGUUUUAACUUUUGCUACUUAAUCUUUUAAUAUAUUUGAUUUGAAUUAUUUGAUGAUUCAUAUAUAUACUUCACAAUUUUAAAUGUAGCAUCCAUUUUAUAGACUUUAAUUCGAGUUUAUUAUUAUAUAUUUUGUAACUAAAGAUUCCAAUCAAAUGACUUACAAGGUUAGGUAGAAAAAAUUAUGACUUUUAAAAAUUAGACUGUGAAAUCAAAAUGGACCGCAGUUCAGAUAAUUUUUACAUAUUUUUACUUUUUUCUUUUCAUGAGAUACUUUUUAUGUUUUAUUGGACAUUAUUUUUAGGAAAAACUUCAAAAACUCUCCCUGUGGUUUCCAACUUUCUCACUUUAGUACCCUGUGGUUUAAAGUGUAUCAAUUUGCCCCCCAGUGGUUUUGUUUUUAUUUUUUUUAUAGCUUUUUUCUUAAUAUUUCGUUAAAUUAUAUGCAAAAAAAUAUCAUAUAUCCAUCUAGAUUUACUGAAUAUUUACUUUAGUACUCUUUAAUUUUAAUUUUGUUACUGAUUUGAGAAAAAAAAUAAUAAAAUUGAUAAAAAAAAAGAGAAAAACGAGACCACAGGAGGGUAAAUUGAUACAUUUUAAACCACAUGGUACUAAAGUGAGAAAGUUGGAAACCACAGGGAGGUUUUUGAAGUUAUCCCUUAUUUUUAAGUAGAUACUUUGCUUACUAAUAAUUUCUACAGCAUAUUACAAACAUACUUAAAUAAUUAUUGUUAAUUGACAUAAAGGUGCAUAUCAAUAGAAUAUAAGUCGGGAAAGAAAUCUAACUAUUAAAUGAUAUCAUUUAUUAGGGUAAAUUGCAUUCAAAUUAUGAUCAGUUGGGCGACACUUUGGUUCUCAAACUUUAUUAACUAAUAUUGAUGUAUCGCUAACCGAGAAUUGUAAUUAAUGAUGCAUCAAUAAUUAAUUAAACUCCUAUGUCACUAUAACAUUAGUGAUGCAUCAAUAUUUACUCAACUAAAUUAGAUCGUACAACUUAAUUAUAAUAAUUCUAAAAAUUUGAAUAAAAAAUUAUAAUAAAUUAAAAUUUGAGUUUUAAAGUGCCUUCCCCCACCGCACGGUCUUAGGACCAAGCCUUUAUAAUUUACCGUAUAAUUUAUAAAUAAAUAAACAUAAAAGUUGUUGGUUUGUAUAGCAUUUAUGUUUUUUAAAUUAAAAGCACGCGACAUGAAAAUUAGGACUAUCUACUAGAGUAAGUCUACUGUAUCACACUUAUACCAUAUCAUUAAUAACUAACCAAUGUUAUCUCUUUGUUUGAGAAAAAAAUGUAAUAAAAAUAAUUUUCUAGUAUGAUGGAGGGAUAAAAUUAAGGAAGAAGGUCUGAUUGAUUGAAAAUAUCAUAUCAGUAAUAUAACCGAUGCAUUAUUGACUUUUUCCAUCUCACGAAUCAUAAAGCAUAAAUAAAAAACCUCACCUACAUGUAGGGCCCGUUUGUUUUGGUGUAAGUGGAGUGAUGGAACUCAAGUUCCAUCACUUUCGUUAUUUGUUUUAAUGUAAGUGAAAAAUAUAAUGUAACUCAAGUUACGUUAGAGCUCCACUUCACCUACUCUCGACUUCCUCCUCUAAAGUGUCAAACUCGAUUUUCACUACACUCAACCUCCUCUAAAAAAUUUAUUAAACAGUAAAACCUAAACUCUACUUCCUUUAUAAUGGGUUAGAAUUACCUUAUUUAUAAUAAAUUAGAAUUAUCUUUAAAUAAUUAAAAAAAAAAUAAUUAUAUAAUAGAUUAAAUUUUAUAGUGGUAAAUUUAUUACUAUAUUUAUGAGAUAAUGAGAUCCACUUACUUACAUCAAAACAACCAACGGAACUCAAAAAAUUAAUUUUACCAGCACCAAGUUACAUCAAAACAAACAACAGAAGUGAUUGAAUUUAACUUUCAGAUGGUACGAGUUACGUCAAAACAAACAACAAAAUAAUAAUCACACUUCAGAAAAACUCAAUCACCACUACACUCGACUUACGUUGAAUCUACAAAUACGUCAAUCCAAACGCUCCCGUACAGCACAUAGCAAUCUCUUAUUAAUUAUUAUUAACAACACACAUGUACCAAGGACUCUCUCUCAUUUUAAGUUGUCCUUUAUUAGUUAGUGUACCAUAAACUAUAAAAGAAAAUGCACCUUUUGAUGUGCAUGUCUAAGAUAUCAAGAAUCUCUUGGAUGACCAAGACCAAGAGAAGGACAAGCUAUAUAUAAUUAUUUAUUAAAUAAAUAAGUUAAUAAAAGAAUAAAUAAAUUAAUUAAUGGGGUAGAGAAGCAUAAAAUGUACUACACUUCUACAUGACAUAGGGGUUGAGGUGACCAAAGAAGAUUUGGGAGAUUAUGUGGCAAUAAAAAAAUGGUAGGUGUGGAAUAUUUUUUCUUUUUUCUUUUGUUGAAUAAAUAUAUUAUAGUGAAUUCCAUUGGUGAUCGCAAUUGAUUUAUGGAUAUAUUAAUUGUUUUUUGUGACCAUCUAAGUUUUUGUUUUUUUGGUUCUCUUAAUUUGAGUGUGCCCAGUAGAGUUUUGAGCUAUUUAAUAAAUUAUUAUUUUAUAAAAAUUUUAAAAAGUAAAAAUAAUUGAGAAAUUACUUUACAUUUUUUAAUAUAGUGAAAUUUUAGAACAUUUACUAUACUAAAAUUUAAAACAAAAGCAGUGUCACAUCGGCCUUAAUUUAGUUGUAUUGUUGUUUGAUAAAAUAUUAUUUUAAUAAAAUAUUAUUUUUAAGUACAUACUUUUUAAUGCACAUUUGUGUUUUUCAAAUAUUUUUAUAUUCAACGUACGCACGUACUCUCGCUUUUUCAGACUAAAAUUUUGGAUUUAAUGUUUUGUUACUGUACGACGAAAUAAAUAAUUAAUUACACUAUAAAUUUACUGAAGCUACUAUAGAGCAAUUGUUUAAAAUAUUUUAUAUUUUGUUCCAAAUUACAAGGCCUUAAUUAUUUAAAUUGAAUUUUAAAAGUACAAUUAAUCAGAACCAAGUUUCAAUAACUUAAUUUACAACUACUACUAAGGUACGUAAAUAGUAUAAAGUUUUAUAUAAAGUGUGCAUGAUACACAUCCCUCAAGGUUCAUUAAUUUAAACCACGCAUGUUUAAUGCACUAAUUAUUUUAAACAUUAUCCUCGUCAUUGUCACCUAGAAAGAUAUAUUUCUUAAGUUUGGGGAUUUAAUUCUCUCCUUUCAAUUUCAAUGCGUUGACAAAAUGGAAAAUUCUUUUUUUUAAAAAAAAAAUUAUUGUACAAUGAUUAGUAUUGGAGAUAUUGCGAAUCAGGUUAAUUGGUAGUGUAAGUCAAUUUGACAUUGACAGUAAUGAUCUAAUCAUAUGAUAUAUGAAGAAUUUUUUGUCCUAAAGAUGAUAAAAGAUUAGAAAGAUAAAAUAAUUCUAAAAAAAAUGAUGUUACAACACCAAAUUUAUUAGCUUUUUUUUCUGUAAAAUUAAAAUUUUGAAAUGCCUUACAGUUAAAUCUAAAUGAUAAGUUCCAUAUAUAUUUACUUUGUUAGUAUUUGUGUAAAAAAAAUAAAACUAUUAUUUAACUUCCCCCACAUUUACGCUUGAGAUAUUUCAAUAAAAGAAUACAAAAUAAUCGUACGGUGUUUUAAUAAUAUAUAGGAUAAAUUUUAAAUACCACUUCUGUGGUUUCACAUUUUCUCACCUUAAUUAGUACCGUGUGGUUUAAAAUGUAUCAAUUUAGCACGCUAUGGUUUCAUUUCUUCUUUUCGUUAAUCCUUCUGUUAACUUUUUAUUAAAUCACAUACAAAAAACUUCAGAUACCCCACCUAUAGUUUAUUGAAUAUUCACUUUAGUACUCGUUAGCUUUAACUUUGUCACUAAUUUACCAAAAAAAAUUAGUGAAAAGAUAACAAAAAGAGAAAAAUGAAACUAUAAGAUACAAAAAUAAUACAUUUUAAACUACAGAAUACUAAAAUGAGAAAGUACGAAACCACACCAAUGAUGUAUUAUUCAUCAAUAUUUUGUGUCAUGGUUAUGAACCUUUUAAUUUUCUUUUCUCUUUUUUGAUCUUUUCCUUUUGCUCUUCUUUUUUUCUUUGUAACGUCUCUUUCCCUGUUUUCAAUUGACCGCGACCACUUAAUUUCACUCUUUCUUUAAUUUGUCUUCUUCAAUUUUUUUUUCCUCCUUUUCUCUGACUCUUUUCUCUCACUUUAUUUUCUUUUUUCUACUUUCUUUGGAAUGUAAUCAGGUUUAGUCAAUUUACAGUAAUAGUGACAUUAAUAUCUCUCUUUCCGUAAUUCUCACUUUGAGAAUCCUUUGAAUGGGAUGCAAAUUUAGCAUCUUUUGACUUUGAAAAUAUUACCUUGUCGCAUGUACACAUUGGUCCGUCUUAAUUUGAUUCAAUCGAUACAAGAUGUGGAUCAGAAUUUAUCAUAAUAAAUUAUAGAUAGUGACAAAUUAUAUUUUGUUUUUCUAUUAGUUAAGAAAUGUAAUUCUUAAUAAAUAUCUUAAUAAGUAUUCUAAUUCUAAUUUAUAUGUGAGAAUUAAGAUAUUUUUUCUGAUCAUAUGAACUUCUUUCUCUCAAUUUUGACAUGAGAAAUAAAAAAAAAUCAUUCUUUUUCGUUCGAUGUUUAUGUUUUUGGGAUUUUGGAGGGUAGACGAUCGAUUGUGGAGAUUCUAGCAGUCUUCCACGAUAAUCAAGCGUACGUUGAGGUCCUGACACGACGUCCCAUCGAAGAUUCAGAAAGUCGCCACAGAUUCAAGAGGCUGUAAGACGAGUGUGACGAUCCAACAUGUUUUUCCGCUGAAGCUAUUGUAAAUACUAUUGCGAAGUUCAAAUAUAUUUUAUAUUAUGUACAUUAAACACCUAAAGAACAUAUUUAGAAAUGUAUCUAAUAACUUUAACUCUCCUUUUAUUUGAUGCUCAUGAAAAGACAAAUAGAUAUCUAUGUCCUUUCUUAAUUUGGUAACAAGAGAAGAAUACUUAAAAUUUAAACAUUUGAUUCGGGAGGAAAAUGUAGACAAAGAAAGUGUGAACAAACACCACAUGAUCUAAAGUUCCAAUCUAUAGCCUCUUCCUCCAUUCACCUUCUCCACAUCUUCCUUGUUCUCUCCUCUACCAUCUAAGCCCUUGAGGCAAUAAUGCUCGAACCUCUCAGCGGAGCUUUGAGGGACCGAAAUGAGCACGUUGAACGCGUGCAAAUCCCCGAUCACCGGCAAAAACAAGCAAUAGAUCUCACUUGCUAGAGUGCCCAUGUGAAGGGGCCUUCCUUCCCCGAAAUCCAAGUCCUCUAAUCCGAGCUUCGACCAUGGCGAGAUCACUAGGCUCACCGAUAGGUCCGGCUUACCCCUCUUCACCUCCAAGAGAUCGAUCAUUGACCGAACAUAGCCGUCGUUGACGAACUCUUUAGCCUCUUGCACCAAUUUAACUCCGUAGUGCACGUUAGAGGUGACUAGUUCUUUCACUGACGUCUCCGCACAGCCUAGCACAAACGCAUUGCCGUAAAAGCCUCGAGGGAGCUCAGGCUUUAGCUUCUUGCGUACAUUGAUCGAGAAGAGGAGCUUGGCUCGAAGAGUGGGGGGCAAUUCUAAGGACUUGACCCACGAACGCCAGACGUGUGACGCGAGGACUUCAAAGGAAGUACACUUGAGGGAGGGGAUGCAUUGCUUCUUGAGGUGAAGAAUGUGCGAGGAAUUGAAGGUCAGAGAGACGACGGAUAAGGGUUGAGAGAGGAGUUGAGUGAGGAGAUCGAAUGAGGGGUCGUUACAAGGAUGGGGAUUGAAUUCGGGGUGAGAGAAGGUGAUUUGUGGGGGAAUUCGGGGUUUUAGCAUGUGGCGGUCAUGGAAGGGGGCGAUCGGAAGGGCGAAGUUUGGCUUGGCGGUGAUGUGAGCCCAUGCAUGAAGGAAUUGAGCCGACCCUAUGCCGUCGCAGAGGCAAUGGCUGAUUGCAGUGCAUAGAAUCAUUCCACCACACCUUAGAUGAGUAACCUACACACAAGUGAGAAAAAUAAAGGGAUACAUUAGAUCUUAUUAACAAAGCAACCACCCCACCCUAUUCGCCUAGUUCAUUUUUCUUAAUGAAUGAAGCAGGUAACUCGCUACCUUUUUCUCAAAAAAAAAAAAAACAAAGCAACCACCACAUUGAGAUGUGUUAAUUAUGUGACAGAUCUAGUGGAAACUUAUUUCUUUAGGAGCCAAAAAUAAAGUGAAUUGGAAAUUCAAUAAUUACUUAUUUUGAUAGGUGUAAAGUUGGUGGAUGAUGAUGACAAAUCAUAGAGAAUUAAACACUUGGCACAAACCUAUGGGCCAUGAAUGAGGGAAAAUGAUGCUUGGAGAUGACCUUUGAUAGAUUAUGUUGGAUGUUUUCAUGGAGGAGCUAAAUUGGUAGGCCAACAUGUGACAGUGGCUAGGGAGCCAACUCCAACAUGAUAAGCAAUGGAGAGAGAAAAAGAAAAAGGGAAAAAAAAAUAAAAAGGUGAGGGGAAAAGUCAUUCUCUUUAAAGCAAAUGGGAGCAUUUAAUUUCAAUAGUAGAAAAAAAAAAUCAUAUACUUAGUUUAAUUUACAACCACACAAUUAACUAUAUAAAGUUAGGGGAAAAGUAAAUGGAAUGAAAAUCACCAAACAACCAACAUGUUUAAGAGAGAGAGGGAGAGGGAGAGGGAGAGGGAGAGGGAUUUAUCACACAUAGUACUGAAUCAUAGUAUCCAAAUUAAGCUCAUGAAAGGGAUGUUGAUCUUAUCACCAAAAAACAUCUUAAAGAGGAAAAAAGAGAAGAAAAAAAAAUGUUUGCUUUAAUGAAAGAUAAUAAUAAUAAUCUCUUAAAAAGAAGAGUGGGUAAGAUCUCAAGGCAAAGCAUAUAAUUAUACAUACAAUCCAUGCCUAAAAAGUGGGAGGAGAGGAAUAAUACAAAUUAGGAAUAUUGCAAUAUGCUUGUACUUUGAGAUGGAAACCAGUUACUUUAGACCCAAUGCCCAAAAUCCAUAGCCAUCACAAAACCUUUGCCAUCUUUGGCAAGCAUAUAUUUGGGCAGUCCAAAUAAAAAACCAAGAACUAGUUGGAGAAAAAAAAGAAAUGUAAAAAAGACAGGUCUAUAAAACCCAAGAAGAACUUGACUCAAUGGAUUAAAAAAAAAAAACAAAAAGAAAAAGUGAUUUUAACAUAUUUUAACAUUUACUACAACGAUAUAUCAAAUUUAUUGAAUCUAGCUAAAUUUAGCGAGGAAAUAGUGAUCAUAUUCAAUAAAUUUACUAAAUCUAUUUAAAUUUGAGAAAAUAGUGAUCAUAUUUAACGAACUAUUUUUUUUUAAAAAAAAAUCAGCUAGAAAAUAGUGAUCAUAUUUAAGGAAUUUAUCUAUCAGUAGUGAGAACGACAGGAUAAAUUUGCUGAAUCUCUUUAAAUUUAUCCUGUCGUUAUCACUACUUAUAGAAAAAUUCACUGAAUAAGAUCACUAUUUUCUUGCUAAAUUUAACUACAUUCCAUAGAACUGAUGAUCGUAUUUAAUGAAUCAAACUUAUCUGUUAACAAUAAUUUUCGAUGUAUUAAUUAAUGGGAUCAUCACCCACAAUAAUACACUUUGUUACUAGUUAAACACUUCACAUAGAAAAAAAAAGAAAAAAAGAAAAAGAAAGGUGAGACCACAAUCACUCACCCAUUUACAAAUAAGGGAACUUGAAAACAUGUUAUUAUUAUCAACAUGAAAUGAGAGGUAAAUAAUUAACUUCAACAAGGAACUAAAAACAACCCAUGAGAGAGAGAGAGAGAGAGAGAGAGAGAGAGAGCUCACUUGGAUGACAAGUGGAGGAAUACCCACAAAGCUCUGAGCCUCCACCCUAUACAAGAGCUUCCUCCAAGACCUGUUGGGCUUUCCAGAACCUUCUAGAAACUCCCCAGCAGUGAGAUCCACAAACCCUUCAGCAAAACAAGCCCUCACCCUCCCAGCAAAAGGGUAGUAGUCCACAAGCACUUUGGCCAGAGAGGCCCUGAGUGCUUCCCCCAGCAGUGCUUUUCUGAAUAGGUAGAGGUACUUGAUGGAGAACCUCAGGAACUUCUGGUCAUCAAGGUUGGAGAGUUGGAGGGUGUGGUUUGGUGUGGGGCUGCUUGGGCACACCAAGAUGGGCUCUUUUGGGUAGAAGAUGUCUGGGAUUUCUAUGGACUUUGUCAUUGCCUCUUCCCCCUCCCCCCACCUUUUCCUGGACAAAGAAUAGAAGGAGAGAGAGAGAGAGAGAGAGAGAGACUAAGAUAUAUGUAUGUGUGUGUGUGUGUGUGUGUGUGUGUGUGUGUGUGUGUAUUAUAUAUUAUAAUAUAUUUAUAGGAAGAGAGGUGUUAGAGACUAGAGAGAGAUAGGGGGGCUUGAAAGAGACAUGGGGAGGUGGGAAGUUUUAACUAAGUGAGAGAAUGAGAAAAAAAAUAAAAAAUAAAAUAGAACAGUACAUCAAUUAUAUUGCAAUUGAUGUGGCGUUCUCAAUCAAACAGAUUGUUUCAUUUAGAUUUAUUCAUGUUACUGUAUCUUUUACUUAAACUAAGAGAUAUAAUCGGCUGUUAAUAGAUUACGUAUUGUAUCUUUUAUAUAUAUAUUGUAGAAUCUCUUGAAAAAGAGAGAGAAAAAAGUUUAGAUUACACUAGUUAUAUUAUUGACGUAGCGUCCUCAACCAAUAAAAUUAUUCCUUUUGAAUUCACUCAUUCCAUCAUGAUUAAUAAAAAAAAAAUAUUCUUAUUAUAAUUUUCUUUCAAGAAGUAAAAUAUAAUUGACUUGUUACUGAUAAUAUAGUACAAAUAUGAUACAGUAGACUUCAUGGACAUUAGAUAGGGAGAGAGAGAGGGAGAAAGAUUCUAGUUUUUACUCUGUAGGGAAAUAGGUGAGUGAUUUGGCAGUGGAAAGCAGUAAAUUGUUUGUUUAUUCUGAAAAAAAAUUCUUUUUUCAUUUCUAAUAAUUUGUUGGCUAAUAACUGCAUGCACUGGAUGUUUGUAGAAGAGGAAUUUUGGUCAUGGUAAAAAUUUCCACUUGAGAGCAACUUGUACCAGAAGGGUCCUCACUUUAGUAUUUAAGUUUACUAUGCUUUUGUUUUAUAGGGAAAAAUGAACAAAGAUUCCCUCACCUUUAGCUCUUUUAUAACCACAUAAAUGAAGUUUCAAUUUUGACUACUAGAUCCCGUAAAUUUUAUCAAAUAGUUUAAUAUAUAAUUUUUUUUCAAUUAAAUUUAUCAAAUAUACAAGUAUUUUUGUCGUAACUAUUGCAUAUAGUUUCGUAGAACUUCAAAUCACAAACAAAAAAGCAAAAAACUAUUGAAGCUUGGUUCAAUCAUUUUUUUAUCGUCAAACUUAAUUAUCAAAAUUUGAAGAAAGAAUUAUAUUUUUCUUUUUAUAUAUUUUGAAGUUUUACAGGAUUAUAUGAACAGUAUUUCAUCAAAAUGACAGUGUAAUUAAUAAUUUCACUUGAAGAGAGGGACCUGUUAAACUAUUUGAGAAAGUUUAAGGGAUGUAAUUACCAAAAUUAAAAAUUUAGACUUCUAUUUACAAAAGAGCUAAAGUUUAGAAUGUCUCUAUACAUUUUAUUCCAAACUUAGGCUCUUCUAACUUUUAUUUUGUUCUGUUUCUGCAUUCGAUAAUUAAUAACAAUUUCUUAUAGAAUAUGGAAAAGAAGAAUAGCUCGAAACUUUUACAAUGGCAAGCAAAGAGAAGAAAAAAGAUUCUAAAUCUAAAAAUACUUAGAUAUUUUAAUAUGACAAUUUUCCUAAUAGUAAUUAGACAAUAUUUCAUCAAACAACACUACAGACUAAGGUAGGAUCAUAGAGAAUAUUCUAAGAAUUAAUAUUUGUAAUAUUUGUUGAUUUUGUUAUUUACGAACCAAACUAGCUUAAAUUAUCUAUAAAUAAUUAAAAUAGUCCUAUUAAUAUCAAUUCUCAUAUUGUUAGGAAAAUGGAGACAAAGGUGAAAACUUUAUUUUUUUUUUAAAAAAAAGAGUAGAGAUGAAGACUUUCCAACCAUACAAAAUGCAAAACAAGUAUAAUCUUUUAUGGUGUUUAUGAGUGAGAUAGGCGCAAAUAAAGCCGGAGUAAAUUAAUGGACCCAAUAAAUUAGGAAAUGGUAUAUUGGACAAGAUUGAUUAGACAUUUCAUGAGUCACAAAUGAAAUGUAAACAAAGACAUGAUGAUGAUGAUUAUUGAUUUUAUAUAUACAUAUAUAUAUUCAUGUGAUUUUGCAAGAUUCUUCUUUCUUUAGAGUGAUAGCAACAUCACCAUUGUAGUGUCGCAAUGUGGUGUCACAUGGUUCCCUAAAGGGUGUUGGAAAUAAUGCGGAUUUUGAUAAGUUAAUUUCAAAAUUAAUUAACAAUAAUGUCUCCUUUAACAAAAAUAUAUAAGGACAUAACAACCAUAUUACAAAUGUGGAAGCUAGCUAGUAAUGAACAAAGUAAAGCAAGGGAAAGGAAAUUUCAUCUUACCUAUUUGUGGCAUGUCAAAACGCUAUCCAAAAAGUAUAUAUAUAUAUAUAACGCUCUUUGGCAGUGAGGUUUCUAGUGAAAUCUAUCUCUAAAUUAAAAAUAUGAUGAAAUGAUCAUUUCUAUUAGCAUGAUUUUAAAGAGGCAAGUAGAAACUUCGACAUUUAGUAAGAAACUAUGUUUAGGAAAAUGAAUUGGUAGUUAAUUUUAAGGUAAAAGCGAGAUACAUGAUGUUUUGAAGAGAGAAAAACAUGGUGAAGAAAAGAGCCUUUUCCAGUUUUCUCAUGGAUUCAUAGCUCAUUUUUAUGCUAAUUUUUCUUCUCCAUUUAUCAGCCGAAUAUGCCUCAUUAUUAUUAUUUUUUUAAAAAAAUAUGCCCCAUUCUAGGCUUAAUUAAUUAAUCAAGCCUCCUCCAUAUAUGGUUUGAAUUGUUAUGGAGGGCCAUAUAUAUGUAGUGCAAUAAGGGGCUGUUUGGUUGUAUGCAUUUCCAACAGUAUUGCAGUUGAAAAUGCAUGCAUCUAUUAAUUUUUUGUUUGGUUUGGUGCAGUUAGGCUCAACUGUUACAGUUGCAUCUGCACGAGAAGGCCCAACUGCAGCAGUUGGUACUACAACCAAAUUGGCCGUAGUACCAACUGCAGCAGUUGAGCCGGAGUUGGCUUACCUAUUAAAAAAAUAAACAAAGUGUGAUUUUUUUUUUCAUAUGCUUCUUUUUUUUAUUUUUUUUUCUAAAAAUACAUAUUCAUGAAAUCUGAUAAAAUUUAGUAAUGUCUAUUAGGGUCAAUAAAUUUUUUUCAUAUGAUUCUUAUUUUUUAGUCUGCUAAUUUAAUAAUAUCUUAAUUUUUAUUUUGAUCAAAUUUAUAAUAUAUUUAUAUUUAAAAUUUAUUAAAUUCAUAUAUAAUUUUGUAAUAUAUAAAUUAUAUAUAGAUAUAAAAGUCUUAAUUAAUAAUUAAAACAUAAUUACGUUAUGACCUUUCUAAUCUAAAAAAUAUGACAUGAAUUUAUAAAUAUAAUAUCCACUACAGACUGCCAAAAUAGUAAGAAAUUAACUCAGCAGUUGCAACUGCAUAAAACUAAACAGACUAGGUGUAGUUAUGACUGCAGCAUUUACAACUGUAUGUACUUCCAACUACACUAUUUUUACAACUACAUCCAACCAAACGGCCCCUAAGUGAAAUACUAUAAGGUAAAAGCCAAGAAUAACCUAAAAAAAUUAACAUUUCAAAUAACUAGGAGUACUAAAUUCUGAAUUCUACAUAUGAAAAAGUAAUUAAUAUAUAUAUAUAUAGAGAGAGAGAGAGAGAGAGAGAGAGAGAGAGAGAGAGAGGGAGAGAGAGAGAGAUGAGUUGUUAUUCUUUUAAAUGUACAUGAGCUCAACGUGCUUAUAAAUUUUUAUCCAUCGAAUGGCCUUAAGAUCCAUGCAACACUAGUAAAAGAGGUUUUACAGAACACACCGUUAAUAAUACUGUAUGAAUCUUUGGACAAUUCGACGAUUAAAAAAUCACAAACACAAAUACUUUAGUGCUUUUAAAAAUAUAAGAUCUCAACUCUCUCUCAAAGAAGAUAAAUUAAACUUUUCUAUUACUUUGACACAUGAUUUUUAUUGAAAAGCAUGAAAAUGAAGUGAUUGCAACUCAUCACUGGUAGCUCAAGUGCACAGUACUGUUCAUACAUACAGCCCACACUGUUAGCUAUCCUAUAUAAGCAACUUCUUUUCAUAUCUAUGUGUCAAUCUAGCUAGCUCAAAAAGGUACUAUUUUCCCUCCUUUUUAAGCUUUUUAUGUCACUGGACACAGGUGAAACACCAAAUAUGAAAGGAACUAAAGCUUAAAUGAGCCCUACCAGGAAAAGUGGGCCACUUUGAUAUAACUCAUUACCAGUAUGUUUAAUCAAACAUGCUUCCACAGUCAUUUCCCAAGAAAAAAAAAACUAUAUAUAUAUAUAUAUAUAUCAUAAUAAAAUACUCCAAAAAAAAUCUAAUUUACUUUCUCAAAAGAAUCCAAUUUAUGAUGUGAGAUCAAUCCUCAUCUAGGAUCCUCCAUGACCUAUUGCCCUCCAUAUCAAUUCUCUUCUCACAGGAACCAUAAUUAAUGCAUGAAAAGAAAAAAAAUAAAAAUAUAUAUAAUCCUAUUUUUCAUGCAGUGAGAAAAGCUUCGACUUACAUAUCUCCUUUUCAAUAUUUCCAUGAUCUCCUUGGAAAAGGUUAAUGUAUAAUAGUCCUUGAGAAAUUAUUUCUUGUACGAGGCGCAUCUAUAAAUUUGUACACGGCACAGUCACAAUCGAUUGUUACUGUCCACAAGAAGGACAUUUAGUAUAUGACAAGCACUUCAUAUCAUUUAUAUCUAAUUAUUUAUAUUUAUAAAAAAAAAAUAACUUUUUUAAAUUAUGCUGGCAUUAUUGAAUUUUAGAAAAAUAAUUUUAUUGGUUAGAAACGUACGUUCGUGUGAUUGCUAAAUUUUAAAAUUUUUCGUCCACCGGACAAUAAAAUCAGAAGUACUAGAUUUCAUAACGCGAUAAUAUAUAAAUGUGUGAUGUGCGAAUGUACAAAUGUACUGGACACAUGCAAUGUCUGAUUCGAUAGAGCUAUAUCUUUUUUAAAAUAAAUUAAGAUUUAAUACACCUCUUGUUAUUUUAGAGAGGUCAAGCGAUCUAUGUGGUAGGAAAAUCCAAAUUUUUGGAGUUUUUGGAUUACUUAUUUCUUUUAUUGAUUUAUUUUAUUUAUUUAUUCAUUAUAUAUAUAUUUUUUUUGGUGAAAGAAAAUGUUCAUAUUUUUCUUAUGCUUAGCGGGAGCGAAGUUGGGAUGAAAGGUUGUCGAAUAUUUGAUUCUUUCGUCUCUAUUUCUAUCCUCUCUUAUUUGUCAAGAAAAUAGUACUCCAAAAAAAAGAAAAAAAAUUAUCUUCCUCUCGAACCUAUUUUUGUAGUCAAUGGUUUUCUUACCAUUUAUUUUUUUUUCUAUUCAUUAAGUAUUGGAUGAAUUUUCGUCAACCUCUGGCACGACCGUACUUGCAGAAGUAAAAAGUCUAAUUAUAUCUUAUGAUGGUGUUUCUUGAUUUUUGGAUAAAUAUAUUUUCUACUUCCUUCUACUUCAUUUUUCGGACUUUUCUUAGGGAUUUCUUAUAAGUUAGUUUCAAUUUAAUCACAAAAGUUUGUUAGAUUUCUUAAUCACAGUUGGAACUCUGGUGAUCAUUUAUUUCUGACAAUGUGUCAUGCAUCACACACCUUUUGGCCUUAUAUUCUUUCCAUUCUUUUUUUUUUUUUUAACCCGAAAAAAAGGACUUGAGUGCAAAUACCAGAUCUUUCAAAGGGUCCCCUUGUAAUCGUAAAUAAGCCAAUUGUACCUCCUCAUUCAUACAUAACAAUUGCCAAGUCCAUUGAUAUAUAUAUAUAUAUAUAUAUAUAUAUAUAUAUAUAUAUAUAUAUAGAGUGAGGCUACUAUGCUAUCGAAAAUAGGGAGCUUUCCGUGCUUCCAGCUCGUUUUCGAUGUUGUGCGACUUUCGAAUCGUCGAUCGGCUCCGUUAAACUUGAUCUAAAGUAUUUGAAGUAACUAGAAAAUAAAUUUUAUGAUUUUACUAUAUUAUUUGCCUAGUGAACGAAAGGGCUCAAAAUCAACGGCUGAAAAUAAAAAUCUUACAAAAUGUAAUAAUAUGACAUUAAAAUUUUAAAUCAAAGAUAUUGAUCUUGUUUUACAGAGUAUAAAGAAUUUUCUAUCAAAAUUUCACAUGAUUUGGAUAUUUUUACACCAUUAAACUUGCAAACGGCUCACCACGGUCAUUGAAAUUCGUUGAUUUUGAGCCCCUUCGUUCACUAGGCAAAUGAUAUAGUAAAAUCAUAAAAUUUAUUUUCUAGGUAGCUCCUAUAAAUACUCUAGAUCAAGUUUAACCGGAGGCCGCACUCAGACCGAUUCGAAAGUGCAACAUCAGAAAACGAGCUGAAAUGCACGGAAGGCUCCCUGCUUUCAAUAGCACUAGUAGCCUUACUCUAUAAAAGCAGGAGCCUUUUCGUGCUUUCAGCUCGUUUCGAAGUUCGCGAUCUUAUAUCGAUCGAUCGGUCUCCGUUAAACUUGAUCGAGAUAUUUGGAGUACCUAAAAAUUUAUGAUUUUACUAUAUCAUUUGUUAGUGAACGAAGGGGCGCUCAGAAUCAACGGCAUUGAAAAUAAAAAACUUUACAAAUAAUGUAAUAAUAUGAUAUUAAAAUUUUCAAUCAAGAUAUUGAUCGUUGUUUACAUAGGAAUAAAAAAUUUUAUCAACAUUCAAGUAAUUUGAAUAUUAUUCUACACCGUUAAACUUGCAAACGUUAAAAGUAUUCUUAGCUCAAUUAUAAUAUAUAUAGUAUAAUAAUUAAAUAAUAUAUAUUAUAUAGAGAGAGAGAGGAGGAGGAGAGAGAGAUGUCCGCUCUAUCUAUAGAUAGUACUAGCUUUGGACUAUAAGUUUACCCGUUAGAUUAACCUCUGUGAUUCAUUUCACCCUGCUUAAGAUUACAUUAAACUCACCACCAGCUCAACCUAGGGCCACAAUCAUCCUAACCGCACACCUUCCUAACUCCAACUACCAAAAAUUUCAAUAGUAACAAGGGCUUGUACUAUUGAUAGUAUAGAGGCAUAAUUCUAUAUAUAUAUAUAAUAAUAUAAUAUAUAUAUAUAUUAUAUAUAUAUAUACUAGUUCAGCUAAUGAUACUUACAAGUAUCAAUUCAUCGUGCUAAUUAGGUUUUAAGCCCAUUGGAUCUAAUUUUGAUAUUAAUCAGCCCUAGAAUUAAAACUAUUCCACCUACACCACCUAACCCAUCAUCCUCAAUCCUUGCACAUCUUACCAUCCAAGCGGCCUAAACACAAUCGUAUCACCCCCAUUGAACUUUUACAAGUAUUUCUAGCCCUACUCUAAUAUAUAUUAAUAUAAUAUUUGGCUGGUAUGCGUAGGAAGCACGGAGGCUCCGUGCUUCAAUUGUUUUCGAUGUUCGGCACACUUCGAAUCGACGAAUCGCCCGUUAGAGUUGAUCUAAAUAUUUUAAUACCUAGAAAAUAAAAUUUUUUACAUUUUCCGAUAUCAUUUUCCUAUAUCGAAGGGACUCAAAAUCAAUAAUUUUAAUGGCCGUGGUGAGCUGUUUGCAUGUUUAACGGAGUAGAAAUAUUCAAAUCAUGUAAAAUUUUGAUAGAAAAAUUUUUAUACUAUAUAAAAUAAGAUCAAUAUCUUUGAUCUAAAUUUUUAAUGUCAUAUCAUCACAUUUUGUGAAAUUUUUAUUUUCAGCCGUUGAUUUUGAGCCCCUUCGAUCACUAGGCAAAUGAUAUCAAACAAUCGCAAAAUUUAUUUUCUAGGUACUUCAAAUACUCUAGAUCAACUCUAACGGAGCCGAUCGUCGAUUCAAAAGUCCCAACAUCGAAAAUAACUUGGAAGCACGGAGGCAUCCGUGCUUCCAUAAGCAUACUAGCCGCACUCAUAUAUAUAUAUAUCGAGAGAGAGAGAGAGCAGGGCUGCUGUGCUCUCAGGAGCACGGAGGCCUCCGUGCUCCUGAACUGUUUUCGAUGAUGGAAUUUUCGAAUCGACGAUCGACUCCGUUAGACUUGAUCUAGCGUAUUUGAAGUUUCUAAAAAAUAAUUUUUACGAUUUUUCGAUAUCAUUUUCCUAGCAAUCGAAAGGAUUUAAAAUCAAUAAUAUUUAAUGUUUGAUAUCUGUCGUUUUCAAGUUUAACGGUGCAGAAGUAUUCAAAUCAGAUGAAAUUUUGAUACAAAAUUUUUUUUACUAUCUACAACAAGAUCAAUAUUUCUGAUAAAAAAUUUUAGUACUAUAUCACCACUUUUUAUAAGAUUUUUAUUUUCAGCCGUUAAAAAUUAUUGAUUUUGAAACCUUUCGAUAGUUAGUUAAAUGAUAUCGAAAAAUCGCAAAAAUUAUUUUCUCGAAACUUCAAAUACGCUAGAUCAAGGUUAACGGAGCCGAUCGUCGAUUCGAAAAUUCUAUCAUCGAAAACGGCUCAGGAGCACGGAGGCCUCCGUACUCCUGAGAGCACAACAGUCCUGCUCNGGCACAGUCACAAUCGAUUGUUACUGUCCACAAGAAGGACAUUUAGUAUAUGACAAUCACUUCAUAUCAUUCAUAUCUAAUUAUUUAUAUUUAUAAAAAAAAUAUAAUUUUUUUAAAUUAUGCUGGUAUUAUUGAAUUUUAGAAAAAUAAUUUUAUUGGUUAGAAACGUAUGUCGUUCGUGUGAUUGCUAAAUUUUAAAAUUUUUCGUCCACCGGACAAUAAAAUCAGAAGUACUAGAUUUCAUAACGCGAUAAUAUAUAAAUGUGUGAUGUGCGAAUGUACAAAUGUACUGGACACAUACAAUGUCUGAUUCGAUCGAGCUAUAUUCUUUUUAAAAUAAAUUAAGAUUUAACACACCUCUUGUUAUUUUAGAGAGGUCAAGCGAUCGAUGUGGUAGGAAAAUCCAAAUUUUUGGUGUUUUUGGAUUACUUAUUUCUUUUAUUGAUUUAUUUUAUUUAUUUAUUCAUUAUAUUUAUUUUUCUUUUGGUGAAAGAAAAUGUUCAUAUUUUUCUUAUGCUUAGCAGGAGCGAAGUUGGGAUGAAAGGUUGUCCAACAAUUGAUUUUUUCGUCUCUAUUUAUAUCCUCUCUUAUUCGUCUAGUAAAUAGUACUACAAAAAAAAGAAAAAAAAAUUAUCUUCCUCUCGAACCUAUUUUUGUAGUCAAUGGUUUUCUUACCAUUUAAUUUUUUUUAUUCAUUAAGUAUUGAACGAAUUUUCGUCAACCUUUGGCACGGCCGUACUUGCGGAAGCAAAAAGUCCAAUUAUAUUUUAUGAUGGUGUUUCUUGAUUAAUCCCGCACGAAAAAUGAGAAUACAUUUUAGAACAGUACCUCACACGCUUUUGGAUCAAAUAUAUUUUCUACAUCAUUUUUCGGACUUUUCUUAGGGAUUUCUUAUAUAUAUAUAUAUAUAUAGAGUUCGGCUACUAUACUAUUCAUAGUAUCAAGCCCUUAGUACUAUUGAGUUUUCUACCAUUAGAUCUACCAUUUGAUCAUUUUCACCCAUUAGAUUAUACUAUUAAACCAACCACCCACUCAACCCGAGGGGACCACUAUCAAUUUAACCGGGGACCACUAUCAUCCUAACCGCACAUCUUUUCAUCCAACGGCCAAAAACUCAAUAGUACCAAGGUCUCGGUACUAUUGAUAGUAUAGUAGCAUAAUUCUAUAUAUAUAUAUAUAGAGAGAGAGAGAGAGAGAGAGAGAGAGAGAGAGAGAGUUGAGCUGGAAUGCUAUCGGUAGCAAACGGGCUCCGUUGCCAUCCAUUUAUUUUUCAUGAUGGAGCCUCCAAAUCGACGAUCGGCACCGUUGAAAAUGAUCUAUACCACUUGAAUUAUCUAGAAAUCAAAUUUCAUACUUUUCCGAUAUUGUUCUCUUGUCCAUCAAGUGGGAGUAAAAAUAAACGGCUGAAAAUGAAUAUCCUCUAAAAAAUGAUGAUAGGAAUUUUAUAAUCAAGAUCGAGAGCAUAGAUCGUUUCUAAAUAGUUUAAAGAAUUUUCUAACAAAAAUUCAAUUGAUUUGGAUAGUUUUACACCGUUAAACGAGAAAAUGCCUCAUAUCUACCAUUAAAAUUACAAUUUUUGAAAUCUUUUGAUCAUUAGGCUAAUGAUGUCGAAAAGAUUUGAAAUUUGGUUUCUAGACAUUUUAAGUGGUAUAGAUCAUGUUCAACGGUGCCGAUCGUCGAUUUGGAGGCUUCAUCAUCGAAAACAAAUGGAUGGCAACGGAGCGCGUUUGCUAUCGAUAGCAUUCCAGCUCAACUCUCUCUCUCUCUCUCUCUCUCUCUCUCUCUCUCUCUCUCUCUCUCUCUCUCUAUAUAUAUAUAUAUAUAUAUAUAUAAUUGAGCUCCUAUGCUUUUAAAAGUACCAAGUCAUUGGUACUUGUAAGUUUUCGGCCCUUGGAUUAAGGGAUGUACGGUUAUGAUGAUGUGGGCCCCCUAGGGUUGAGUGGGUAGUUGGUUGAAUAGUGUAAUCUAACGGUUGAAAAUGAUCAAAGAUGUAGAUCUAACGGUAAAAAACUUACAAGUACCAAGUGCUUGGUGCUUUUACAAGCACCAUAGCCGGACUCUAUAUAUAUAUAUAUAUGUAGUUGUGCUGGUAUGCUUAUGGAAGCACAGAGGCCUCCGUGCUUCCAAGUNNNNNNUUUUUUUCUUUUCUAUUUGUAAUCGGGUCAAAUGGACUGGGUGUGGUGGGUUGAGUAGAGUAAUCUUUUAUUUUUAGUUGGAUUGGGCUUUAUAUUUAGGCAUAAGUAGAUGUUUUUUUAAGUUUUAGCAUAAAUGGGACACUUACUCGAGCUCGAGUCGGAUCCGAAUCUGGGUACUUAAUUAAGUUACUAAUAUACCCGUCAGGCCUAAUUGAGCAGGUCUGGGUAGUUACUACCCGUAUACUAUCCCUUUAAGAUCGGGUACUGGUCGGGUCUAAAUUGGGUAUGGGUACCCGUGUAUAUAUAUAUAUAUAUAUAUAUAGUUGAGCUAGAAUACUCUCAAAAGCACCCUUGGGGUAGUGUUUUUGAGUUUUUAACCAUUGGAUGGAGGAAUGUAAGGUUGUGAUGAUGGUGGUAGGGGGUGGUAGGUGGAAUAGUAUUUGACCCAAGGGCUAUUAGUAAUCAAGGAGUAGAUCCAAGGGCUAAAAACUUAGAAGUAUCAAGGGGUUGGUACUUUUAAAAGUAUUCUAGCUCAAUUAUAUAUAUAUAUAUAUAUGAGUUUGGCUGGUAUGCUUAUGGAAGCAUGGAGGCUUCCGUGCUUCCAAGUUGUUUUCGAUGUUCGGACUUUCGAAUCGACGAUCGGCUCCGUUAGAGUUGAUCUAGAGUAUUUGAAGUACCUAGAAAAUAAAUUUUACGAUUUUUUGAUAUCAUUUGCCUAGUGAUCGAAGGGGCUCAAAAUCAAUAAUUUUAAUGGCCAUGGUGAGCCGGUUGCAAGUUUAACGGUGUAGAAAUAUCCAAAUCACGUGAAAUUUUGAUAGAAAAUUCUUUAUACUAUAUAAAAUAAGAUCAAUAUCUUUGAUCUAAAUUUUUAAUGUCAUAUCAUCACAUUUUGUGAGAUUUUUAUUUUCAGCCGUUGAUUUUGAGCCCCUUCGAUCACUAGGCAAAUGAUAUCAAAAAAUCACAAAAUUUAUUUUCUAGGUACUUCAAAUACUCUAGAUCAAGUCUAAUGGAGCCGAUCGUCGAUUCGAAAGUCCCAACAUCGAAAACAACUUGGAAGCACGGAGGCAUCCGUGCUUCCAUAAGCAUACUAGCUGCACUCAUAUAUAUAUAUAUAUAUAUAUAUAUAUAUAUAUAUAGAGAGAGAGAGAGAGAGAGAGAGAGAGAGAGAGAGAGCAGGGCUGCUGUGCUCUCAGGAGCACGGAGGCCUCCGUGCUCCUGAACCGUUUUCGAUAAUGAAAUUUUCGAAUCGACGAUCGACUCCGUUAGACUUGAUCUAGCGUAUUUGAAAUUUCUAGAAAAUAAUUUUUACGAUUUUUUGAUAUCAUUUUCCUAGCAAUCGAAAGGAUUCAAAAUCAAUAAUAUUUAAUGGUUGAUAUCUAUCGUUUUCAAGUUUAACGGUGUAGAAGUAUUCAAAUCAGAUGAAAUUUUGAUAAAAAAAUUCUUUAUACUAUCUACAACAAGAUCAAUAUUUCUGAUCGAAAAUUUUAAUGCUAUAUUACCACUUUUUAUAAGAUUUUUAUUUUCAGCCGUUAAAAAUUAUUGAUUUUGAAACCUUUCGAUAGUUAGUUAAAUGAUAUCGAAAUAUCGCAAAAAAUAUUUUCUAGAAACUUCAAAUACGCUAGAUCAAGUUUAACGGAGCCGAUCGUCGAUUCAAAAAUUCCAUCAUCGAAAACGGCUCAGCAGCACGGAGGCCUCCGUACUCCUGAGAGCACAGCAGUCCUGCUCUCUCUCUCUCUCUCUCUCUAUAUAUAUAUAUAUAUAUAUAGAGAGAGAGAGAGAGAGAGAGAGAGAGAGAGAGAGAGAGAGAGAGUCCGGCUAUGGUGCUUGUAAAAGCACAAAGCAUUUGGUGCUUGUAAAUUUUUUACCGUUAGAUCUAUGUCUUUGAUCAUUUUUCAUCUGUUAGAUCAUACUAUUCAACAAACUAUCCACUCAACCCUAAGGGGCCCACAUCAUUCUAACCGCACAUCCUUUAAUCCAAGGGCCGAAAACUUACAAGCACCAAUGACUUGGUACUAUUAAAAACAUAGGAGCUCAAUUAUAUAUAUAUAUAUAUAUAUAUAUAUAUAUAUGAUGGGCUCGUGAAUAAGUUUAAGACCAUAGUUAUUAUAAUCAUUGGAAUUUUUACUAAGAGAUACCAACAUUUAUUUGUCGCACCUUCACUUAUGAUCAAGAAAAAUGCUUUGAGAAAUAAAAUCUUAGAGAUCGACUUAUCAUCAGCAAAAUGCAAGUUAAUUAGACACGUAGAAAGAUAAAAUCUGUGAAUUAUAUAAUCGAAACAAGGAGUCAAUACAAAAAAAAGAAGAAGAAAAAUAUUGAAAGAGAUAAAAAGAAGAGUCCCAAUAAUGAAAAUUUCAUGCGACCAAUUAUAUAUAAUUAGUGAGCUUGAACAAUGAUCAAUUUGUUGUUUAUUAACUUCCACUACUCUCAUGCCAUAAAUGGCUACUAGUUAAGUUGAAUCUUUUCCAUUUGGUAACUCUUUUGGAACAUGCAUUUCACCUUGCUUAACUAAAUCUCCAAAAUAAGUAGUGAGCCAAUUAAAUCUUGUUUCGAUUACGAGAUAAUGUGGCAAAUAUGAUUCUAGCUAUUUUAGUAUAAUUAAUUUGUUUAAAGCCGCUGAGUGUGAUAUCGUAUAAUACAGUGUAAUUGAACAACAACAAAAAGCAAAUUAAGAUAAAUAGCAAUGCAUUUUCUGCUGAUGAUGAAUAGAUAAUCUUUUUUUAACUUGAGAGGGUCUUAACAAAGUAUGCAAAAUCGACGAAAAACUUGGUAUUGAGCAUCUUCUUUUAGCGGAGCAAUGCACCGUGUAAUAGUUCAAAGCUUGCAUGGGAUUCAUAUGCUAGCAUGUUUCUAUGGAAUCCAAUUCUUGUGAAGAAAUAGUUUCGACAAAGUUAUAAUAUUCCUAUUUGGGUCACCAUUGUAGGGCUAGUCUUUGGAUUCCCCGUAUCAAAAUUUAUCCAAGUCGAGGAAAAACCGUUUCUUACACUCCGUUUGAAUGGAGAGAAAAAGAGAGAAAGGUAAAGGUAGUUAGGAGAGAAUCAAUUUAAUUCUCUCAUUUGAAUCAAAGUUUGAGUAGAGAAAAGCAGAGAAAAUGGAGAGAAAUUAAAGGAGAGAAAAUGACAUUCCACGACGCUCACUUUCUUGUUUGGCAUUUGGCUGCGGUUGUAACUGUCCCAAGCCAUUUUAUUUUAUGAUUCAGUUGAGUUGAAUAUGUCUUAUAAUGACAUUUGUAAUUGCCAGUAUAGUAUGUUUCUUUUAGCAGCAUUUAUUCUUAUCAAUAUUUCCAGCCAUUGGAAUAAAUGCCGCAGUGAUUAUAGAAAUUGCCACUAUAAAAAAAUUAGCAUCUAAGGAUGGUUCUUUUUCGAUAUUUAACGCUGUUUAAAAGUAUUCCAAAAUAGUCUACCGUCACGUAUAAAAAUGUCGGCAAAUGAAGAGCCACCACAUAUAUAUAUCAAGGUUUAUACCAAACAUUGGUAAAAGCAUUAAAAAUUAAAAAUAACAAUAAAGUUUAUCAUUUAAUAAAUUGGUUUGAUACAAUAGGCGAUUUAUAUGACAAUGCUUUAAUUUGAAAUCGUUAGUAUUUGCUAUAUUGUAGAAACACUUAAUUAGGGACACUUUCUUCAAUUAUCGUCUAAAAAGCAUCUUUAUAAUGUGAUUUUCUUAUAAUGUACUUGGUAACUAAUUUAGCAACAAUUACAACCGUCGCAAAUUUACGAAAUAAUCACGAUCAAAGGGUUUUUCUUCUGUAAUUGACAUCAUGUCUCCUAUCAGAUUAAUCUUUUGGAUAGCGUAAUACCAAAGCAAGUCCUAAGGCCUUUAGUCUCAAGAGGUCUGAGGUUGAAUUCACCAUAGUGGUCAUUUAUAAUGACAAGGCUCCUAGAUUUCUUUGUCUCUUCCAUUAUCAAUCCUGUUGGCAAUAUAUAUAUAUAUAGAGAGAGAGAGAGAGUAGGGUUACUGUGCUAUUAGGAGCACAACAGUCCUUGUGCUCCUAAGUUCUAAACCGCCCAUCAAAUUUGAUGGGUGGUUAGGGUGAAAGGGAGAAGAGAAAUUGGGUUUCUCAAUUUCUCUUCUUUUUAAAUUUAUCUUUAAUUUUUUUUUUUCUUUCUCACCCUAACCAUUCGUCAAAAUUGAUGGACGGUUAGAAACUUAGGAGCACAAUGGCUGCUGUACUUCUAAUAACACAGUAGCCCUGCUCAUGAAAUCUGUAUUUCAUCAAUUAAUUAUUUUCAAACUUGUCCUUAAUAAAUAAUGCUGAUCAUUAAAUUUACCCAUUAAAAUAUAUUUCUGCAUGGGNACUAUACUCUUAUGAGUAUAGAGCCCUUCGUACAUAUAAGUUGUUUUUUAUAAUGAAACUUCCGAAUUGACGAUCUACUCUGUUAAAUAUGAUUUAGAGUAUUUGAAACUUCUAAAAAAUUAAUUUUGUAGUUUUUUGAAAUUAUAAUAAAGUCCAUCAAACGAGUAUGAAAUGAACGGUCAAAAUCGAACGACGUCUUAAAAAUGGAUGAUCAGAUUCUUUAAUUUUAGAUCGGAAUUAUUGAUCUUUAUCAAAAUAGUAAAUAAAAUUUUCUAUCAACAGCUGCUAGGUAACCCUAUACAUAUUAAUUAAUAAAAUAAUUAACAAUAAUUAAUAAUUUAAUUACAAGUGAUUUAAUAAAUUAAUAAAUUAGUUAGUUAAUUAUCUAAUAGUUAGGUAAUUAUUUAAUAAAAUAAUUAGAUUAGUCAAAAUAUUAACUAGUUAAUCAACAUAAGUAUUAGAUUUUUCAUAAACAUCAUAAAUAAUUAAUUAUUUAAUUAGCUAAUUAGUUAUAAUUAAUUAAUUAAUUAGUUAUUUUACUAUUUAAGCAAUAGAUAAUGAUUCGAAUACAUUAAUUAGAUUAGUUAAUAAUUUAAUACCAUGGUUAAAAUUAGAUGUAGACUUUAGUAAAGCUUGUUCUUAUUUGAGAACUAACAUGCAUAAUGUUCUAAGAGGAAGAUAAAAUAGUAGUUUCAGACUUAUACCAGCUUAUUUUCCGAACAAAAAAAAUUAUUAUUCAUAUAAAUGGAAAAAUAAAGGCUUAUUUUCCUCCUUAUACGCCGACAAAACAGUCGAGAACAUCAAAAUUCAAGAGGCCAGACGCAAGAAAUAGGUGGUGAGACAAUAACAGGCCUCAUCAAAUGCAUGUUAAUGAAUAGAAAAUUUACUAUAGUUCUUGUACACCUAUGCUUGAAGAUACCCAUGCAAUUAAUUGCUUUCCUAUUUUUGUGACCAGUUUUUUAGUACAUCACAUACUUGCUUUCCUAUCUAAACUUGUAUCUGUUUCUGGUAUAAGCUAGUUCUUACUUAUGUACGUACUCAAACCAAACGAAAUCUUAGUGUAGAAUAGAAAGUGAUUUUACUCUUUGUGUGGUUCAUAAACUUUAUGGAUAUUAUAUAGUGUUGAAUGAUAACUUGAGGCAAUAGUACUAGCUACAUAACAUGCCUAGAUGGCCCACAAUUUCCUCAGUUUUACCAAAAACCAUAAUGCAGUGAAUUGUUUUUUAAAAAAAGAAAAGAAAAUGUGAGAUUCUCAGCUUCGUACAUAUAGUCCAAACCUCCAUUGUACCACCAAGUUCUACUUUCCAUCAUUUAAUGAUCACUUGAGUGACGAAUACAAAAGCAUUAUGACGAAGGAACGCACAGUUAGGAUGAUAUAUAGCGAUCCUUUAUGAUUAUGAUAAAAGAACGUACAAUUAGGAUGAUAUAUAUAUAGCGAUCCUUUAUGAUUAAAUAGGUGGUCAAUUGAAUAGUAUUAUCUAACAUGUGAAAAUAGUCAAAGAGAUGAAUCAAAUGGUGAAAAUUCAAUUGCACCAAAUGUUUAGCUCUCUAUUGAUAAUAUAGUAGUCGAACUCUCUCUCUCUCUCUCUCUCUCUCUCUAUAUAUAUAUAUAUAUAUAAUUACUUGGUAUUUGCAAUUUUAUCCUUUAUUUUUUUUUUGCUGAAAGAAUUUAAUAACAAGUUUUUUUUUUGUUUGAGAGAUAAAGAUAGCAAGUUAUCUACUUCAUUCAUUUAAAAAAAAAAAAUUUAUAAAAUUGCAAAUACCAAGUAAUUAAAUUUGUAAGAAAAUACAAUUAAUUCUGCCACUAUUCUCAAUUUGAUUACAUAAAAUAAAUUCAAUAGGAUAAAACAAAUGACUAGCUUUCAUGCUUAUGGGUCAUAAAUUAACCUAGUAUACUAUAUUCCUUUAUGUCCAUCAAUAUCCAACAAAAUGAUUCAUACAAGGAUUAAUUAUUCCAUCUAUCAAACAUAUAUUCCACAUUGCUAUAAACUAUUUACCACAAAUAUAUAGGAGCCAAUCAAUUAAAUCAACAUUUGUUAGGAGAAAAAAACUUUAAACUACAACAGAUUCUGCUCAUUUCUUUGCAUAUAUAUAUUAGAUGCAUAGUGUAAAGGACAAAGUGAAAAGAACCAACAUAGGCCGCGUUCGAUGUCAUUGCUUUUUCUUUUUAACAUUUUUAAAUAGAUAAUUUUAUGUCAUUUGAUGUGUUAGAGAAAAGACCCUUUUCGUUGCUAUAACUGAUUAACUUAUAAUGUAUCAGGCUAAAUAAUAGAUGAUAAUUUAUUUUUAAAUUUUUAUUUUUUAUUGUCAAGCAAAAAAUCUUGGAUGAAAGGAUUACAAACGAACAACUGUCCACUCCUACUUUUUUUUUUGAUAUUCAAUGAAGCUACGGCUUCUCAUUUUCUUUGUCUUAAUUUAUAAAGCAUUAGGAAAAAUGAAAUGUUUAUCAAAUAUUUGAAUAUUUGGUAUUGAGCAUCUCCUUUUUCAACAACAAUUAUAUAAUCCACCAUAUAAUAGUCAAAAAAAAGAAAGAAAAAAGCUUUAAUUUGCUGGCACACUAAAUUGAUCGAACUUUUACAUGGAAUCUAAUUCUUGCGAAGAAAUUAAUAAUUUACUAUUCCUAUGUUGUGGUCUUUGGAUUCUCUCUACAUCAAAAUUAUGUAUCCAACUUAGUCAAAAAUAGAACCAUAUCCUUAAAAGAUGAUAAAAGGAAACGAAUCCAUAUUACUACACGCGCGUAGAAUCUAGAAUUGCUUAAAAUAUUUAAACACCGUUCUUAAUUUACAAGCUUAAGUUUUUAGGAUACAACGAUUAUUUCGUAUAGUUUAACAUGAUAUCUGAGUGGGAUAUUCUAAGUUCGAGUCAUAUCGGAUUCCUAAUAUUAUUGAUUUUCUCUCAUUUAAUUUAAGUCUGCGUCGUGGGACUAACAAAAAGUCCCGAGCCCCUUUAGAGAACAAUAAUUGUUCUGAUAAAUUUAACAUAUAUCAUUAGAAUGAGAUUAUAUAGCCCUUAUAUAGAAUUUCAUUCGAAGGUCAACCUUAUUUGUGUGGAACAUAGAAUACUGAUAAGUUAGAAAGAUAUCGAUUUGGACGGAAGAAUAAGAUAAGAGAGUGAUUUGAUGUGCGCAGUUUGAAAAUUUGCUUUUAUUUUGAAAAAACGAUAGCAAGCUACUGAUCACUUCAUUCGUUAGAAAAAUAAAUUUGGUCACAAAGUGCGGCAUCGAGGCCUUUAAGAGCAAAGAUACAUAGAAUGACGUACAUAGAGGAAGAAGUUUAUAAUGUAGUAGCUACACACAUCACCUAUGUCCGUCCAAAAGAAUAAUUUGAUUGAUUGAAAAUUCCACGUCAUCUUAUAUUAUUGUCUCAUUUUAGACUUAUUUUUCUUGGCACAUAAAGAGUGAAAUUUUGUUAUGGGAACACCAAAAUGAGAUGAGAGAGAGAGAGAGAUCUAGAGAGAGAGAGUGCAUGUAGUACAUGGGAAGAUACAUGGGAAGAUAAAAGAAGUUAGAGAGAGAAAGAGGGAGGUGAUAGAGACUUCAUGAUAGGUGAGAAAGAAAUUGGAGAACAGAUUGAGAGAGAGUCAGGUCACUGUCUCUCAUUUCUCAGUGUAGGAUGUUAGAUAAACAAAUAUCUAUGUAAUGCUAUCGUAACAACUUGAAGAUAGCCGGUCUAGAAUAGCUAACGAUAGUUAGCCAAGAUUAGGUUGUUGUAAAUAGUUGUUACGCUAUGUACAGCUGUACUUCUUUGGUUGUUACGCUAUGUAUAUCCUUGGCGCAUUUCGUCGCCCUAUAUUAACAUGCAGGCAGAGCACGGAACUGUGUGGCUGCUUUCACCCAUUCUUCCGCGCCUCUGUUAUUCUUACAUGGUAUCAGAGCGUAGGUUAGAUCCUAUCUACAAACAUGGCCGGCAGCUCCUCCUCCGCUUCUGGAAUUGCCUCCAUGCUCACCCAUCCAGUCUCAGAGAAGCUCGCCAAAAACAACCAUGCAACAUGGAAGGCCCAGGUCGUCGCCACCAUGCGCGGCGCUCGCCUAGAGGGCUACCUCACCGGCAAGGCCACGGCGCCUGCUGCUGAACUUGAUGGCAAGGACGGUGACAAGGGCGUCAAAGUCGUCAAUCCUGCAUAUGAUGACUGGCUAGCUUCGGAUCAGCAGGUCCUUAGCUUCCUUCUUGCCUCUGUAUCCAAGGAGGUCUUGACUCAGAUCGCCACCAAAACAACUGCGGUUGAUGCAUGGCGCACCAUCGAGACCAUGUUCUCGUCGCAGAAACGAGCACGCGCUGUAAAUACGCGCCUGGCUCUCUCCACCACCCACAAAGGGAAUAUGACAGUGACCGAGUACGUCGGGAAGAUGCGUUCUCUCGGCGAUGAGAUGGCUGCAGCANUUUAUUUUUUUAUUUUUUCGUUCUGACUUUUAAAAAUUUAUAUUUUUAUCCUUUUAAAAUUUUAGAAAUAUUUUUAGAAGAAUACGACGUUAAUAGAAAGGAAAAAAUUACUAAUUUUUUUAAAAUUUUUCUCUAAAAAAAUAUUUUUAAAUAUAUUUUUAUUAUUUUGAAAGAUAUAUUCGGUAUAAAUUAUAAAAAAUAGACGAAAUAGUGAUAAAAUUAUGAUGGAGGAGGGCUAAGUGCAAGAACUUGAAAUGCCGAGAGGGUCAAAAUAUGAUUUUUGAAAGUAAAUUAAGGAGAAAAAGUGAAAAAGUAAGUAUCUAUAAAAAAAAUUUAUAGUAAUUUAUCCUAAACAAAUUUUGAUAACACAAGGGACCAUUAAUUCUUAGCCCGUAGACGAGAAGGUAUAAGAUAUGCACUAUUUUUUUAGAUGUAUAGGUAUAUAAUAGAGCUCGAGCAAAAAUAUUUAAGAGAAAUGCUAAGUUUAUAACCAAAGAAAUUUAUAGUCUCUGCAUCUCUUCAUUUAAAGUGCUUAAGAUUAAUUUACUAGCCUUUUUUUCUCCCAGUUUUUAGUCAAAAAAAAAAAAAAAUCCCAAAGAGUGAUGCGACAAGUGGAAAAAAUUAAAAGAGUUUGGAUGAGGGUAUUGUAGGAGUGUAAUCAAUUUUGAGCUAUAAACCUGUUGUUGCUCAAAUAUUAAUUUGUCAAUAUGCUGUGAAAUCAAUAUAGUCGCAUUAGCAAUUUUUACCGGCAUUGACUGUCCCUAGCGCAAGUUGACAAAAAAUUUGAUGAUUAGUGCCCAUCGUCUUCGAAGUUUAGUUGUUUUAUAUUAUCAGAUCAAUUUACUUUUUAAAAACGGAACGUUUUUUUCAGAGCGAAAAAGAAAAACUUUUAUGUGCCACUGUACACCAUCUAUUAAUUAAUUUGAAGCAUUAGGUCUCCUCAAAUUAGUACUAAGAUUGUAUAAACAAAGGUGCAAUAUAAUGCAAUAAAAAUUUAGAGAAAUCACAGUCACAUUGGAUCUAAUCAAAUUAGGAUCUUCUAUGUUCACACAUAUAAACAAGAAAUGGGUUCACAUUGAUGAAUGACACAUUUCAUGUCACAUUAUAUAGGAGAUUCUUUAAUUUGUUUAUAGAAUGAAAACAUUAUUGCUAGCUAAACUUAGUGGGGUAACACUGCAUAUACAAAUAAUUGAACUUCUCAUUUGUUUGAUGUUCUUUGUAAUAAUGCACCAAUAAACUCUAGCUUUGUGAACAUCAUUUUACAACAAAAGUUUCCAAGGAUGCAAUUAUACAGUAUAUAUUCCUUCUAUUAGAUCAAGAUCAUUGUUGCUUAAUAAAACAAAAGUAUAACAAUCCGACUCACUACGUAGCCUCUCGUAUUCCCAAUCAGAACCAAAAACCAAAAACCAAAUUCCAUCCUAUUUAGACACCCAACGUCCUCGUCAGGUCUAAAUCCGAUCACAGAUAUAUAAGAUAAAAUUAUCAGACAAUGUAAGUAUAUAGUCGUCUCUAAUACCAAAUGUAAUGAUAUAAUUCAUUGGACCCAAACCACCAGUCCAAAAUACUUAAGUCCGAUUAUUAUUAUUAUGAUGCAUAUAUAGCUUUUUAUAUUUUCAAUCAGAAUCUCUUUCCAAUUUGAUGUGAGACUAUAGAAGGUGUUCCAAAAAGAGCAAGAAAAACUACAAUAUAUUAUAAUUAUUGCUCAAACAAGCUUCAAGUAGAUCUAGUAGUUCAUAGGAAAGAGCAUUUGUAGAGAAAAUCAAAAUCUAACAAGAAGCAAGAAAUAGAUAAGACAAGAAUAAGCUUAAUUAAUCGCAUACUUAAAUGUUAGCACGUGAAUUUUACUAUAGUUCCCUCUUCUUCUUUUUUUUUUGAAAGAUACUGUGGUUAAUGUUAACUAGAGGUAAAUUAAGAUGCUAUAUAAUUAAUAGAAUAGCUAUUCUAACCAAAACUUAUAAAAUAUCCAAUAUGUACAUCAAACACAGUUCAAUAGAAAAUGAAAGAAAAAGAAACUUUGGCCCUACGUACAUUAACCCGUGCCACCUGAUUCAUCUCGCUAAAAACAUAGUCAAUAUAACAGGUGUGCACAUAAUUAUUGCUAUAGAAAGAUAUUUACCAUACGAAGGUUAGGACAAAAAUUUGGACGGGAUUAAUGCAUGUCUACGAUAUGAGAUGGCUAUUGUGAGAUCCCAAAUAGUUCUAUAUAUAAGUUAUAAUAAAACUAAAAUUUUUAAUCCGGCAAUAGCAUUUUGGAUGGUGAUUAGAUCCAAGAGGUUAAGAGAAUUAAACAUGUUAGGACUUAUAGUGGUUUUAGGAUGGGUGACUCUCUGGAAAGUAAGACGUCACAGUUGGUAUCAGAGUAAAUUACAAACCGAAAGUGUGAGAUAAGUCUCGACUAAGCUAAAUUAUACUGUAGGGAAAGCGAGACUCUCAUACUGAUGACUAUUGUGGGUGGAGUGCGGGUCACCACAAGAUCGGCUAAGCCGGAAGUGUGAGAUGAGUCUCAGCUGAGCCAGAUUAUACAGCGGGGAGAGCGAGACUUUUAUUUUGAUGACUGUUGUGAGUGCAGUGCGGCUCACCGCAAGGUCGGCUAAGACUAGCAAGACAAGUUUCACAUGACCUAAUAUUUGUGAGUCUAAGCCUGACGAGAAUGUCAGGGCUUAAAGAGAGGGAGAAUAUGAAAACCCAAAUAAUACUAUAUGUAAGAUAUAUAAAAUAGGAAAGAUAUAUAUAAUAUGACUAAAACUCUUAACCCAACUAUAGCAUUUUAGGCGAUGGCUAAGUUCAAAAGAUUAAAAGUGUUAAGUGUGUUGGGAUUAGAGUAGUUCUAUAAUAGAUAACCGUCUGGGAAGUAGGGCGUCACAACUAUAUUCUGCUACUAAAUUGUUGAUGGGAACAAUAUUACUCAACAAGAAAAUCAUUAUAUAUAUAUAUAUAUGACUGACUUAAAUCAAAUAAAUUGAAAGGUUGAAUAAUNCUGCUACUGAAUUGUUUUUUUUGAGAAUAAGGUAGCAAAGCUACCUGCUUCAUUCAUUAAGCAAAAUUCUGCUACUGAAUUGUUGAUGGGAACAAUAUUACUCAACAAGAAAAUUAUUAUUAUUAUUAUAUAUAUAUAUAAAAUUUGCAUGCAACCUAUGUAGAAAAGGUUAUUUGUACGAGAUAAUAAGAUUAAUCACGCGGCAAAAAUUUGAAAAGUUUGGAUGACUCAACACAUUAUUUUCUAAAAUUCACGAGUUAUUUUUUUUUUUUGAGAAAAAGAUAGCACGCUACCCGCUUCAUUCAUUGAAUAAGUGAACUAGACUACACGAGUGAGAAAACGAGGGCCCGAAAAAAAAAUUCACAAGUUAUUAGUUACCAGAAAAGAUAAGUACAAUGUAUUCUACUAAUUUCUAGUAAUUGUACGUAGGUUGAUGACUACUUAGUUAACCUUUUAUGGGCCUAUUGCAUCAUCUAAAGAGGGCAAAGGGAUUGGUUGUGUCUAGGGGUGUCAACGCGCCUAACACGAGCUGACUCAUUAAAGUAUUGAAUUGAAAAAUUUAGCUCGUAUUCGAUUCAUUUAUUAACGAGCUGAACAUAAAUUGGUUCACGAACAACAAGUUAAAAGAAUUAUAAACGAUAUAUAUAGAAAAUAAAAUUUAUGAAAUAUUACUCAUUAGAUUUUGAUCUAAUGAUUGAAACUUGUAUAUAAAUAGGCCUUUUUUUAUAAUUGAGUUGCGCUUUAUAUUUAGAUUGGAUUAAAAAUCAAAUAAUAAAAAAAUAUAUAUAUUAUAUUAUAUAAAUUAUAUAAAUACAAAAUAUAUGUAUAGGAGCUGUUAUUUAGCCAAGCACGAGUAAACUGACCCGAGCUCAUGUUCGGCCCGUUUAUUAAAUGAGUUGAAAAAUUCAGCUCGUGUUCAACUCGUUUACUAAACAAGCGAUUCGAUCCCGAAGUCGCGAACAACGAGCUGGAUUGCCACCUUAGUUGUGUUAAUAAUUAAUCUUCUUCAUAUUGCGCGCAUCUUCUUUUUGAAGAGCAAUGCACCACCACAUGAAUCAAAACUAACCCAUUUUGGCUUAUUAUUCAAUUGAUUGACUCCUUUUUUUUUUUCUUUUUUUUUUUUUUUUUNGAUAAAAAAUAAUUUCAUCUUUUACUUUCAGAAAAACAAAUAUGCCCUUUUGUGUAUGACGUGAUUUUAUGGCUUCUCAGGAACAGGACGAUGUCCGAGUUUGCGAAAGAUUGAUUACAUUUUAUUUAUAGCUAAUACCUCAUACUUGUGGCUCCUUGCAAAUUUGCCAAUUUUAUAUUUGACCGUUAUUCAAACGAAAUUCCAUUUCUAUAAUCUGUAUAUCGAAUCUCUUUUGGACUUGGUUCGGAAACCUAUUUGCGAAAGAUUGGUCGAGAGAGGGUUUCGUCGCAUUUUUUUUUUUUUUUUUUUUUUUUUUUGUGUGUGCAUGGAAUCCAAUCCUUUAGCUGAGAUAGUUUACUCUAUAGAUAUAUACCAUUUAUAUAUUUUACAUCAAGGUCAAAUAUUCGGAUUGAUCGAUCGCCAUUAUACGACUAUAUAGCCUUUGAUUCCUCUCCGUGUCAAAAUUUAUACAACUAAGCAAAGAAUUAAGAUCGAUCAAAGUGCACUAACCCGGCCGAUUAAUUCCCCAUCCAGAAUCUAGAAUAGUUGACAAAACAGGCCAUGAACACAGUAAGUAACAAGAUAACAAUGUAUAGCCCAAAACUUUGAACUUAACUGAACCAUAAAGAAAUGCUUUUUUAGCUUUAGAAUAUUACCAAAGAACAAUCUUUAUCACAAAUGAAUAACAGCGCAGCGUGACACGCUUGCAUAAGAUCGAAGGUGCAGGUUCUGCACUUUUGUAACGAUUCGAUCCGUUAACAAUAAUAACUCAACUGCCGGUUCAAAAUACUAAAGCUCAGUUAUUAUAAGUGUCCAUAAUGCCUUAUAACCCAAUCACAACCCCGUUCUGCGCACUCACAUUUUCGUCUGAUGCCAAAUAUAACGAUUCAGCCUACUAACAAUAAUAACUCGUUAGGCCCCAAAUCACUAACCCAAAUUGAUUAAGCCCAAUUAUUAUUAUCCAAUCACAAUUUCAUUCUUAUCUGAUGUGGGACUAUUAGGGUAUCAUAAAUUUUUUUUUCUUUUUUUGGGGAUUUUUUUUCGAUGGCCCUGUUGCCUUAGUCUUAUAACUUAGUUUGUUAAUCUAAUGAACGAAUCAGACAGCUUGCUAAUUUUUCUCAGAAAAAAAAUAAAAAAAAAUCUAAAAUGUUUACAUUUUGAAUCAAAGAUCAGUACUUCCUAACAAUCAACUGUUGCAAUUGUCAAUUUGGAGGCUACUAAAGAGUUCUGCAACAUAUAUUUAAUGGCCUGGACCUUCACUAUAAAUGCCCUAAAUUUGGUUUUGAAAGGGAAGUAUAGAUAUUUUUUUGAGUGAUAGAUAUCAUGUCACCCGGUUCGUUUAUUUCUUUUAGAAAUAAAUUUAGUUGGAAAUAUGACUCAAUUAGAAUUCGAACUUGGGACCUCAGAUACUAAUCAUCAAGCCCUUUGCCAGGUAUAUAUUAAUGCAUGAAUAAAUUCCUAGUCCAACUCAUGGUUUUUGUGCUUCUACAUGACUACAUGCACCUUUUUUGGAAGGUUUCGAGCAUAUUGCCAAGGCCAAGAUAUUAUUCAAAUUAAAGAAUUUUGGUGAGCAAGAAUUUUGGGAGUAUUCUAAUUAAGUACAUCACAAGACUCUUUAGUUUACAUUAUGCAUAUCGUAAGUACGAAAAAUUGAGGUUGCAUUUGACUAUGACACGAUGACCAAAUCCGCUGAAUUAGAUAUUUUCAUUCUUUGGUGUAGGUCUCUAGUUCGAAUCCUGUACAUGUUGUAUAUAUAGGUUUUUCUAACAGAUGUAUAUGUACAUAUUUGGAAAAAAAAGGGCCAAGGAGUUAAUUUCAAUUGUUCUAUAGUUUAGGGGUUUCUAAGGAAAAUCCCAUAGAGUCGGCAUUGUGGCUUCCUUCGCCAGCGACUUCACCGAACUGCGGCCAAACGAACAGUUUCUGCAUGGAAUUCGCAUGAAUACGGCGGCGCAAGCUAUUUAGCCGCCGACUUCAACUAAACUCGGCAAGUUUAGUUGCUUCGCCGCCGACUUAGCCUCUACACUCCCCAUUGGCUCGUUAAGGUAAAGUCGGCGACGAAUUUGAUGCUGGUAUCCAAGAACGUGCGCUAUCCCUAGAACAAAUUUUCUUCUUUUUUUUCCCCCCAAAACUAGUUCUCUUUAUUAUUAUUUUUUUUCCUACUAAACUAUAAUAAAAUGCCAAGAAAUUAGAUUUGGUAAUUACUGAUUUUUUUAUAUAUUUAUGGAUGCUUUGAAGAGAAAGAUAUAACAUCCAUAUAUUUUCGCGAAAUAGAAGGAAUAAAGGACAAAAAAAAAAAAGAAGGUUAUUUGCAUAUACGUCCCUACAAACAUAGUGAAUUGCAGAUAUAUCCCUACAAAACGGAAACUCCAUAAGUUGUCCCUGCAAAAGUCACAAGUUAUGCAGAUAUGUCCAUACUGUUAGAGUCUGUUAGAAAAUUUUCAUUAACCAUGGUUAAAAUAUUUAACCAUGGUUAAUUAUAAUGUAAAUUUACGGUUCUACCCUUCCUCUUCCUCUUCCUCCUCUCCUCUUCCCUCUUCUUCGUCGCCGGCGAGGGAGAUGCGGCGGUGGCGGCGGACCCUCUCCCUCUUCCUCUUCCUCCUCCUCUUCCUCAUUCUUCUUUCUCUCCCUCUUCCUCUUCCCUCUUCUUCGUCGCCUGCGAGAGAGAAGAUGCGACGGCAGCGGCGAACCCUCUCCCUCUCCCUCUUUCUCUUCUUCUUCCUCUUCCCUAUUCUUCUUCCUCUCUUUCUUUUUCUUCCCUCUUCUUCGUCGCCGACGAGUCCUACCCGCGCCGUCGCCGCCGUCCGCUCCGGCGGCCCGAAGAGGAAGAGAAAGAGAAGGGGGAAGAGGAUAUUUUUGAAGGGACAUAUUUGUGAGGGUAAAAAUAUUAUUUUACAAAUUCGCUGUUAAAAAGUUAACAGUUCACUAACGGAUGUUAACCAGAGGGACAUAUCUGCAUAACUUGUGACUUUUGCAGGGACAACUUAUGGAGUUUCCGUUUUGCAGGGAUAUAUCUGCAAUUCACUAUGUUUACAGGGACGUGUAUGCAAAUAAUCCAAAAAAAUAAAGAAAAGAAAAGUUAUUAGUUCAAUUGCCUUGGCUUUAUAUCUUAUAUGAAAAUUUUAUUACCAUUUUCAUCGGAAAUUUUGUUUACCAUAAUGACCUGUUGUUUACAUAGGAUAACCAAGUUUUAUACUUUACAAAAACCUUGGAGAUCAACCAAAUAGAGCAAAUCAAAUUACUAGAGCUCGUAAUAAUAUAUAAAGGAUAAACACAAAGGUAAAUUAAAGGAUGUUUUGUUCCCUAGAAAAUAUCAUAGAAAACAGUUUUCUGACUAGAAACUUAUAUUUUCUAUCCGUUUGUUUCCCAAAGAAUUAAAUAGCUAGUUUUCUUGGAAAUUUUUUUUUUUCAUAUUAUUUUGGAAAAGUCCCCCUUUUUUUUUCGAAUUUUUAUCGAGAAACCAGAAACUACGAAAAGCCAUGUUUUUAUGAUUUUUUUAAGGAAAUACUUUUCCACAAUUUUCAAAGGAACCAAACACCCUUAAGAAUAGAUAUAUAGAAGGGCAUAUUAGCUAUAAAUGUAGUAUUUAUAUACUUUGUGGAUUCUCAAAUUGGGCUGCCCAUGGUUUCAUAUUUGGGUUAGUUUGGGUUUAGGUUCGAAUACAUGUUAAAUUGAAGCCCAAUAUUACUUCAAACUUUUUCUCUUUGAGGCUAUUGUUUCUACUCGUUGGCCCCUCAUAUAUGUGUGUGUGUGUAUAUAUAUUAAUAGGAGUUUAAUUUUUUUUUAAAAAAGAGAAAAGGUUGUAAAGGCACAUCCUAUAAAUGAAUUUUCUUUUUUUUGAAGAUGAUUUGCCACUGUAAAUAGAGUAGUGCUGGUCUUUAAUAGCAGCUUCCUAAUUUGUUAAAAUUGCUUUUCUAUUUGUGGCUACUCCACCACGCAUGAACCCUUGCUUUAAUUGGUGUUUGAACAUAUAUUUGUAUAUAUGUUGACAUACUUUUUCUUUUCUUUUCUUUUCCUUCUCUCUCCAUUCCUUUUGUGAAUAUAUAUAUAUACAGAAUAUAAUUUUACCUCAAAUGUCAUCCAUGUAUAGAGCUAAUUAACUAAUACAACGAAAAAUUAACUAAUUAGAAGGAAAAAUAUAGUUUCUUUCUUUUCUUUUAAGAAAUAUAUAUAUACACAAUUGUGUUGCUCCAUCUGUUUAUUAUGGCAAUUUUCUUUGGGAGCAUGCAUUUGUGAAUUCUCUUUUCAUAUAUAUGGAGAAAAAAACUAUUUACUUUUUGAGAGAUCGAGCAAUGGAGUAAUGGCCAUGUUAGUGUAACUUCUAUACAAGUUGCAAUGUGUGGGCACAUGCACUACACUAACAUGAGCACUAUUCUCAUUUGAAAGCAAUAGGACAUGAAAGAGGAAUGUUAUUAGGUAGUGGCUUCAAAAGCUCAAAGGUUUGAACACUUUAAAAUCUUUUGAUAGGAUUAAUGAUAAAACUUUAAAAGCGAGUGGGAAGCGAUUGACCAACCUUUGAUUAAUUUACUUCUUAACGAAUAAAUUUUAUCUAGAACAUGGUAUAUAAUUAGAGAUAUUUUGUAUCUUGUUUGAUAUUUUCCUACUAGUGUAAACUUGGUGUUAGUGCUCUUCGUGAAGUUCAAACCCAAAUAAACUUGGUUUAAAAUUUGUAAUUAACCAUUUUACUUGAAGUUGUCCCUCUAAAAUGAGACUAUUUAAUUAAUUCCCUUAUUUCCUAAUUACAAGAGUGAAAAAUACUAUGUAAGAUUUAGCCAUGAUUUUUUAGCAUAUUAGUAUCAUAUUAAAUGAAUUUACAGGGCAUACUAUAUAUACAAACGACAAAUUAGACGAUGUCUAGGUAUACUUAAUUGAUAAACCUAGAUCUAAUUAAUUCUUUGUAGGGAUUAGCUUAGGCACUUUAUUCUACACCACUAUCUUUAAUCACUUUAGCAUCAUUUGCUAUUUAUAAAUGGCAAAACAGUAAGUAGCUUACUCUUGAAGUUAGGUAAAACCAAGCAUGCAUGGAAAAAUUUGAGUUUCCAAAUGAUGGCAUCAUAGGUAUAUUUUGGUUACCUUGAAUAUAUGGAUUAGCAAAGAGAUAAGGUAGCAUCAGCAAAGUAUAAUAUAUUAUCUACAAGAUAAAAUCUAGUUCUAGUAAAUAUUCUACAAUAGUAAUGUUCUUUAAUUUCUAUAUCUCUCUUAAGCAUCUAGUGUUGGGAAUCCGGUACUCGCCCCGGUACCGGAUCUCGUGAAUCCGCAACCCGCUCCGAUACCGGCUGCUGUGGAUCCGGUAUCCAUUGUUUGGAUUCCGCAACGGAAGCGUCGAAUCGGGUUUUUACCAUAAACCCGUCUCCUCAGCAAAAGCUGAUACAAUCAUAAAAGAGAGAAAAAAUCAAAACAGAAAAUAUGCAGGUAAAAUAAGAUUCAUUAAAUAAGAGAAGAUUAUACCUGACUCCUCUUCUGCAACAGAGUAGCUACAACCCUAGCCCUCUUUUUUGAAUCUCUCCUACCUUUCUCUCGUCUUCUAUGAACCCACAAAGAAGACCUCUUCGCGUGCACCCGUGCAUAAGGUGCACUAAAAUAACUCUCUCUCUCUUUUUCUCUCUAUGGUACGGCACCCAAGCUUCAGCCGUACUGCCCUCAAAAAAGAGAGUCACAAUGACUAUUUAUAAUGCUCAACUUAAAACGUACCCCAAUCUUAAUAUAUUUAAGAUUCAUACUUUAAUUAAUAUCUAAAUCUAUCUUAAUCAAUCUCUAAUAGAUUUAAAUAUUAAUCCUAAUCUAGUUAGGUUUAUCCUCUAAUUAAUAUUUAAAUCUUAAUUUAUCUCAAACAGAUUUAAAUAUUAAUUCUUAUCCAAAUAAGAUUUAACUACAAAUCUAACCAAAUCCUAACAUUCUCUACCUUGGUUUGAUUUGAAAUUUUCAACCGCUACGUCAAGCUCACCAUGCAAGCUCCACCUUGAGCUUGUCUCCUCCGCUCGAUGUCGCCGCAUCCGUCGCUCUGUCUCGAGCAACUGCACAUCCGCGAACUUUUAGAACCCAAACUGUCUUCGCUCCCGUUCUGACUGUGCUCCCGUUCAGAACGUAUAAGUUCCCACGCUUGUUCGCCUCGCAUACGACCCGAUCUCAUUUUCGGACCCUCAUAGCUCCACCUGAAGCUGAAAUAUCGCAACCCUUCGAGUCCAAUGCGCCUAACGAGAUCAAAUUCCGCUUCAAUCCAGGAACGUGCCGCACACCUGUCAGCGUCCUCACGACCCCAUCGUGCAUUCGGAUUUUCACCAUGCCGACUCCCAAUACUUUGCACGCUGUCCCGUUCCCCAUCAGCGCCUUUCCACCUUUGAUCGCCUUAUAGGUGGCAAAAGACUCCUUCUCCGGGCAUACGUGAAAAGAACACGCCGAAUCGAGCACCCACGCAUCGUCCGAAAUUUUCGCACCUCCGGUCGCCGCAUACAGCACAUCAGAAUCGAUCAUCUCCGACUCUGCUGUCUGCGCCGUCGCUGAUACCGUCUCGUCCUGGUUCACGACAGUUUGCUCCUUCUGUCGCUUUAACUCCUUCAGAUCAUCCUGAAGUUUUCGACAAUUGCGCUUGAUAUGCCCCUUCCUGUGACAGUAAAAGCAUUCUACCUCAGAUAGCGGUUUCUUCUGUCGAUAUCCGGUCGCCGAUAUUCUCGCCUCCUUCUUCGCAGUCACCACCAGUCCUACAUCCUGACUUUGCGUGCCGGACUCCUGAGUCAUCUUCCGCAUCUCGUUCGAGAGAAGCGCCGCCGUGACCGCCUCCACGCUUAUGGACUCCUUGCCAUAAAGCAACGUGGUCACCAGAUGCUCAUAUGUCGUCGGUAGCGAAGAUAGUAGGAUCAACGCCUUGUCUUCGUCAUCCAGAUUGACUCCGAUGCUGGUCAACUGGGCCACCACCUUGUUGAACUCAUUUAGAUGAUCAUGUAGGCUCGCCGCUUCUUGCAUCCGCAACGUAAACAGUCGCUGCUUCAGAUACAAUCUGUUCGUCAGGGAUUUGGUCAUGUACAGAUCUUCCAAUUUCUUCCACAAUUUCGCCGGUGUCGUCUCGCCGGCUACAUUGUAAAGAACCUCAUCUGCUAAUGAUAGAUGAAGCGUACUCAGCGCCUUCCGCUCCAUCUUCGUCCAUGCCGCAUCCGUGACCUCCGCCGGCUUUGCCUCCUUCCCGUUCAACGUCUCGUCUAACUCUUGCUGUACGAGGAUUGCUCGUACUUUAAUUUGCCAUAAUCCGAAAUUGUUCUUGCCGUCGAACUUCUCGAUUUCGAAUUUCGUGGCCAUCUCCGUCGAUCUCUCCCGCAGAUCGGUAACCUUCGGCUCUGAUACCACUUGUUGGGAAUCCGGUACUCGCCCCGGUACCGGAUCUCGUGAAUCCGCAACCCGCUCCGAUACCGACUGCUGUGGAUCCGGUAUCGAUUGUUUGGAUUCCGCAACGGAAGCGUCGAAUCGGGUUUUUACCAUAAACCCGUCUCCUCAGCAAAAGCUGAUACAAUCAUAAAAGAGAAAAAUAUGCAGGUAAAAUAAGAUUCAUUAAAUAAGAGAAGAUUACACCUGACUCCUCUUCUGCAACAGAGUAGCUACAACCCUAGCCCUCUUUUUGAAUCUCUCCUACCUUUCUCUCGUCUUCUAUGAACCCACAAAAAAGACCUCUCCGCGUGCACCCGUGCACAAGGUGCAAUAAAAUAACUCUCUCUCUCUUUUUCUCUCUAUGGUACGGCACCCAAGCUUCAGCCGUACUGCCCUCAAAAAAGAGAGUCACAAUGACUAUUUAUAAUGCUCAACUUAAAACGUACCCCAAUCCUAAUAUAUUUAGGAUUCAUACUUUAAUUAAUAUCUAAAUCUAUCUUAAUCAAUCUCUAAUAGAUUUAAAUAUUAAUCCUAAUCUAGUUAGGUUUAUCCUCUAAUUAAUAUUUAAAUCUUAAUUUAUCUCAAACAGAUUUAAAUAUUAAUUCUUAUCCAAAUAGGAUUUAACUACAAAUCUAACCAAAUCCUAUCAUCUAGUUAAAGUAAAAGGAAAAGCAACAAAUUAAACACUGGUUACUGUUUUGAGGUCAUUAGCUCACUUUUUCCUAGUUAAAGAAGUAAAGUAAAUAAUUAUAUAUUUGAUAUCAUUUGAAGCUCACUUUAAUUAAUUGCAUGUAGGCAAGUGAACUCCCUCAAGAGAGUGAGAGACAUAAUAUUCAUCUCUUUCCAUUUUUCGCGUUAUUUCCAGCCCCACAAACCGACCAAAUCUUUUCGAUCUCUUUAGUUGUUAUCUUUAAUUCUUGCCUUUCUCUUUUUUCUUAACCUCAUCAAGCAAACAUUUUGAUGCUUGUAUAGUACAAAUUAGACUGUUAGCAGGUCGAUCAAUUAAAGUGCCUGCAAACAAAAUUAUAUUGCAAUUAAGGAAAGAGAAAACAAGAAUUUAUCAAUAAAGCUUCAACAUUCGAUAACAAGAAAAGAAAAAGUACUAUAUAUAGAGAGAGUGAGAUGCAUGAUAUAUAUAUAUAUAUAUAUAUAUAUAUAUAUAGAGAGAGAGAGAGAGAGAGAGAGAGAGAGAGAGAGAGAGAGAGAGAGAGAGUUUUAGAUAUACCCUAGUGCACUACAACAAAAACGGUUUAUAGCGACACUUUUAAAUGUCGGUAUAGGUCCAAAAAAGUGCUGCUGGCUAAAUUACCGACACUUUUAAAAAGUAUUGCUAUAUGUAGGGUCGCUAGAUAUAUAGUGACAGUUAAAGAGUGUCGCUAUAACCUAAAAAAGUGCUGCUAAUUUAGCAAUACUUAUUUAAGCAUCUAGCAACCGUCGGAACUCUAUCUCGUUGGCUGCGGUGGCGGAGGAGAAUGAGAGGGAAGGCCCCUUCGUCUAGAAUUUCAGUGGAUUGAGUGAGAGGAGAAAGGGAGAUGGUAAUCGAUUUUUCUUUUUUUUUUUUCUUUUCUAUUUAGAAUUGGGCCAAAUGGCUGAGUUGGGUGGGUUGAGUAUAGUAACCUUUUAUUUUUUGUUGGAUUCGGCUUUAUAUUUAGGCAUUAGUAGAUGUUUUUUUUAAUUUUGACAUAAAUGGAAUACUUAAACAAAAGUGUCCCAAACAUGUGUCCCUAUAACCUAAUUUUGUUGUAGUGGUGCUCCAAUGAAAGAGAAUAAAAGAUUCUUAUGUUCUUCUUUUCUUUAGGUAGUGUAUAAACUUAGUGGAAAUGUAAUAUAUGUUGGAUGAAACUUGGAAGAAGCAUAACUCUCAUACGAUGAUACUACGCCAGUGAAUGUUUCGUAUUAUACACAACGAAAAAGAAGGGAAGGUUUGUGACGGUAAAUCAAUCCAUGUGCUUGCGAGAGAAGAGAGAAUAAAGUGGAAAAAUAAGUGAGAGGAAUAGAACGCAGAGAAAUGAGAAGUAAAUAUAAAAAGAGGAAAGAGGAGAAUGUGUGGCGAUUUGAGAGUGUCUUACUUUGAUGCCUUGUAUUGAAAAGAAACAAUGAGUUGCUACAAGAAGGUAAAGAAAAAGAAAAGAGUGUAUAUUGGUGGGAUAUAUAAAUUAAUAGGACAAUGACUUAUUAGAUGUGGGGUAUAUAGCCUAUAUUGGUGGUUUCCCUUUGGAGAGCAUGAAAUUGGUGAGUUAGAUCAAUGUUCUUGAGUGCAUCAAAACCUUAAAGAAGUAGUAUAUCCAAAAGGUACCUGAGCAUAUUUGCUAUGUGGCAAUACAUAUAUAUGUUACAUCACAACAAUUUCUCUUAAUUAGUAUAGUGGAGUGUGAUCCACACCAUGCUCCUUAAAUAUUUCUUCUCUUUUUGGGGGGCAAAAUUACUAUCCAUGCUUGUGUCAAAACAGUCACUAGAGCUCAAUUAAAGUGUUCGGAUUAAUAAAGAUAAGAACAAAGCAUUUCUCCUUUUCUUUUUGAGAAGGAAAAUAUAUAGCUUUAACAAUAAUGCUUUUUUUGUGAAGAGUUGUGUGCCGACGCACGAAGGGAGCAUGAUCACUGUAAUUAGAGAAUAAUGCGUUAUAAUAUAGUGACCUCACAAAAGGAAGGGAGUGUCCUUGUCUAUACUAGGAGAACCUAAUCCUCCACUUUAGUGGUGUGAUGUAAAUAUGUUCUAGUAACGUUUCUUCUCACUUAAGAAAAUAAAAAAGGGACCAAUAUUGGAGAAGUGUUGUGAGAGGAUGAGGCUUUGAUGGUGAAACUAUGUUUGCUUGUUUUGUAAGGUCCAAACAUAUGAGUGAAGUAUAUUCUUCAAAUAGUGAAGUUCCUUGUGCAUUGGUUUGGAUUCAUCUAACUAGUGGAGGAGGUUGCUAUUUGUGGUUCCUCUUCUAGAAUGGUUUCAUUUCCUAGUCUAGAAAUGUCCUCCACACAAUAAUAUUCUUAUUUAUCUAGCUAUUUGGAGGUUAGUGCCAAACAACCGUUAUAUUCUAAGACUGCGUUUGGUUGGAGGGAUAUCCCAGAACAAGGAAGGAUAUCCCCCAAUCAAUACCCAAAUGAAAAAAAAAAAAAGAAAGGGGAUUCUUUGUUCCAGGCUUAACGGGUUGUUCUUGGAAGAACCCGUUAAGCCUAUUCUCCUCAGCUUGGAGAACUGAGCGGAACAACUUGGAUCCCCUCUGAAACUUUCCAUUUUGCCCUUUAAAUCUCUCGCCUCAAACGAACCAAAAAAAAUUAUAAAGAAAAUAUAUUGAAUGAUUAAUUUAAUAAGUGUUACUCCAUUUUAAAUAUUUAUAUUUUUAAAUUAAUUUUGAAUAAAUUUAAAUAAAUGUUUAAAUUGAAUACAACUAAAUUAAUAUUUUCAAAAUAAUGUACAAAUAUACUUAAUUUGUAAUUAAUUUAUUCUAAUACUUAAUUUAUUAAAUCAUAUUUAAUUAUUAUAUUCAAGGGCAAAUUUGUCAUUCUAUUAUAUUCAAGGGCAAAUUUAUUAAAUGUUUUUUUUGUUAUUUACUAGAUAUUGUUGAUAAGAGGCUUAGAUGUAUCAAAUUGUAUCAAAUUAGGCAAAAAAAUUGCUAUUUAAGUGAACCAAGCUUUUAGCAGAGUGAAAAAAAGUUCUUCUUAAAAUAGCAAGUGUCGUUUUAUCCUGCAUUGCAUGAUUCGUCAACCUUUUCUUCUUUUCUUUUUUUUUUUGUGAAAGGAUUCCAAAACCAUGCAUGAACAAAAAAUUAUGUGAUCUCUUUUGCUUUUAGGAUACUAGUCUUUUACCAGCAUUAAUUAAUACGCUUCAAUUACAAAAAGCACUUCAAUGUUAUUUACAAACUUGAAAAGGUGCUCUAUAUAUAUAUAUAUCCCCUCAAAUUUCUUGCUUAAUUUGGAGCUUAAUUAUAUAUAUGAUUAUUAAUUCUAUUGUAAAUAGUAACUCUCACUGUAUGUUUUGAUGGAGGAAGUUUUAUUGUGCCUAUCCUUCACUUUCGUAUAAAAUGACUUUGCCCUCAAUUGAAGGGAACACAACUUUCACUUAAAUUAGAGAUCAUGGUAACAAAUAAUCAAUAAAAUCGAAAAUCACUUUUAACCUCACUUACUCAUUAGCGACUUCCAUCAAACAAAUUAACAACUCCCAAUGUGUUAAAUAUAAAAAUAUUUAAACACCGCUCUUUGCAAGUUUAAGGAGGUCCUAAGUUCGAAUCAUCCCAGACUCGUUUAAUUCAAGUCCACAUAAUGUGCCUAUAAAAAGUUUCAAACCCAGAUGUGAGGUUGAGUAUUAAAUAUAAAAAUAUUUUAUAGUACAAUGUUUAUUUCACACAUGUUUAUUUCCUUUUGAUCACAUAUAUCUUAAAUUAAUAUAUCUUAUCUUAACAAAAAUUUGAAAAAUUACGAUUCAUUUUCAACUGCUGACACAGUUAGUAAGAAUAUUUAUUUCCGUCGUAGGUUUAGAUACCCUGGCUAAUUGCCAGCCAACCAUUUGGACCAAAAUAGUUUUACAAAAAGAAACAUGCAUCAAAGAAGCAAAGGCUCUUCUUAAUGGAUCCAUUAAUCAUGGACAAAAAAUUUGUAACUGUGAGCUUGUGCAACUGUGUUCUACCCUGUAUGCAUGUGACAAGAAAAGCAUAAAAAAGAAAAAAAAAAAGAAAAAAAAAAAGAAGGAUAGAUUGCGACAAUGAAGUGAAAUUCAGCCAAUCUCCUUAUUUCUUGGUAUGUAGGGUAUAACCAGUAGAAGAGGAUGCUUCUCUUUUAGAAGCUCAUUCUAGAGAGAGAGAGAGCCUUCUUUAUCCCAGGUAAUUCACAAGGAAUUUGAAUGAGUCCUAUCUUAUUAAAUUAUGUACAUUUAUGGAGAUUAAAUAUAGGGCUAUAUAGUAAUUUGAAAUUGUAAAAUGUCAAAAAAAAAAUGUUUUUGUGUUUUUAUGCAAGAUGGUAAUGUGCGGUUGGGCAUUAUCAUUCGUCAGUGUUACGACAAAUGCACAGAUGGAAACGAAAAUGACGAACAUGAAAUAAACAAACCACAAAUAGAAAUAAAAGAGAAUACACAGAUUUACGUGAAAAAUCUUUUGCAGGAAAAAAAAUCACGGGCGAGGGAUGAGAGAAUUUCACUAUCGAAAAAAGGGAAUACAAUGUUCAAGGUACAACCAGCAUCAAUCUGUCACCUCUAGGACAAAAACAAAAAAAAAACUCUUAACGGGCUUAUCGGCCCGAGUCCUCCGCUACCAACCACAGGCAUUUAUUUUUCCUUCUCAAUUUUAUUUCAAAAGCCGUACCGCGAAACUGCCAGCGAGUCAAAGUUUAGAACUGGAAUCGAUUAUCAAUUUCGAGUCAUAUCUAACGGUCAGAAAGAAUAUUUAUUGCAAAUAAGUCAUCAAGUAAGAGAGAGAGAGAGAGAGAGAGAGUUAAUAUAUAUUUUUCGGCCUGUUUCUUAUUAGAUUUAUCUUUUAGUUUAUAUGAUAUCAGAAUCAAUUUCAAGCUUCUUCAUUUUGUGAGGUCGUGGAUUCAUUCUUCACUUUUUAUACUUAACGUGUAAAAUUUUCACGCACCGAUGCAUAUUAGUGAAAGUGUUAAUAUAUAUUUGUUGAUCGUGACUAAAAAGAACUACCUACUAUUUAUUAGGAUCAUGGCCACAAGGUGUUGAAAUUAAUGGUCUUACAAGGCCAUCAAUUGCCUGGGAGAACACUUCUGCUAUCUAGACUUUUAAAAGAACUCAUCCUCAUUCAUCUCCCUUCUCUUACUCAAUUAGGUAACUGGAAAUUGGAACAUGAAGAAAGAGUGUGAUAGGUUAUCAAUCAAUUUGGCCAUAAAGGAAUCCUCCUAUCAAACCAUAUCUUAUUUACAAAGUAAUGAUAUGCCCUAAAAAUUAUAGUGGCAUGUGCAUUGACCUGUGUUGUUCCUAUGGCACUCAAUAUGCUUUGGGUUAUCCAUGGAUUGAAACUGAAAUGCCAAAUUUUUUGCUUUAAACCUUUCCUGGACUGUGGAAGAUAAUGUGGGACUAACAACUUGGCAUAUAACCACUCACUCAACCCUAGGGGGCUCACAUUGGUGCUAUUAAUAGUAUAUUAACCUAGUUCUCUCUCUCUCUCUCUCUCUCUCUCUCUCUCUCUCUCUAUAUAUAUAUAUAUAUAUAUAUAUAUAUAUAUAUUGGGUGCUAAUCUAAGGCUUUCUGAGUUUGUACACAACAAAGCGCUUAUCAACUUAAUUUCUUUUCGUAACUGCUGUUAGCAAGUGAUUAUCAAUAACCUAAAUUUCUUUGAGUACCUUAUCCUUUUCUCUUUGGAUUAAUGCUUGGAUACAAGUUUUAAGAUAUUUUGAGUAAUUAAUUUCAUUUUAAUGUGAGUGAUGGCCAAACCAACAUAAAUUUGUACUAGGUGUGGUUGGGUUAUCUUCAUCUUUUAUAGCUUUGAUGGUGAUUUGUUAUCAUGAUCGACUUCUCGAAAAUGAAGGAUAUGGAUAUAUAUAUAUAUAUAUAUAUAUAUAUAUANNNNNNNNNNNNNNNNNNNNNNNNNNNNNNNNNNNNNNNNNNNNNNNNNNNNNNNNNNNNNNNNNNNNNNNNNNNNNNNNNNNNNNNNNNNNNNNNNNNNNNNNNNNNNNNNNNNNNNNNNNNNNNNNNNNNNNNNNNNNNNNNNNNNNNNNNNNNNNNNNNNNNNNNNNNNNNNNNNNNNNNNNNNNNNNNNNNNNNNNNNNNNNNNNNNNNNNNNNNNNNNNNNNNNNNNNNNNNNNNNNNNNNNNNNNNNNNNNNNNNNNNNNNNNNNNNNNNNNNNNNNNNNNNNNNNNNNNNNNNNNNNNNNNNNNNNNNNNNNNNNNNNNNNNNNNNNNNNNNNNNNNNNNNNNNNNNNNNNNNNNNNNNNNNNNNNNNNNNNNNNNNNNNNNNNNNNNNNNNNNNNNNNNNNNNNNNNNNNNNNNNNNNNNNNNNNNNNNNNNNNNNNNNNNNNNNNNNNNNNNNNNNNNNNNNNNNNNNNNNNNNNNNNNNNNNNNNNNNNNNNNNNNNNNNNNNNNNNNNNNNNNNNNNNNNNNNNNNNNNNNNNNNNNNNNNNNNNNNNNNNNNNNNNNNNNNNNNNNNNNNNNNNNNNNNNNNNNNNNNNNNNNNNNNNNNNNNNNNNNNNNNNNNNNNNNNNNNNNNNNNNNNNNNNNNNNNNNNNNNNNNNNNNNNNNNNNNNNNNNNNNNNNNNNNNNNNNNNNNNNNNNNNNNNNNNNNNNNNNNNNNNNNNNNNNNNNNNNNNNNNNNNNNNNNNNNNNNNNNNNNNNNNNNNNNNNNNNNNNNNNNNNNNNNNNNNNNNNNNNNNNNNNNNNNNNNNNNNNNNNNNNNNNNNNNNNNNNNNNNNNNNNNNNNNNNNNNNNNNNNNNNNNNNNNNNNNNNNNNNNNNNNNNNNNNNNNNNNNNNNNNNNNNNNNNNNNNNNNNNNNNNNNNNNNNNNNNNNNNNNNNNNNNNNNNNNNNNNNNNNNNNNNNNNNNNNNNNNNNNNNNNNNNNNNNNNNNNNNNNNNNNNNNNNNNNNNNNNNNNNNNNNNNNNNNNNNNNNNNNNNNNNNNNNNNNNNNNNNNNNNNNNNNNNNNNNNNNNNNNNNNNNNNNNNNNNNNNNNNNNNNNNNNNNNNNNNNNNNNNNNNNNNNNNNNNNNNNNNNNNNNNNNNNNNNNNNNNNNNNNNNNNNNNNNNNNNNNNNNNNNNNNNNNNNNNNNNNNNNNNNNNNNNNNNNNNNNNNNNNNNNNNNNNNNNNNNNNNNNNNNNNNNNNNNNNNNNNNNNNNNNNNNNNNNNNNNNNNNNNNNNNNNNNNNNNNNNNNNNNNNNNNNNNNNNNNNNNNNNNNNNNNNNNNNNNNNNNNNNNNNNNNNNNNNNNNNNNNNNNNNNNNNNNNNNNNNNNNNNNNNNNNNNNNNNNNNNNNNNNNNNNNNNNNNNNNNNNNNNNNNNNNNNNNNNNNNNNNNNNNNNNNNNNNNNNNNNNNNNNNNNNNNNNNNNNNNNNNNNNNNNNNNNNNNNNNNNNNNNNNNNNNNNNNNNNNNNNNNNNNNNNNNNNNNNNNNNNNNNNNNNNNNNNNNNNNNNNNNNNNNNNNNNNNNNNNNNNNNNNNNNNNNNNNNNNNNNNNNNNNNNNNNNNNNNNNNNNNNNNNNNNNNNNNNNNNNNNNNNNNNNNNNNNNNNNNNNNNNNNNNNNNNNNNNNNNNNNNNNNNNNNNNNNNNNNNNNNNNNNNNNNNNNNNNNNNNNNNNNNNNNNNNNNNNNNNNNNNNNNNNNNNNNNNNNNNNNNNNNNNNNNNNNNNNNNNNNNNNNNNNNNNNNNNNNNNNNNNNNNNNNNNNNNNNNNNNNNNNNNNNNNNNNNNNNNNNNNNNNNNNNNNNNNNNNNNNNNNNNNNNNNNNNNNNNNNNNNNNNNNNNNNNNNNNNNNNNNNNNNNNNNNNNNNNNNNNNNNNNNNNNNNNNNNNNNNNNNNNNNNNNNNNNNNNNNNNNNNNNNNNNNNNNNNNNNNNNNNNNNNNNNNNNNNNNNNNNNNNNNNNNNNNNNNNNNNNNNNNNNNNNNNNNNNNNNNNNNNNNNNNNNNNNNNNNNNNNNNNNNNNNNNNNNNNNNNNNNNNNNNNNNNNNNNNNNNNNNNNNNNNNNNNNNNNNNNNNNNNNNNNNNNNNNNNNNNNNNNNNNNNNNNNNNNNNNNNNNNNNNNNNNNNNNNNNNNNNNNNNNNNNNNNNNNNNNNNNNNNNNNNNNNNNNNNNNNNNNNNNNNNNNNNNNNNNNNNNNNNNNNNNNNNNNNNNNNNNNNNNNNNNNNNNNNNNNNNNNNNNNNNNNNNNNNNNNNNNNNNNNNNNNNNNNNNNNNNNNNNNNNNNNNNNNNNNNNNNNNNNNNNNNNNNNNNNNNNNNNNNNNNNNNNNNNNNNNNNNNNNNNNNNNNNNNNNNNNNNNNNNNNNNNNNNNNNNNNNNNNNNNNNNNNNNNNNNNNNNNNNNNNNNNNNNNNNNNNNNNNNNNNNNNNNNNNNNNNNNNNNNNNNNNNNNNNNNNNNNNNNNNNNNNNNNNNNNNNNNNNNNNNNNNNNNNNNNNNNNNNNNNNNNNNNNNNNNNNNNNNNNNNNNNNNNNNNNNNNNNNNNNNNNNNNNNNNNNNNNNNNNNNNNNNNNNNNNNNNNNNNNNNNNNNNNNNNNNNNNNNNNNNNNNNNNNNNNNNNNNNNNNNNNNNNNNNNNNNNNNNNNNNNNNNNNNNNNNNNNNNNNNNNNNNNNNNNNNNNNNNNNNNNNNNNNNNNNNNNNNNNNNNNNNNNNNNNNNNNNNNNNNNNNNNNNNNNNNNNNNNNNNNNNNNNNNNNNNNNNNNNNNNNNNNNNNNNNNNNNNNNNNNNNNNNUUUAUAAAUUAUUUAAAUCAAUAAACUCAUUGUAAAUCACUAUGUUAUUCAAAAUAUUUAGAAAAAAUAUUUUCAAAUUUAUAUGCUUCAUUUUAUUAAAAAUAUUUACAAUAUCAAAUUUAAAUUUUAAUAUAAAUAGAUGGAUAAAUAUGAUAUCAAAAAUAAAAUUUAAUUAAUUUAAAUUUAAAUCAGAUUUAUUUUUAAUAUAAAUAAAUGAUAGAAAUGUAACUUUCACAUAUUUGAUCAUAACAGUUAUUUUUAGUUUCAAUAUUUUUUACUAAUUGAUCAUAACCGUUCUAGAAUUGAAGUUAUAGAUAAGUAUAAUAUUUUUUUUAAUAAAUUGGUCAUCAAUCGUCGUUGUAUUUGAGAUAUUUUUUACAACUUGAUCUUAAAUUGCUAAUAUUAUUAAUCAAAUAGUAUGAUACAAUUUAUCAAUCAAUCUAUUUUUUAUUUUUAAAUUAUUUUCAUUGUAAUAUAUUGAUAGUCCCAAAAUUUUAAAUUUUAAAUUAAUUUUAAAUUUUGAAUUGAAAUAUAGAUUUACUGUAGAUAUUCUGGCAAAAAUUUGGAUAAGCAUAAUAUUUUUCUAUUUUAGAGAUAAAAAAUUAAAUAAUUUUUUAAUUAAAAUAUAGAUUCACAGUAGAUAUCUUUCGGUUGGCAAAAAUUUGAAUAAGUAUAUUUUUUUUCUAUUUUAGAAAUAAACAAAAAUUAAAAGUUUGUUUCAUUACGUUACUUAUUUUACGUAAGGAAAGAGGAAUCGAUAGUUUUUUCCGCUAAAAAAUGGGUUUGUCGACAGACCCAAAUUUGAAAUACGUGCUUUUAUAUAUAGUAUAGAUAUAUAUAGUAAAAUGUACGUGCAAAUGCAUAUAAUAAUUAUUAGAAAAAAUUAUAAUUUUUUUAAAUUAUUUUUUAAUUUUAGGCCAUAUUUUAUAUGAUUGCCAAAUAUGUAUCUAAAAAAUUUAAAAUAAUAAAUCACGAGAGAGAACCUUUGGAAAAAUUGGGUUUUCAAGAGUAUACAUUAUUCUAUUUAAACAGUAUAUUAGACGUUUAUAUUGAAUGGUUUGAUACAGAGAGAGAAUCAGAUUUUAUGCUGUUAAUGGGCAAAGGGUUUAGCAGAAACUUAAUAGCAUGGAGGUUACAAUUACGAUAUUAAUACAAAAGGUGAUUAAUCAUUACAACAAUGGUGGAACACCAUUAAUAUACGACGGUUAUAUCAUUUUUUAUGUAAAGAGACCAAGUGGAAUACAUGAAUGAAGAAAGCACAACUAGAGAGAGUGAUAUGGAUUAUAGUGUAAAAGGUCUCCAAGAGGGGUAUGAAAAAAUAAACCCCCAAAAGGCCACAUAUUUAAUGGGUCAUAAGGGGAGAUAUAAUUAGCUACACUAAAUUAAGCUUAGUUAGGCUCGACUCCCUGAUAUACACGCCAUAUUAGCCAAUGGGUACAAGAUCAAUACCAAUGAUGUGGCGCCGGAAAAAAUAUUGAUGGUGAUAUCUUUGGAAUCAAUAUUACAUAAAAUCAAGCGAAGAUGCUGGUUUCAUUUAAUGUAUUUACUCUUGGAGUAUUAGGUAUUUAAAAGACUGAAGGGAUUUGAAGGGUGGUCUUGCACGUGGCAGACGAAAUUAUUUGUGCGGGUUUACAUUUACUCUUAUAUAGCCAGGAUUCAUAAGACAUUUUUUUGUAUCGGAACAGCAGAUAAAAAAACAAUGAGGUCGUACUAAUUUUUCAUAAAUUCAACCAGAAUACCACAAUUGGGUCUGGCUCGACAGAGACCCAACAUUUUAUAAUAUUACGUACUAUGGGGUUAUUAAUGAUUUCAUUUAUGCCAUGUUUAGUCCUUGUUAAAGAUCAGCCUUGACGUAAAAUAAUCUCUUUAAUCGGCACAUGACUAAUUAUAUUAAUAAGUAUAAACUUGAUAGCAUGUAAGAUGAAAUGAGGAGACGAGAGAGCAGAGAGAAGCCUGAGCUAGAAUAUAUUAACAGCGUCAUGAAACAUAGUUAGCAAUAACGGGACGCGCUCGCUAUUUUCUCACUAUCAAAUCUUCGGAUUAGAUGAAGAGCUUGCCAACACUAUUCUGAGAUCGGCUCCGUUAUAAUAUGAAUUAAACUAUUUAAACUUCUAGAAAUCAAAUUCCCGCACUUUCGCAUGUUGUUAUUUAUCGCAUCAAGUGAACAGAAAAAUGUAAUGGCUGAAAAUAUAAUAUUGUGCAAAAAAUGAGUGAAUAGGAGUCUUAAUAAUCAAGAUCAAGAGUAUAGAUCCUUUGUUUUAAAUAGUUUAAAGAAUUUUUCUAACCAAAAAUUCAAUUGAUUUGGAGUAUUUUACGCAUUAAACGGAAAACGUCUCUUUAUUGANNNNNNNNNNNNNNNNNNNNNNNNNGACUAUUAAGAAACAUAUGCAUUUAAUGAUAAAUAUUACAAUAUUCUAAAUAGCAAAAAUACUUUGAAUUGAAAUAGAACAAUAAAAUCCUGUUAGAAAAUAAAUUUUGACAAUAAAUAGACAAAUAAAAUCCGCUUAUCUUAAAAGAAAAUUCAUAUUUUGAAUUAAAUACUAAUAUCUAAAACCAUAUUUUUAAAUUAAAUAGAACAAAUUAUCUUUUUAUAGGAUUUUCACACCCGUAAUUUUAUAUUAAAACCCUUACUUUGAAAUUAAAAUAGAAAAUUUAUCAUUGCAGUAUUUUAAGUCCCUCCUCCACUUCGGUAGUCUCUAGUAAACUUAAACUAUUCAUUGCUGUUUUCCGAUCAAGUUUUCUUCUAUUUGGUUCUUGCCUAUCUAGUUUAUUACCGCGGCGAUGCGCGGAAUAGUUUUAUCGAAAUAUUUAGAUUUUAUUCAAUUCCAUCACUCUGAAAGUAGACACUAUAAAGAUUAACAGAAAAUACUGUAAAUUAGUUUAAACAUUAGAUCUAAGACAAAUAGAGAAAACAGAGACGAGAAAAAUAAAGCCGAGAAAGCUUCAUUUACAUGGUUUCGGUCUCUAAAAGUGACGACGGCUCUGCACCGUUUCAUACGGCCUCGAUCUCCAUUGCCAUGCCGCCGUCUUUCUUCACAGCCUAUACGAUCUCCCCGUACAUCAGAUUUUACCGCCUCUUGCCGCUAUGACUAAAAGCAUCAUCCCAACCACUCAUGGCUGAAAUGAGAAAGAUAAUAUGCAAUUCCACAGUGAAUUAGAAAAACAUUAAAAAUAAAAAUACGAUAUUUCUACACUCUUUACUAAUGCAAGAAGGUUUUUAACUUUAUUAAUGAAGAAACAAGACAUUAGGCUUUCAUUUUAUUGACCUAAUAGGAGAGCAUAGAGCUUUUGCACUACGUUUUAUCUUUACGAUUUGAAUGUCGUUAUUUCUUUCUGUUCUUUCCCUUUGACCAUUAAAAUUACAAAUUUUGAAACCCUUUGAUCAUUAGGCAAAUGAUGUCGAAAAGAUUUGAAAUUUGAUUUCUAAACACUUCAAGUGGUAUAGAUCAUGUUCAAUGGAGCCGAUCGUCAAUUUGGAAGCUCUAUCAUCGAAAACAAAUAGGUAGUAAAACGGCUCGUUUACUACUGAUAGUAUUCUAGCAAAACUCUCUCUCUCUCUCUCUCUCUCUAUAUAUAUAUAUAUAUAAGAAAAUUCAAAGCAUUUUGAAGUAGUUUUGUAUAGUUGUUAUUGGUACAAAUGAGUUUGAAUCUCUCUACAACUAGUGAAUGUGGAAUCUUUGGCAAUGCUCUCCACGUACACACACAUAGGCCUCUUGUACGUGGUCUACAUUAACUGACUUGUCUUUUUUCUUUUUUGUUGAGUACUAAAAUUUCAAAGAAGUGGUCUCACAUUUUGGAUUAAGAGCCUACGUACAAUGUACAUCAUUUAUCUAUGAGAGGUGUACAAAUAGCAUUUUCCAAAAACUUUUCCCUAUAAUCAAUAGCACUCAAAUUAAUUAUUUGGUGGCUUCCUCUUAUUCAAGUUGUUAUUCCUCUCAAUGUUGUUUGUACUUUUUUAGGAUCUCACCACUGUCAAAUACAUGCAAAUGGCCCAUUUAAGUACUCUAUAGGCAUUCAAUUAUAAGAGCUAAGUGUUACUAGUACAUAAAAUGUCAAAAAAAACAUCAAGCAUGCAUGAAUAAUUGGGGCCAUUUAUCAAAAUGUAUACUCUUAAUUAUGUCUCCGAUAUCAUCUUGGUUAAUUGUUAACUGUUUGAGAUACCCUUUAGUCACUAAAUUCUUGUGACUAUGUUGCAAAAAUUUGGUAAAACUAUAUGAUCACAAACUAUGUUGUAUUUUUGAAAUGGGCGUCGGAACUUUGCAAGUUUUGUUUUCAGUACUUAGUCUAACAGUGUGAUUGAUAUAUAUAAAUGUGUCUCUAUUUUUAAUAUUUUUGAUAGAAUACUUAUAACCAAAAUAAAUAAAUAAAUAAAUGCAGAUAAUUUGAAUCAGCCUUGAAUUUUUAAUUAAAAUAAAUGCCUCAAACUCUAAAUUCUCUUGCUUUGAUAAUAAAUGAAAAAAAAAAAAAGAUUCCUCUAGAAGAUUAAAUAAUUAGGAAAUUAAUUGGUAUUGCAAUUCCAAUCCAGCAAAUGCCAAUUAAAUUAUCCGCCGUCGGAUCUCCGAUCAAGUUGUCAUUGUGCAUGAGCCCUAAUCUCCAAACUAGGAAUUUCUUACACAAGUGAUCCUAUUACAAGAUUGCAUAUCCUUGCUUGUUGGAAAUUAACAUCCUAUAUUUUUUUUUUCCUAUGUUAUCAUAUUCUUGUGAUUCAGUUAAGAGGGGCCCCGUUAAAGUGCCCUAAUUAACUAUGGUUCAAAAGCUUAAGAGACCAUUGAUUCUCAUUUUGACCAAAAUCUCAACAAAAGAGAUAUUAUUCUAAGUAAAGCAUGAUUAAUGAUAAGUUUAUUGUCGAAGUGGGGCAUUUAGAACAAUUUUAUACUUAGGACAUAAGUAAUCAUGUUAAUAAUAUAAUACGUAUUACUAUGUGAUGCAAUAUUUGCAUAGAAAUGUUACAAUAUAAUUUUCUCUAGUCUCAUAUUUCGGAACCGUGAAAAGGAAAAUACGGAAAUGAAACAGUUUCUAGGAUGGAAAAAAUAAAUAAAUUUUUAGUGGAAAAACCUUUUAUGUCCUUUUUAGCUAAUGAAAACAUUAAUUUUCUUAAUUAAGUUAAUUAAAUAUCUUCCAUCAUCCUCCCUGAUCACUUCUUUAUUUUCUCCUCCUGUAAUUCAAACCAAAUACGAACGUUUCAGAAAAUAUUUUUAUUUUAAAAUAUGUACUAAUAACCACAAAUUUCAUUCUUUUUUUUUUUCUGAGAACUAUAUAUUUUCAUUUUUUGCACAAAAAAGGAGGUAAAUUAGGAAAUUAAUAUAAUGUAGUCUCUUUUGAUUAGCAAUGAUUAAACUAAUUUAAGCAUCUUUUAAUUGCUAAUAUAUAUGGAGUUCAACCAAUUGGGUGGCAUAUAAUUAUUCGGAAAUAAAGCAUGCAAAUAUAUAUUGGGGAUUGAGAAUUGGACAAAUGUAUGGUGGAGGAACAACCAAUCAGAAUGUGACAAGUCAUCAACUGUGGGCCCCACAAAAGAACAGGACAAUGGAUGUGGACCGUUCAUUCGCAUCAUGUCAUCAUGUCAUCAUGUAUUGGAGGAGAAUCCAAAUGCCAUCAUCAAUGGCUUGAAACUUCUAAUUCCCAAAAAAUAAAUAAAUAAAUAAAUAAAUAAUAAAAAAAAAUGCUACAUGCAUAUAUUCCAAAAUUUCAAUAUAAAUCUUAGGGGCAAUUUCACUUGUACCCUUCUAAGUUCUGAAAUUUCAUUGAUGUCCUCUCAAUUUUUGAAAUUUCAUGAAUAACCCUUCAAAUUUCAAAUAUGUUUCAUCAAUAUGCCAUUCUCAAUUUAAUAUUAAUUUCUAUACAUUUAAAAUAGAAUUAAUGUGACCAUUUUACCCCUACUUUUGAGUAUUCUUUAUUAGAAUAAAAUAGGUAAAGAUAUAAGAAUUAAUUUCACUUGUAACCUUCUAAAAUUAAAAAAAAAUACUAUAAAUAUAUUUAUAAAUAUGGCUACCUCCAGAUUAGUCUUUAAAAUAUAUAAUUUCUUACAAAUUAAUAUAUUGUCACUAGAAAUAUGUGAAGACCCCCUCAGCUGAAUUCUUGUGAUUUUUCUAUAACUUUAUUUUUUUUACUUAUUAAAUUAAAUAAAAAUAUUAAAAAUUACUUUAUAUAUUAUAUGGAUAUUUUAUCUUAAAAUUUUUAACUAAUAACUUCUUUUGUAAUAUGUGCUAAAUGAGAUAGUUCACACAUUAUAUUAGUUUACANUUUAGUUGUGAACUGUUUAACCUUUUUUUUUUUUUUUUACUUUCCUCAUAUUUUAUAAAAUUUCUAGUUUAAGUUUUUAUAUUAAUUUAUAUUUGAAAGUUUGUUUUAGCUGAAUUUAUAAAAACUUUCUUUAAAAUUAUAAAGCAUUCUUAAAUUUAAAGGAUAUUUAUGAAACUAUAUUUGAUAUGUGGCUACUGGAUUGUUUUCAAUGAGGGCAAAAUAGGAAUUCCAUUUAUAGAAAUGUAAUUUCUGAUAAAAAAAAUAGCAAGUAGGGUUAUUUUUGAAGAUUUCUUACACAUAGAGGGUCAUUUAUGAUAUUUUAAUUUUUAAAGGGGUAUAUAUGUAAUUAUAUAGUAAAUUUUCCCUUGUUUUUUUAUCAUUUUAAGGGUUCUUUGGACACUCCACUUUGAUGGCUAGUGAAUUAAAGUUUAAUCAUAGUUAGUUAACCAUAAACUCUGAACCCUAAACUUUAAACUCUAAACGUAGUGCUCUCUUUGCUGUAAGAAUAUUUAUCUUAAGAUUUUUCAUAAAAGAUAAAUAUUCUUACAGCAAAGAGAGCACUACGUUUAGAGCAAGAUUUUUCAUAAAAAUGACCGACCGUCCCUAAAGCAAGUGUCAAAGGGCUUAGUGGCUGGUAUCUGAGACCCAAGUUCGAAUCUUAGUUGAUUCACAUUUCUAGUUAAGUUUAUUUUUAAAUGAAAUAAACGAAGCGGGUAGCGUGCUACCUAUCUCUCUCAAAAAAAAAAAAAAAGAUUUUUCAUAGAAAUGCAAAUUACUAUUACCACCUAUUCUUCAAGGGACGGUGAUUUGGUAUUUUGCAUAAAAACACUGCUCUCGCAAAGCACUUACGCACUCAAUACUUGAUUAGAAAGCUGGAUCAAAUGAGUCACCGAUAAAGAUUUUAUUUGAUUGAAAGGGACGACUUUUAAUCGAUAGCUACAUAAAGUUUAGGCAUUACUAAACUCCAAAACACUCAUCUUUUUUGUUUUCUAUGAAAAGACUCUUAAUCUAAAAUUCUAAAUAUUCUUAGCACUAUUCUUAAUUAAUCAAUCAUUAGCUCAGCGCAUCCUUCUAUUUAUUUGUAAGCAAAUGAAAUAGAACAACUAAUUAGUAAUCUUUGGGAUUCAUUGAGCCAACACAUAUGGUAAAUCGUGCUAAUCGCUUAAAUAUAUAUCAAUUUGGUCGAUUGAUCAAUUUUAUUUACCUAACACGUAACUAAAAAAAAUACUUUGGAUUAUUAAUUUCAAACUAGUGUUUACAUUAUACAUGCCAACACAUUAAACAAGUUAUAAUAAAAAAUUAAAAAAAAAAAAAUCUGCCUCGAAAAGGUGUCUCCCCUUAGACUUUGGAUUCAUGUCACCACCCCCACGUGCGGUGGAUACAUUGAAAUUCCACACCACACGUGACCCCAAAAAUCUACUUUAACUAUUACAAAAUUUGAAAAAUGCUAUUUAUACAUGAUGUAAAUCUUAAAAUAAAAAUUUUAUUGCAGUAAUUUUUAAAAUAAAAUAAUUUUAUCCACCGUCCAUCACGUGGGCUGGCACGACUCUAAAAGCGUAAUGAACGGUAGAGGAAACUGUCUAACUACGAAGAAUUAAUAUUUCUAUAAGUUUUUUGUCCUAAAUCAUCCCUAAAUGUUUUAAAAAGUCCUUUUACAUCUUUAGUACUAAAAAUUUUGAUGAGAUUAGUGAGUAAAUAUGAAUUUUUGAAAGAUUAAAGCCUAAGCUUUACAUCCUAGCUUUAUUUUUUAAAAUUUGGGUAUUUUCUAAUCUACUUUUGUGUGAUUUAGCGUCUAUUUAGUUUAUCACUCUAUAACUUAAGAAGUUACUCUUAAUUAUCGUAUAAUUAUAUUCUUAUUAGAGCCAGCAUUCUAUCCUGUAGCAGAAAGCUUUGAAAUUACUGAUUAGCGCCAACGAUCCGACACGACGUGCAAUUUAUAUCUCAUUUCUUAAAUGUACAAAUAAUAUUUCUCUUAUAAUUUACUAUUUAGUUCUAUAUCCCCCAAUUCAAAAUAACUAGUUAAAGCUGGUCAAAUAAUAAUGAAGAAACAGUAGAAGAGGCACAACAACAAUUAAUAUAGCAUGGCUUUUUCGAAAGAAAAUUAAUUUUUUUACCAUUAUUUGUUACAAAAUAAACAGUUGCAAACCAUCAAAAAUAAUUUUUAAUAUUAAAAAAACUUAUCAAAAUUACUAGUGUGCCUGCACUGACAGACCUGAUAGAAUAUUUUAUCAGAACUCUUAAUAUAUAUAUAUAUAUAUAUAUAUAUAUAUAUAUAGAGAGAGAGAGAGAGAGAGUGAGUAUGUCUCUUAUACUUUCGAAAAUACGGAGGUUUCUGUGCUUAUAAAUUAUUUUCGAUAAUGAAAUAUUCGAUUCGACGAUCAGUUUCAUUAAGUAUGAUCUACGCUAUUAGUACUAAUUAAAAAUAAAUUUUAUAAUGUUUCGACAUUAUCUACCAAGUGAUCAAGAAAUCUUAAAAAUGACUAUUUUAAUGACCAAUAUGACACGUUUGUAAAUUAAAUAGUGUAGAAGAAUCCAAAUUAUAUGAAACUUCAAUAGAAAAUUAUACUUAAGAUCAAGAAUGAAAAUAAUACUUCCGAUUUGAAAUUUAAGUCUUUUAUAAUUAUUUUUUUUAUAAAAUUUUUAUUUUCAACCGUUCAUUUCGAAGCUAUUUAUUCACUAGGCAAACAAAAUAAGAAAAUUAUGAAAUUUGAUUUCUAAAUAGUUCUAAUAAGCGUAGAUCAUAUUUUAUGGAGCCGAUCGUCGAAUCGAAUGUUCCAUCAUCGAAAAUAAUUUAUAAUCAUGAAUUCAAUUAUUUAUUUAUUACUUGCUAUAGUUAGGACUUAGGAGACACACCCUUUUCUAAUUUCCUAAAUUUGAUUUCACUUUGAUAUACCCAAAAGAAAAAAAAAGAAGAGAUUUUGAGGAGGGCAGAAACAGUAUGUCAGGGAUUUUAAUUGCUCCCAACCAUUUCAGUGUCUGCUCACCAGCUGGAUUUGGAGUCUUGCACCAAACCCUCUUUCCAGCCCCCACAUGCCCCAUCCCUCCCCACCAUCUUCUUCCCUUCCUCCCCCCCUACCCCACAACUUUUUUUUUCUUUUUUUUUCUUUUUUUUCUUUUUGGGUGGAGAAAAUAUCCUCCCCACUUUUAGACCAACCUUGGCAUAGAUUCCUCCCCCACCCUCUCUUGCCUUCAACUAAUUUUUGUUUUAAUAUAUAUAUUAUAUAUUCAUAAUUUUUUUUUUUUUUUGAUAGGAAUAGAUAGCAAGCUAUCUGCUUCAUUCAUUAAGCAAAUAUAUUAAUAUUAUUCUAAUAAAUUACUCAUAUACUAUAUAUAUAAUAUAGUUUCUGAUUGAAUAGUAUACUGAUAUAUAUCAUAUAUAAAUUAAUUUAAUAUAAAAUUUAAAAAAUAAUUAUAUACUCUACGUAAAAAAAUCCCAAACAUCUUCUUCUUAAUUUCUAUUUUUUUCUCUCUCUCUCUUAAUUUUUUUCAAUAAAUAAUGCUCCUAAAUAUAUCAAAGUUCACAUUAUAAAUUAACACAUCAUGAAUAACAAAGCAUUAAUUACAUUUUUCUAAUUUCCAAAUCCCAUUUUCUAUAGAGAAAUAUAUCCUUUUUACCCUUCUAUAUUCCACCCCCUUCUACCAUCCAUUCCCCUUCCCCCCCCACCACUUCUCCUCCUGCCAUUCUCUUUUUCUUCUUCUUCUUCUUCUUCACCUCUCAUUUCCUCUUCCUCUUUGUGGUUUGGGUGAUCUCUUGGAAUCAAUCAGCUUUUCCCUUCAUAGAAACCACAGAACCUCAGAAGCAGAAUCCAAUUCCUCUCCUAAUCCCCACCCUUUGCUUCCACUGGUGGGAACCCCCUCUCCUUUUCCCCCCUCCUCCUCCUCCUCCCCCUUGUGCUUAUUCUUUAAAAAGCCCCACUCUCUCUUCACCUCCUCUCCCACCCCCCACCCACACCCCAAGAUCAAAUUUUGAUCAUCACCAACCUCCCAAAAUCCCACCUUUUGUUGGUUUAUUUCUUCUUCGAUCUCACAUGCAUGCAUGCAUAUGCUCCUCGAUCUCCUAAUUAAUGUUCUCAAUUCAUGUCUCCUUUCCUAAGUGAACUCCUCCUCUCCGGUUACAUAAUCAACUCCUCACUUCGACGCAGAACCCACAUGGCUCAAUCCUUCUCCGUGGUCUUCCUCUACUGGUUCUAUGUUUUCUCAUAAACUGCUUCCCCAAUCCAUCCUCCCUAUAUACUAUAUAUAUACACUUCUUUAGUUACUUAUAUAAGUUUCCCAAGCAAUUAUAUACUAUUACUAUUAUUAUUAUAAAAAUAUAUAAAUAUUAUCAUGGGAUCCUCUAGUGGGGCUUCAACAGCUGGGUCGAUCACCCAGAUUAUACAGAAUUCAGGAUCCGACGAUCGAGAGGAUCUGCAAGCGGUGAUGAGGAGGAGGAAGCAGAAGAGGAUGCAGUCGAACCGCGAGUCGGCGCGGCGGUCGCGCAUGCGGAAGCAGAAGCACCUGGACGAGCUGGCGGCGCAGGUGAGCCACCUGACGGAGGAGAACGGCCACGUGCUCAUGGCCGUCAGCUUCACCACGCAGCAGCUGCUGGCGGUGGAGGCCGAGAACACCCUCCUCAGGACUCAGGCGAUGGAGCUGAGCAGCAGGCUCCACUCCCUGAAUCAGAUCUUGUGCUGCAUGAACGAUGCUGCUGCUGCUGCUGCUGCUGCUGGUGGUGUUCAUGGUGGUGAUGAGAGCUACGUGAUGAUGAUGAGGCCACUGAUCAUGGCUUCUGAGGAUAUGGUGCAGUUACAGUAUUGUUGAGUUAUCAGGGAAGGAGCUAGCUCUAGCUCUAUUUGUUUUUUCUCCUUUUUUUUUUUUUGGGUGGUGGUGGUGGUGGUGGUGGUAGUGUUUGUGAUGGGUGGUGCAUGUGUUUGUAUUAUUAGAAGAGUUUUACUAUGGGGGAGCCAAAUUAAGGGUGAAGACCAUGAAGUGUGGUGCAUAUUUGGGUUCUUAAUUAAGAGAGCCAUGCAAGUGUAAUUUAUCUCUCUCUCUAUGUAAUAAAUAUAGUUCAUGCAAACCCCCUCUCUAUACACACAAUAAAAAAAAUAAAUGUUGGGAAAGUGCAAAAGCUAAGUUUUUGAAUGUCCACUAAUGGUAAAGAACUCGACGGUUAGUAAUUGAUAUUUCAAAUUGAGUUAGGCUACUAUGCUAUCGGAAGCACGGAGCCUUCCGUGCUUCCAGCUCGUUUUUGAUGUUGCGACUUUCGAAUCGUCGAUCGGCUCCGUUAAACUUGAUCUAGAGUAUUUGAAAUACCUAGAAAAUAAAUUUUAUUAUUUUUCGAUAUCAUUUGCCUAGUAAUCGAAUGAGCUUAAAAUCAACAAAUUUCAACGGUCGUAGUGAGCCGUUUGCAAGUUUAACGGUGUAGAAAUAUCCAAAUCACGCGAAAUUUUGAUAGAAAAUUCUUUGUACUAUAUAAAACACGAUCAAUAUCUUUGAUUUAAAAUUUUAAUGUUAUAUUAUUACAUUUUGUAAGAUUUUUAUUUUCAGCCGUUGAUUUUGAGCCCCUUCGUUCACUAGGCAAAUAAUAUCGUAAAAUCAUAAAAUUUAUUUUCUAGGUACUUCAAAUUCUCUAGAUCAAGUUUAACGGAGCUGAUCGACGAUUCGAAAGUCGCAAUAUCGAAAACGAGCUGGAAGCACGGAAGGCUCCGUGCUUCCGAUAGCAUAGUAGCCUCACUCUUUCAAAUUUAAAACUUAGUGAUUCACAUUAUUAGUUAAAUAUAUUUUCAGAUACUAAAAUAACAAAGCGGGUGCCGGGUAGGAUUGAAUACAAACUUCGUGUCUUAUUGCAAUAGAUUGACUAGACUAAUAGCUUGUUGGUGCAUGUGUCAGCUGGGAGAUCAGAAACAGUAUGAUCUUUAGAAAGAUCCAACCGAACCCUCUUCUAGCAGUCUUCAAGAUCAAGCAGUUAAAGAACCUGUGGGGACAAUUUUCUUUGUAAAACAACACUAAGUCUGAUGGUUUUUUUUUUAUUUUUCUUUUUUCGUUCGCGUUACCUGAGGCUGUCCGCUGCCUCACCCAUGUAGCCUCAUUCAUCUAUCUUAUGAAUGAAGCGGGUAGCACGCUACCUCUUUCUCAGAAAAAAAAAAAAAAAAAAAAAAAAAAAAAAAAAGAAAAGCUAUUUGACUCAGUUGGACUUAAGCUGUUUCUUUCUCUCCUAAAAAAAAUUAAAAAGCUAUUUAACAUGUUGGACUUGACCUAAAACAGCUUAGGCACUUUGGUCUUCUAUAUAUGUCACUUAAUACUAUACUAAUUAAUCUAACUAGAUCAAAGUUGGUAAAAUCACAUAAAGAGUAAUGCUUCAGGUACAAAUGUUUGUUCUGCACAAAUUAAUUCGUUUGUGAAACAUAUAUCGUAAGCGUGUCGUAAAAUUUUCGUGUACAUAAGUAGUUUUUUAAAAAAAUUUUAAAGAAGAAUCAGUAACAGUACUCAAAAGUACAUAAAUCUGUUUAUUUUGGAAUGGUCCCUCUGAUUAAGGUGUCCUUUGCUGCAAAAUAAUGCUAUGAAAAUGUCAAACAUUAACAGUACUCUUGAUUGUAGAUGCCUCCUUAAUUAAUUAGUUAAUUUCCAUGUUGUUAAUUUAUUUAUUAUCUAUAAAUGGGUAUAGUUGCUGUGUUCUUUGCUGAAUAAUUUCUGAUGCAUUAAUAUAUCAGUAAAUGCCUCAUUGGGGGACUAACUACUAGUAUAUCUAAUCCCCAACUUGCAAAUUUAAUUUAAUUUAAUUUUUUUUAAAAGAUCUGAGAAAUAUUUGCCCUUAAUUAAUUUUAUCACUAGCCAUGAGGAAUUGGACCACAAAAACACUGCUCCUACUUGCACCUACUGCAGUAAUAAAUGGUGUAGUCCCAGAUCCCACUCAGUGCUGUGCACAAAUACAUAUAAAAUACAAGAAGUGAACCAUAUAUCCAAGGAGAAGGUGGUCAAAUUUCACCUGGAUUUUUGUCCAACACCAUUAUAUAUAUCCAAAUUACUCACAAAUUAACUUAUAUUUUUUACAUUGGUAAUAAUAAUAAUAAUAAGUAGUUUAAUUCCUUCUUGUCCUAUAAAUCUAGUUAUAUAUCUGAGGCCUAGAGUAAAGACUAGUGCUACAUUGAUGCACAUAUUAGUUUACUUUAAAAAAAAAAAAAAGUAUUAGAAUGCAAAAGUUUUGGAACAUGGACAGAGGCAAAAGCUGCUUCAUUUAAUUUUUUUCUUUAUGGGCUUUAAUAUAAUGUUUGAUGGGGUACUUAGACAUGUGUGAAGUACUAUACGAAAUUUUUAUAGUACCACCCUAGCUAGGUGUACAAUUUGGGCCAUAUAUAUUAUUGUAGCCUCGGUUGCAUUUUAUGUUUAAGGGUUUUUUUUGCAAUUGGCCCUGAAAAAAAAUUUAUUUUAAAGAUAGUCCCGAUAAAUUUAUAAUUACAAAAUAGCCCUACCCUUGCAGGCGCCACGCGAGCGGGCUGGGUGGCGGUCGGGUCUGGCAAGUUGAACACGGUAAAUAGUUCAACGUAUUCAGUUAGUUAUUCUGCCCUGAAAAAGAUGUUGUACAAUACGUUUAGGGUUUACAUCAAGCGGCGGGAAUAACAAAAAAAAAACACGGUGAACCAUUAACCGUGUUUGAACACGGUGAAUGGUUUAUCGUGUUCAACUUGCCAACCAGGCGGCCAGCCCACCCGCGUGGCGUUUGCGUGGUAGAGGUAGGGCCAUUUUUACAAUUAUAAAUUAGUUGGGACUAUUUUUAAAAUAAAAUUUUUCUAGGGGUCCAUUUGCCCAAAAAGCCCUUCAUAGGACCACCUAAUGUGAGCCUCCCUUAGGCCUGGGUCUAAAAGAGUUAAAGGAGCUCUCACAUGGCCAUGGCCCGGCCCUAGUUUGGCCCUCGAUGCUGUGGUGUGACUCGAGCCGAGGCCCGGACCCCUUGCUGGGCCACCAGUCUUAGAGAGUGAUCGGCCCAACAUGAUCCAUUAAGCUCAGGCCAUUUUGGCAUGACACAGUUACAAAUAGUACCCAUAAUCUUGCCAUGAAAAAGUCUAUAAUGCGGCAGUCAUAGAUCCUAUGCGGUGUGCACUAGUCGAUCAAAUUGCUCUCCUCGGUUUCAUCCGUCCCAGAAACGCAUUUUUGUCGUAUUUUUUUAUUCAAAAAGAGAUAUAUGAUUGAUUGUUAAUAGAUGAUGCCGUAUGACUGCCAUAUAGUAGAAUUCCUCUCUUGCCACGUCCUAGCUGCUUUGGGCGGCACUUUUAACACCCAACCUCCGAAUGUGAAAUAAUAGGUAAAUUAUAUUGAUGAGAAUUUGGUUUAUUACUUCUUAAUAUGAAAAACUUAAGAAGCAACCUUCAGAAAAGAAAAAAAAAGAAAAAAAAAAAGAGGAAAAAAAAAGAGAAAAUGAAAGAGUGAAAUGAGUAGUAUGAACAGUGGAAACCAAGAGCAAAGGUAAUUAUAUAUAAUUGAAUUUCAGUAAAUAGAAGAUGUGAUUUUACUGCAUAUAGCAGAACCAAAAAGCAAAGAUAAAUUUAUAUAACAAAAAUUAAUUUUCUGGUUCCUUGAGAAAUUUAUGAACAAAUUGCAAUUUGAGUAUAUGUACUCGGUAUCUUGUUCAUUAUUUGAGACACGAGGAAUAUACUUGUUUUGAUCACAAAGGUACUUGUUGCAUCUUUAUGACGUUUUUUUUUUUUUUUUUUUUAUAACUUUUUUGUUCUUUAAAUAAUAUGCAUAGGAAUCACUCAAAAAUUAACUUUAUUGGCAUGUUGGUAACUAUUAGAACAUAUACAGAUCAACUAAACAAAUAAAAAUGUUUAAUCGCACAUGAAAACAUUAAUAGACACCCUAAAGCUUACCAUUUUGUGGAUUGAAUGGAGUCAUCAAUUGAAGUUCAUGACCCCAAAGGGAUGAUAAUCUCACAACGCUAGAUCUGUCAUCUAAGAGCAAACUUAUCUCCACUCUAGCAUUACUCAAUAUAAAUAGAUAGCAUGUAGAGUACUUUUUAUGCAUACGGAGACCUUCAUACUUAUAAGUUAUUCUUAAUAAUAGAGAACUUGAUGUAAAAUAUUUAAAGAAUAUAGAGUUAUUAUACUCUUAUAUAUCCUCAACUACAAGAAUUUUAAUAUAUAUGUUAAAUUUCUUUAAAUGUAACGUCGACCCGACCCGCUAGCAACAAUGACUCGUUACCACCGGCUCAAAAUGCUUAAGCCCAGUUAUUAUAACUAGCAUGUAGGCCUCAUCCAUCCGAUGUGGGACUAUUGGGGCGUUACAAACUCCCCCUGUUUAGACCCUGACGUCCUACUCGGGUCCAAACUAGAUAACAGACAGACUAGGAUGUAGCACUCUGCUCUCACAUUUCCAGCUGGUAUUCCGCUCCGAUACCAAAUGUAACGAUCCGACCUGCUAGCAACAAUAACUCCUUGGGCCCAAGCCACCAGCUCAAAAUAUUUAAGCCCGAUUAUUAUUACUAGCAUAUAGGCCUCAUAUAAACUGAUCGAAAUCAGUAUCCCAUCCGAUGUGGUACUAUUAGGACGUUACAACAAUUAAAGCUAAUAUCAAAAGGAGUAAUAUUGAUUCAUUGUCGAAAGAGUCUCCAGCAGCUAGCUGGGGUCUUCAAUAACAUGGUUAGCAUGAAUAAUAAUGAGAUUAAGGGAAAAAAAAAAAAGAAAAAGAAAAAAGUAGUAAAAGGUUAAAUAUAGGUGAGCCCAAACCAGUUGGCCAAGACCUCAUAUUGCCUGGCCUGGUCCUAUUCAACUCGGGCACGAGCAUAUGCAUGCAUAUCUAUGAAUAGCACAAACUCUUUAAUAGUCUCCUAAGCAAGAGACUAAUAGAUGGUGGAAUAUAUACGAAGGUUUUAUUUCUCUUCUGUAUUCCAUUUAGGAUUAAAUUUUAGAAUAGUAUUUUGAGCGCUUAACAAUUCCAAAUAAAGGCCUUUAGGUAUUUUGCCACUCAAGAGGCCCAUGCUUCAAAUUAAAGUUUUAAAUCAUAAAUUAAAUAAUAAACUUCAACAGGAAGAAAAUCAUGAAGAGAGAGAGAGAGCGCGCUAUUUUGUACUUUGCAAAGCUCUACUUAACUAUGAUAUCACUAAUAUACUUCAAAAUCUUAAUUUGUCAGAGAACCAACAAUACCUAGCAUAGUUGGCUAAAGAUUUGAUGAUUGGUACUCGAGGUAAUUCCAAAUUCGAAGCUUAGUUGUUUCACCUUUCUAAUUAAGUUUAUUUCUAAAAAAUUGAACAAAGCAGAUCUAUCUCUCACUCAAAAAAAAAAAAACACUCAAGUUGGCGGAGAUUAAUAUUUCAAUAUUGUAUAUUCUGUAGCUAGUAUAUAAUCAAGCAUACUGACCAUCCCUAGAGCAAGUGGCAAAGGGCUUGGUGGUUGGUAUCCGAGACCCAAGUUCGAAUCCUAGUUGAUUCACAUUUCCAGCUAAAUUUAUUUUUAAAUGAAAUAAACGAAGCGGGGUAGCGUGCUACCUAUCUCUCUCAAAAAAAAAAAGAAAAAGGUAUAUAAUCUGCAGGCAUGAACCUCAGCUUCACCAAGAAGAGUUCAUAUAUUGGUGUACCCUAUCAAUCAGGUAUAUAUUCGCUCCAUAAUAUAUUGGAACAACAGCUGGUUCUAAAUUCCUAAACAUGUACAAAACCAAGCACACCUAUCUCUCUUGCAACAAGCGAAGUCUCGUACCGACCGUUCCUAGAGCAAGUGGCAAAAGACUUGGUGGUUGGUACCCGAGACCCAAGUUCGAAUCCUAGUUAAUUCACAUUUCCAGCUAAGUUUAUUUCUAAAUGAAAUAAACGAAGCGGAUAGCAUGCUACAUUUCUCUCAAAAAAAAAAAGCGAAGUCUCAUACAUGCAUGGCACAUGACCUCUACUAGUUUAAAGCAAGAGUUAUAUAUGAUUAGUUUACAGGAGCUAGCCCCUUUGCUUUAAAGUAAACCAUGUUUAAUUAGAACCCCACUCUCUCAUAAAAAAGGAAAAGGGUAAUGAGCACUAAACAACAUUAUACAGCUUGUAGUGGAUCUCUUUAUUCUCCACCAUUGUCCUCUCAUGAUGGUGUGUUUGGUUCCUUGUCCUUGUCUACUAAAGGAUAACUAAUUUGGAGCUAGCACUACCCGUCCACUAACCCUAUGUCUAAUUUUUGAUCAUUAUACAUUCCAUUUUUCAAUAGUUUUAAACACUAUAGAGCCCACAUAUAAAUGUUGGUUGGUUACACGUAUAUAUUUUAUAUUCUUCCUCCUAUUUGAAACUUAGUUCCCUUUAAUGUAGUACUCUUAAAGAAUUACUAACACAUUUUUUUUUUUUUUUUUUUUUUGAGAGAAAGGUAGCACGCUACUUGCUUCAUUCAUUAGGCAAAAGAAUUUGCCUACAAAGGGUGAGGCAGGUAGGGCCUCAAAGAGUGACAAAAGUAAAGAAAGAGGAACUCUAAAAAUAUCUAAAAAAAGCUAAUUAAAAAGAGCACAAAGUCAAACAAAUAAACGGCCUCACCCACGUCUACAAAAAUCGGUCCACUCCUUUGCCAGUACACUAAUACGAUGUGCCAUAGAGGUAGCAUUCAAGGUAAGGUUUCAAAAAAUGACGUUAUUUCUCUCGCGCCACAACGUCCACCACAGGGCCGCCACUAGUAUCUGAGGCUUCAGAGUGUCAGGCGCUAUUACUAACACAUUGUUAUGAUUUAAUUUUUAGUUUUUGUUAAUUUCUUAGAGAAGUAGGGCUUUGUCUUUUGUAGUAGUAAUUCUCAUUCUUUCAGGUCCCAAUUGAUGGAGAUAUUCUAUUUAUGUGUUUUGCCUUGAAAGCAAAUUAAGGGCUUAUCUGAAGGUGGUUGAAUUACUUAUAUAGGUCACUAAGAAGCUUGAGAAUAAUGAGAAAAGAAAUAGAGUAAAAUAUUAAAGAAGGGUUAUGAUCAUUGAAGCAUGCGAAAAAGCUUAGCUUAUAAUAGAUUAAUAUCAUCAUUACUAAUUAAUAUACAUAUAUAGUCUUCGAUCAUCGAUCAUACUCCUCAGUGGUACCCUUGAUUCCUUGACCAAAACUAUAUAUUUAUUUGAAAUUUUACAUACAUAAAUACAUACGUUGACAGAUACAUACAUUUCCCAUACAAUCAUUUAAAUUGAGAAUUUUCUCGCUGCCGACCCGCCUAAAUUAUUCUGUGAUCAACAAGUGGAAGUGGUUAAGAGUAAUCUUAUAUUUUUGCUAGCUAAUAUGUUAAUACUAAAGCAUGUGGCACUGUGGCAGUGUUUAGCAUACUUAAUUCAAGUCAUAAAGAGCAAUAGUCACUAUUAAUAAGAUAAGUUUACAUACUUUGUCAACACCUUUUCUUUAUGGGGUAUAUAUAUAUUAAACUAAAGCAAACCCACCAACACUUAUGAUCUCACACCCUAAAAAUUCCACAAAGAAAGUGCUAACCCUCUCCUUUUACCCUUGAAUUUGUUAUGUAGUUAAAUAGCUAGUGAGAUACUUAUUUGUCACAUGCUAAGGAAGUGCUUGUCCAAUUCUAUCUCAAAAAUCCCUCCAACCCACAAAUAGUUUCUUUGUGCUUACAACUAAGCAAAGCUCCAUUCUCUUCUCUCCCUCUCUCUCUCUCUCUCUCUCUCUCUCUCUCUCUCUCUCUCUCUCUCUCUCUCUCUCUCAAUUUAUGAUCUUGAAGGAGAGAGAAUUAUUUUGUGACAAGAAUUGCUUCUGUUCAUAAGGUUUGAUCAUGGGGCCUAAGAGAUCUACAAUACUCUUUGUUCUCGUCACCGCGUCGAUCCUCUCGACUUCAUUUGCAGGUGAGUAUUGUUAAUUCAAAGGUACCCAUGGUUCUGUUUCAAAAGAUGACUUGUUACUUUGGCCUCAUUUGAUUCUUGGGAAAAAAAAAUGAAGAGGUUAUGAACAUCUCAAGUUCUUUGGUUCAAAUCAGAAUCAUUUUUGUCAAAAGAAAGUAACUGCAAACUAAUUUUUGUUUGGUUAAAUUUUUAACUUAAUUCUAUAUGUGAUAAAGUUUCAAAACUUUAUCAAUAUUUAAACAUAGCAUUAUACAACAAAAAGGAGAUAAAAUUUUGACUUUUACAGAUAAUUCAAGAAUAGCAUCAAAUUUAGUUCUCUCUCAAGUAAUAUAUAUAUAUAUAUAUAGGAGUUUGGUUAUUAGUUUAUAUUUUGGAUAUAGAAGUUUGGUUAUUAGUUUAUAUUUUGGAUUGCUCUUCUAACUGUAUCCUCAAAAAGGCUUCUACGCCAAAUUAACUUAUCAUUAAAAGGAAGCCAAAAAAUGUUACCAUAUACAUAUAGAACUUUUUUGCACUCUUUGAGAAUAUAUAUAUAUAUAUAGAGAGAGAGAGAGAGAGAGAGAGUCCAUAUAAAUGAAACUAAUUGAAUAUCAUACUAUUAUGAGAAGUUAAAAAUGUUAUGAAAAUAAAAAUUAGCUAAAAAUAUAUAAAACUUAUCUCAACUAUCACACUUUUGGAUCCGACUACCUAACCUUUAAAAAUUUUAAUUUUACCACCUGAUCUUCUACUUCGUGUGAUUUAAGUUAAUUAGUGAUUUUCUAAUUUCAAAUUUUGAAUGCAUCAUUUAUCUUUAUGAAUUUAAUUAGUAUAUUUUAUGCAAUUUACGUAACUAUAAAUUCAAUAGAGUAGGCAAUUAUUUUAAAUUUGUAUCCAAAGAGCCAUCAUAUCACUUAAAUCAAAAAAUUGAAAGGUUAGAUACUGAAAAUUAAAUUUCUAAAGGUUAGAUAAUCGAAUCAAAAUGAUCUAUAGUUUAUGUAAGUUUAUACAUUUUUACCUAAAAAUAAUAAAGAAGCAUCUUCUCAAUUUAAAUUGUGUAUGUUUGUUUCUUAUCAUGUACGUGUGAAGAGAUUUCUCUUUGUAUGCAGGAGGGCAAAGGAGAUUUUUAGAGAAAUAUGCAGUGAAAGUGGAAACAAAAGUAUUGCUAUUUAAUUCUCAUACUUCAUUUUUUGCUUUUAUAUUCCAAACUUAUACCCUAUUACAUAUGUGUAACAAAAUACUAGAUUUUUUUAAAAAAAAGUUGAAGUUUAUCAUUAGAGAAUCUGAGAUCUCUAUUAUGAACAUGCUUCUUUAUGAUCAUUAUUAGAGAAAAAUUUUCAUUAUUUUCUUCUCUUUUUUUUUUUCUAAUUACACAAAUUGAUUUCAAAUGUGUCACAGGAAAUUACGAAAACGCCGUCGUAUGAAGAUGAAGUUGUUGUUCGCGCGAGAAUUCUGAAAGUUCAAACAAAUGAUUAUGGAAGCUAUGACCCUUCUCCAAGUCUUGAGAAGCCUCCGUUUAAGCUUAUACCGAAUUAAAUUAAAUGUUGUUAUAUUUAGUACCAUAUGUUAUGGAAUAAUGAAGUGAAUUAUAUAUAGUUCCAUCGAGCAUCAGUAUGCGAAAAAUGUAGGAAUGUUGUUGUAUACAUAUGCAAUAUAUAUGUUUUGUGACUGAUGUGUACUUGUGAGUAAAUUAAAUUGCAUGCACUUUAUCAUCUCUUUCUAUAAUAUAUGUAGUAUUAAUUAAAUUGUUUUCCAAUUUAAUGUGACAAUAAAUACCUAAGAAAAUUUAGAGCGCUUGAGUUCUAAACAUAGUGAAUGGUCUUACAACAUGUAAAUUUUUCUUAAUGAACAAAAAAAAACAAUAAUUUUUUGUGUGGAACAGGUGAAUGAUCUAAACUUUUUGUUUUUUGAAAAAGAAAAAGAAGUUGUUAUUUGUAGUAAAGUUGUGUAUAAUUUCUUAUUUCUAGUCGACCCAUAUUGUCGGAGUGAGAAUUCGAUGACAAUUUAUGUUAAUUUUUCGUAAAACUGUGGAAAUUCAAAAAGCGAGGAGAUUUGUUAGUUGAGAGUGAAAAAGAUAAAAAAGGAAGUGUAGAGCAAAAAAAAUGAAAAAAAUAAUAUUUCUCAUUUCAAAAUAUUAUUUCUCAUUUCAAAAUAAAAUAUUUCGCUUAUUCGCCCUUCUCGAGGCCCUGCUGUCUCACCCAUGUAGCUUAGUUCAUCGUCUAAUUGAAUGAAACGGGUAGCGUGCUACCUUUUUCUCAAAAAAAAAUAUUAACUCCCUUAAAUUGAGAUACUAAGCUUCUUUUUUUUUUUUGAAAAAUGAAUGCUCAUUGUCUAAUUGAAUGAAACGGGUAGCGUGCUACCUUUUUCUCAAAAAAAAAUAUUAACUCCCUUAAAUUGAGAUGUUAAGCUUUUUUUUUUUUUUGAAAAAUGAAUGCUUGGAGUUAAAGUCAUUCCAAAGGUCUUUUCAUGAAGUAUAUAUAUCAGGGCAAAUCUUAACUAAAAUAUUUUCGGCCGUUUAUUUUGAGACUACUCAUUCACUAGACAAAUAUAAUUAAAAAAUUAUGACAUUUGAUUUUUAAAUAAUUCUAAUAACGUAGAUCAUGUCUAACGGAGCUAAUCAUCGAAUCAGAUGUUCUAUCACUGAAAACAACUUACAAGUACGGAGACCUCUAUACUUUUGAAAGCGUAGGAGACAUAUUCUCUCUCUCUCUCUUUCUCUCUCUCUCUCUCUCUCUCUCUCUAGCAAUAUGAAUUCCCUUAGAAAUUGUUAAAACAACCGCGCACACAAAAAAAACAACAAGAAGAAGAAGCACUGUAGAAAUAUAAAUUAGAACAAGAGCAAAGCUACAUAAUAUUAAUUUGCAAAAAAAUUAUAAACCAUUUAAAGCAUAAUUUACAAACAGAAGAAUAAAAAGAAAUUAUAAUAUGUUCAUUCCAUUUGCAAUCACAUAUUAAUGAGCUAGGUCUAUGUCCAUGAUUAUUGAAUAUCUUAUUAAUGCCAAUAAUAUUUUUAGCAUGAAAUAGUCGAAGCUAUUUUAUGACAAUGUGGCUUAAUGGGUCGAGUUUGAGCUCAAUAUUAAUAAGGGGUUUAAAUUUAAAUCUUAAGCUAGGUAAUGUCCAAAACCUGGCCCAACAAAAAGAGGCCCAUGGGCCUGGGCAAUAAUUGGGCCGACAAUCCCGCGUAGUUGCGACUUCGUCUAAGGGCAUGUUUGGUUGGACAAAGCUCUAAGCAUGAUGAAUUGGCGGAACCUCUUUUCGUGUAUACCGACUACGACACUGUGCGUGUGGGAGGUGAAGUCGACAGCUCUGAUCAUACCGAAACUAGCAACCUAUGCUGGAUUGACAAAGGCAUGUACGUAUAUAAAUAGAAAGCUAAAUUAUAAAAAAUCUCUAUGUGAAUGUUCCUUUUUUAAUUUUUACUUCAAGACUGUGAGACCCCGAUUUCUGUCAGUGGGGACUUGUCGACAGCUUUGGAGAGUGUCGAGACAAGCCCGAGUCGCGUUGGCGUCAAAUAGACGCGAAGCGGACUCCGUGCGAUGCGAGGGCAGCAUUCUGUGUGAAAAUCUGCGAAAUUGCAGGAUUUUUACUCUGUUGUACCGGUACAAGGUUAGUGCUGUACCGGUACAACCAUCAUGGAAAGUCGCUUGCUGUACCGGUACAAGGGUCCAUUUGUACCGGUACAGAGCGUGCGACAGAACUCAGUUGCUCUCGGGUUUGGCCUUGUACCGGUACAGCAAUCCAUGUACCGGUACAAGGGAGUUGGUAAGGGCUAAAUCCGUAAUUUUUCUACCUCGUUUGUAACGAUUCCUUCCCUCUCUCUCUAUAUCAGUUGGAAACCGAACAGAGGAAGAGAGAGAAGGCUUUUGUGCUUUCUUCUUUCUCUCUCUCUCUAAGCUUGGUGGAGGUGGAGCACGGUUGAGCCGGGGAUUCGCCGACGUCGCGCCGCGAGCCGUUCGAGCGAGCGUUUGUUGCCGGGGUCAUAGGCUUCCAUAAUCAUUUGUUUGAACUUUAGAAUCUCGGCGUCGAACAAACAAUUCAUCUUCAUACACGGCGUUCUGUAAUUUUCUUGACACAUUUUAAAUAAAUUUUUGAAUAGAAAAAUAAAAAAGGAAAAAAAAUAAUGAAGUAAUUGUUCUCUUAAUUAAUAUCAAAAGAACAUUCAUAAAGAGAUUCUUCAGUUCUCUAAUUGUAUACACACUUAAACUUUUUAAAAACUUAUAUUUGUCAUCAUCAUAAGUAUUAUAUUAAAUUGGAACAUAAAAGCAAAAAAUUAAGAUAUAAAUUAAAUACAAUACUUUGUUCAUUUCACUCUAUUUUCUCUAUAAAAUCUCCUAUUGCUCCUCUUUCGGCAUACAAAAUAUAAUUCUCUUCACCAUAAUAGAAUACAAACAUUACAGUCAAUUAAAUUGAAAUGAUGCUUACUUUAAUAUUAGUAAAAUAUGUAAAUAAACUUACUUGACAUCAUAAUCAUUGAUUCGAUUAUUAAUCUUAAAAAUAAUUUUAGAAUCUAACCUUUCAAUUUGAUUUAAGUGAUUAUGUUAUCUCUUGGAUAUCAAAUUAAAAAAAUUACUACUUUCUGUUGAAUAUAUAGUUAGUAAAUUGUAUAAAUAUUUAUCAUCUAUUAAAUCUCAUAAUAGAUAAUAUGAUGUUGCAUUCAUAAAUUUGAAAUUUAGAAAAUCACAAUUAAGCUAAAGUACACAUGUACUAAGUAGUGAAGAUCAGUUGUAAAAUUAAAUAUUUUUAAAGUUAUAUUCAUCCAAAAAAGGUUAGUAUAUAUUUAGUUUUAUAAGCAUUUUUUUAUCUUAAUUUUUUCAUUUUCCUAACAUUUUUAACUUCAUAAUAGUAUUAUAUUGGAUUAGUUCAUUAUAUAUGGACUCAUAAUAUAUAAUAUAUUAUUUAUAUAUAUAAUAUAUAUAUAUAUUUUAAUAUAUUAUAUAUAUAUAUUCAAAAGUUAAAAAAGUCUACUGUUAUAUUUGAAAUUUUUAUGGCGUUCCUUUAAUGAUACAGUUAAUUGCUAGAAGCUUUUUGAGACUAAUCUGUUAAGAUUGCCAAUCCAAAAUAUAAACCUAAUAACGCAAACUUCUAUAUAAUAACUAUAGACUUAAGAUUAACAAAUGUGAUGCUAUUUCUAUUAUCUGUAAAAGUCAAUAAUUUAUCUCCUUUUGUUAUGAAUCAUGUUUAAAAAUAUUGAUAAAGUUGAAACAUUAUCACAUAUAGAUAUUUAACGUUAAAAAUUAAACAUCAACAAAUUCAUGUUGCAUUAACUGUUCUUUGACAAAAUAAUAUUCUGAUUUAACCAAAGAAUUAAAAGUUCAUAACCUUCUUCAUUUUUUUCCCAAAAUCAAAUGAGCCCAAAGUAACAAUCAUCUUUUGAAACAGAAACCAUGGUACCUGAUUAACAAUACCACUGCUGCAAAUGAAGUCGAGAGGAUCGACACGGGUGAACGAGAACAAAGAGUAUUAGUAGAUCUCUUAGCCCCAUGAUCAAACUAUAACAAAGCAAUUCUUGUCACAAAUAAUUCUCUCUCCUUCAAGAUCAAAAUUGAGAGAAGAAGAUAAGAGAGAGAGAAGAAGAGAGAGAAGAGAAUGACUUGCUCGUUGAAGCACAAAGAAACAUUUUGUGGUGCAGAUUUGAAUAAAUUGACAAGCACUUUCCUAGCAUUGUAAAAAUAAAUUUCACUACAUUAACUACAAACAAACAAGUAAAGAGAGGGUAAAGCAGCUUUCUCAUUGUGGAAUUUUUAGGUUGAGAUAUAAUGUGUUGGGUUUUUCUUAGUUUUACAUAAUAUAUACCAUAAAGCAAAAGUUUGACAAAGGAUAAAUAUCUUAUUAAAUGACUAUUGCAAUAUGACUAAUUAAGUAUGCUAAACACUGCCCCCAGUGCCACAUGCUUAGAAACAUAUAACUAGCAAAAAUUAAAAUACCUUAUUAACCAACUCCACUUGUAUACACUAGAAAAUUUAGCCGGGUCGGAGCGAGAUAUUCCAAUUAAAUGAUUGUAUGGAAAUGUAUGUAUCGUCAACGAAUGUACUCUUAUAUGUAAAAUCAAAUUAUCAUAUAUUUUCGCAAGGAAUCAAGGAACCACUGAGGAUAGAUCGAAUCGAAGAUCGAAGACUAUGUAUAUAAUAGUAAGAUACAUAGUAAUCAUUAUAACGCUAAGCUUUCGCAGCUCAAUGAACAUAACCCUCUUCUAUAUUUACUCUAUUUUUUCUCAUUAUCCAACAUCUAUGAACCUAUAAAGUAAUUCAACACCUUCAAAAGCCCUUAAUCACUGUUCUAGGAAAACACAUAAAUAAACAAUCUCCAUCUAAUUGGGACCUGAAAGAAGAUAAUUCCUACUACAAAAGACAAGCCUCUUCUCUAAAAAUUAAAAGUUAAAACAAAAUAAACCAUAACUAAUGUGUGUACGCCGACCACUCGACCUCAGAUACUAUGGCGACUCCUGGGUGGACGUGUCGCGAAAAAUAAUUCUUUCGCAACCUUACUUUGCAUCUACCUCUAGGCACACUCGUAUUAGUACGGAAAGUGGACGCGAUGUUGUAGACGUGGAGCCGUUAUUUGUUCGAACUUGUGGCUCUUUUAACUUAAUUACAUUUCUUCAAUAUUUUAGAAUUCCAUCUUUCUUAUACUUUGUCACUUCUUGAGCCCAACCUCCUCACCCUUUGUAGCAAAAUCAUUUGCCUAGAACUAAAGCAAGUAGCGUGCACCUUCUCUCCGUCAAAAAAAAAAAAAAAAAACAAUGUGUUAGUAAUUCUUAAGAGUAUACAUUAAAGGAUAAUUUCAAAUAGAUAAGAAAUUAGAAUAUAUACAUGUAACCACCAACAUUAUAAUUGGCUCUAUAGUUAAAACAUUGAAAAAAUGAUGUAUAAUGACAAAAAUUAGACAAGGUAGUGGCGAGUAGUGCUACUCAAUAGUUAUCCAUUAUAGACAGAACAAGAACCAAACACAAAAUGACACGACAAUGGUGAGAAUAAAGAAUCCAUCUACAACUGUAUAAGUUGUUUAUAUCCAUCUACCUUUUCCUUUUUAUUAAAGGGGUUUAAAAACAUGUAUCUUAAAGCCAAAGGGCUAGCUCCUGUAAACUAACAUAUAUAACUCUUGCUAGCUUUAAACUAGUAAGGGGCAAUGUGCAUGCUGUAUGAACUUCGCUUUUUUUGAGAGAGAUAGGUAGUACGCUAUCCGCUUCGUUUAUUUCAUUUAGAAAUAAAUUUAGCUGGAAAUGUGAAUUAACUAGGAUUCGAACUUGAGUCUCAGAUACCAACCAUCAAGUUCUUUGUCACUUGCUUUAAGGACAGUCGGUUGAAAAAAAAAUUGUUAUUUGCAGUAAACUUGUAUAUAAUUUCUUAUUU
rnacentral:lncRNA from 1 species